rnacentral:lncRNA from 1 species
CACCUCCUCCCCCAGUUUACCUGUCUCCACCUCCACCCUAUCAUCACUACUACGGUUCUCCUUCUCCUCACCACUACUAAGCAAGUGCAUAAGUUUUGAGGUAAUAAUACCUAUCCAAAACUUUAUCAACACAAACUGCCAUGUAUAUCAUGCUAAGGACGUACACUUGAUCCAUGAAAAUGACUAGUAGAAGAUUUUUUUUAAGAACCAAAGAAAUACAUUAUUUUUUCGGUCUGUUUUCAAGAAUUUGAGCAGUAUACAGAUUAAAGAGUGUUUUUUUUUUUGUAAACUUGCUUGUCAACUUAAAAAUGCACAUAGCUGAAAGCCAACUGAAUAUUUGCAGGCAAAGGAGAAGGCAAUCGGUGUUUGAGACCUUCAAGAAGAUGUAGAAGAAUAAGAAUAAAAGCCCAAUGCGAGGAUGAUUCCAAGUUUCUACGUUACCAUUUCUACAUCUAAAUUGACUUUAGCUCCUGAGUUCCAUGUUUAUGGGGUUUGUACCGUUUUACGUACCAUGCAGUACAUGCUUGCAAGGUUUUCUGUCCUGUUGGCAAACUGCAGGUCCAUAUAAUAAAUGAAUACUAUUUACAUUACGACACUUUUCUCUUUUUCUCUUAUAUUUUGUCUUUAAUAUUGUUGAUCAUUUUUUUUUUAUCAAAAGCAUCAAAUGCUUAGGUAAUUUGGUCUAAUGCUAAUUGUUUUACUUUUAUUUUUCACCUACACCCCUUUUCAACUCAAAGGAUGCUAUAGUUUGUGAUAAUUGUUUAAGACCGAAGCAUGAUACUAAUAAAUAUCUCAUUGAAAGUCAAGGAAACUAACAUUAGGAAAAGUUUAAAUCUUGAUUUGAUGAAACUAUUUAUUCGUGGAAUUUAGAGAUACAAAACUCAAAUUGUGACGGUGUUGUUGCUAAAUUAUUAAGGACAUUAUCACCAUUAUUUUUCCCUGAUCACUAGUUUCAACUGCAAUGAUCUCAAUCUUUUUGUGACUAAUUCUUUCCUUAAUAAUUUAUAAAGACAAAACUCACAAAGAAUAUGUGACUAAUUCUUUCCUUUCGUCUUCUAAAGAAAAUGCCAACUGUUAGUUUAUCAAGGGGAAAAAGGAUCGACAUCAGUUAUUAUUGAAACUAGUAAGGAAUAAAUAAUGGUGAUAAUGUCCUUAAUAAUUUAACAACAGCACCAUCAGAAUUUGACUUUGAGCUUCGGUCUUAAACAAUGAUCACAAACUACAGCAUCCUUUGAGUUGAAAAAGGAAGUAGGUGAAAAGAAAAGUAAAAAAUACAAUUAGCAUUCCCUCAAAUUGUAGAAAGUUAGGUAGCAUUAUAGACAAGUUGAUAGCGGCAAUUUUACAUUUCAAACUUCACCUAUUCAAUAACUAAUUCGAUGGCUUGCUACAUGGUCAAUCUUUGGACCCCUUCCUGCCUCCAGAUAUCCCUUUCCUCAAUCAGGGGCUUCUACAAUUACCAGUUUCAAUUGUAUGGUAUAGUGUAAAUAUCAACAAAUUAGAUGUAGAUGCUAACAUAAUAAAUGUGAAUGCUAAGACAGCAACAUACAAUCGAACCUGCAAUUGUAUGAACCCCAAUCUCGCUUCCUAGUCCACCAUCUUUCUCUAGGUAAUAAUCUCCCUUCUAAUUUAUUCACAAAAUGCACCUUUCAUCACCUCCAAUAGCGUCGACAUGAUCUUUACCCUAGAAGACUAUUCACCGACUCUCAAUUGACGUCAGAAAAUCUAAGAGUAAUUCUACUUUACCCUAAGAUUGAUAUCAACAAGACAAGGACAAUUUAGAAUUAUUACACGCCUCUUCUUAAUAGGAAAAAGAAAUAGAGAAGAAAGUCAGGCCAGGUCUAAUUUCUUUUCAAAGGCAAUACAACAUUACGAAAUCAAGCAUUCAUUCAUACAAAUAUUUCAUAGUCACCGGUUUGCUGAGUAGAAAAAUUUAGACAAAAACUUAAUAUUAUAUUGUUUAAGAGUUAACAAUUUAGAGCUUAAUCUCCUUGUACUUUGGAGUUAACAAUUUAGAGCUUAAUCUCCUUGUACUUUGGACUAAACUUGAACGUGAAAGGAAAUCCCAAAACCAUAUUGGGCAUGAAUUCACACUUAAUAUACCCAAUAAAAGAUGGCGACUGGUGAAAGGCAGUGGAGACUGGUGGAGAGAUUUGAGGAAUAGAAGCAGACGGAAAAGCAACAAAUUUUUGCCGAAAAACGGUCACUUUCAUGGUUAAUUUUGCUACUCUCCAAUUGUACUUGACCAAUUACAACAAUUUCAUGGAGUUUGAUACGUGAAAAGAAUUUUUUAUAAAUUUUAUUUUGAUCCAUAAUGUUAUCUUUACAUAUAUAAAACAUUUUACAAUUUUGAUUUUGGCGCAGCUAACUUUUGGUUAACAAAAAUGCUCAUGUUUAAAAAACCAGAAAUAAAACAAAACAAGAAACAAAAGAAAUAAGAGGGUAGCAUAGACAUUUUGGAUUUUUCCGUUAAUUUGGAUGAUUUCCACCCACGUUCUAAUUUAAUCCAAAACACAAAGGAAUUACGUAGAGGUUUUAAAUAAUCAGGGAGCUUCAUGAUCGAACCCCAAACCACGUGAUAGCAUACAAGAGUUCUAUUUCACUAUCGGUAGACAAAGACUUUCUAUGGUUGAUGUACCGUAGGAAAAAAUCUGCCUAUACAACGUGAUAGCAUUUUUUCAAAAACACAAGAUGGAAAAUUGCCCCCUUAAACGUGGAAAUUCAUGAUCUUUCCUCGAACAAAGAAUACUCACGCCUAUUCAAGAUGGAAAAUUGCCCCCUUAAACGUCUAUUUGUCAAUUCUUGAAAAAAGAAUACUCACGCCUAAAACACGGCCUCUUCAUCUGCAGAAUUCUAAAAAGUUACGUAAACUCUAUAAACAAGUUGAUAGGUACAAUCGUACCCAAGAUCAAGUACAGAUAGUUGUACAUUCACUGCUGCAAUAACUAAUCUGAUGACUUACAAACAUAUCAUGGUCAAUCGUUGAAUGGUAAUGAGUCUUUUGUUAUGCAUUAGUAUUAGUGUGUACACUCUAAUAGAUUGAUACUUAUACUCUUUAAAUUAUCAUAAUAAUACCCUUAAUUAACUUUAACUCUUAAAAAGAAUACGUGUUAAUACACGAGAGUGUGUAACCUGAAUUGUUACUUAUACAUUAGUGUGUAAUAGAUAGGGAUGGCAGUGAGGGCGAGUGCCCGCGGGGGGCUCUCGGGGCGGGGGCGGGGGAGAAUUUUUUCCCCCCGUUUAGAAACGGGGCAGGGGACGGGGGAGUAUACCCCCGCCCCAUCCCCCGCCCCGCCACCCGCAAAAAAAAUUAUAUAUAUAUAAUUAUAUAUAAUAUGUAAUUUAAUUAGUUAUAAACUUAUGAUAAUGAUAUUAUUAGUUAGAUGUAUUAUAUAAUGUAUAUUAGUGUAUGUAAUAUAAUUAAUAUUAUCAAUUAUACGAAUAAUUAGACAUGUCCACUAAUAGAGUUUAUUAAUUAGUUAUACUAAAUUUACUAAUACAUUUGUACUAAAUUUCUAAUUACACUUAAUAGAAUAACACUUUUUUCUAAAAAAAAAAGCACAAACACAAUAAUGAAUUAGUGAUUGUAUUUGUACCAAAAGUGAAAACUUAACUAUUUUAGUUGUAUUUAUUUCAUCAUGUUGGAUUGUAUUCAAAUAAUUUUUGUUUGAUUGUUUUUAUGAGUUUCAAUUGUAAAAUUAAAAUGAAUAAUAACUUGAUGAUGUGUUGAUAUUUUAGUACUUGAUUAUUUAUUGAUUUAACUAUAAUAAAAUUUUAUUUUAUUAAAAUUUAACUAUAAUAAAAUUUUAUUAACCAAACGAGUUAUUAAUCCCGCGGGGGCACCCACGGGGGAAGCGGGGCGGGGCGGGGGAGUGGGAGGCGGGGGACGGGGCGGGGGUGGGGGGAGUUGUAGGUAGCGGGGCGGGGGAUGGGGGAGGGGUCCCCCGCCCCAACCCCGCCAUCCCCCGCCCCGUUGCCAUCCCUAGUAAUAGACUGGCAAGCAUUGUGGUGGUCAUUGAGAACUUACUGGAGAAAUAGUCCUAUAAGCUGUUCAAUGAGCAAUCACAACUUGCUAAUUGGAUGACUAAUAUAGCUCUAGCUGUAAUGUUUUAAUUAAAUUACAUCACUAACGUUGGGAUGACUUUUUAACCAAAAAAAAAUGCCUUAGUUCAAGCUUUUCCCUUUAUUGUGCAUUUUUUAAAGCAUUUGAUAGGCACUGCAAAUCUGUCAUUUUGGACAUUUUAUUAUUGACUAACAAUGAAAGCCGUGACGUCUACCCAUAACCAACACAAGAUUAAAUUAAUAUUAGAAAAAAUAAUUGAGUAAUUGGAAAAAAAAAAAGAGACUCAUUUUCAUUGAAACCCACCGACAAACUAAACGUGUCCAUGGCUUUUGAAUAGUGCAUUCAACGUUUAAUUGUAUAGUCCAGUUCAUUGCAGAUUACAUGGAGUAAAGAUUGUGCUCUUUCCUUUUUCACCCCUUUUGGAAUCGAUACUGUGGAGAAUUGGGUUUUUCCCUUCUUUUUUUCUUUUCUUUCCUUCUGUGCUUUGCAAAACAUAGGUAAAAAUAUGAAAUCCGAAGCAUUCUUUAAUUGGGAUUAAGUAUUGUUGUUGAAAUUAAAAAGAAAAAAGAAAGAACAACAAAAUUCCCAAUCUGGGUUGAUUGUUGAGCUCUAGAUUGGUUGCAUCGUGCUUCCAUAGAAGCUCUCUUAGUGUGAUACACUGCUUUCAAUCAGUUUAACACGGGAAAAAAAAAAAAAGAGAUGAAAAGCAAAUUUGGUGGGGAUAAUUUCAGAAACCUCCCCUGAAGAUUUUGACUAUUCUACUGGUCUCCCUUCAGAUUUUAAAAAUUACACUAAUCUUCCUUGAAGUUAAUUAUCUUGUAACAUUUAAAUUCAAUCAAUAAUUUAAAAAAUGAUAUUAUGAGAGAGAAAAUAAUGAUUUUAUCAUUGCCCCCCAUCUUACUACAUUAUUUAAUUAAUUUAAUAGCAACCCACACAUUAAAGAAAAAUAUUAAAAUUUGUUGUUUAUCAUUAAAGAUCAAAUCGCUUAUAACAUCAAAUAAUAGUAUAUUAUUUAUAUUUUUCACUCAAUAUAAUAUCCAAAUUACUCUUUUCAAUUACAUACCCAUUGUUAGACAAUCAACAACAAAUAACCAAAAAAUUUGCAACCAAAAUAUUACAAAAAAAUAAACUUUAACAUAUAAAUAUUCUUAUCAACAUAUUAAAGUUAGUUACUGAAAUUUUUAUGCUGUUAAACUUCACUCUUUUUGGUUACAGAUUUUUUUGAUUAUUUGUUAUUAAUUAUGUUUGAUGAUGGAUUUAUAAUUGAAAAGAACAAUUUGAAACUUACAUUAAGUAAAAUAUAUAGAGUGAUAUACUAUUUUUUAUAACAUAUGUGAUUCAAUCCUUCUUGAUAGGAUUGGUAAUAGAGGUAGAGGGGGGAGCCGGCUGCAUCCGGUCUACUUUUCAUAGAUAGUACAAUAUUGCGAAAUCGAUCGCAUUCACGCAAUAUUAUUUCCAAGUCAUUGCAUGGCUAAGCUGCAAAAAAAGUACGAACACAUGUUAUUAUAUAGCUUACGAUUCAAAACUUUAGAGCAUAACCCUCCACCUAACACAAUUGAAUAAUGAACAUUCACGUUUGUCAAAUCUGUCAAAGCACAGUUUGAGGACAACCCAUUCCAACCUGCAAAAGAUUUUUUACUUUUCUAAAGUUGUUGAGAGCUGUAAAAAGACUUACCAUGCUUGCAUCCUCCGAGCCUUGGGAGUUAAAAAUGAAGGCACUGAGUGCUAUAAAAAGGGGAAUAGAGGCUGCCUAGAAGCAUAUCAGCCUAAAACAAGAAUUUGUAGUUAAGAUGGGAAGCAAAGCAAAAGCAAUGGGGUCUGGGCUGACUCCUCUUCUUGCCACUGUUUUAGUGGUGUUUGUUGCUCUUGGCUUGCCCUCACAAACUGCAGCUGAUGAUCACUACAAGUAUUCAUCUCCUCCUCCUCCUUACCACUAUCCCUCACCACCACCACCAGUGCAUAUACCUCCACCUCAUCCUGUUUACAAGUACAAAUCUCCACCACACCCCCAGUACAAGUAUAAGUCACCACCACCACCUCCUCAUCCGGUAUACAGUCUCCUCCGCCACCACACACCCAGUUUACAAGUACAAGUCACCACCACCACCUCCUCAUCCGGUACCACACCCAGUUUACAAGUAUAAGUCUCCUCCGCCACCAGUUUACAAAUACAAGUCUCCUCCACCACCACCUCCAGUGUACAAAUACAAGUCUCCACCACCACCAGUUUACCACUACAAGUCUCCACCACAGUUUACAAAUACAAGUCUCCACCACCACCCCCAGUUUACAAAUACAAGUCUCCACCACCACCAGUUUACCACUACAAGUCACCACCACCUCCUCCCCCAGUUUACAAAUACAAGUCUCCACCACCUCCUCACCACUACUAAGCAAUUGCUUCUGAGGUAAUAACACUUGUUCAAUAUACCCACUUCUGCAUGAUAAAGCAUAUCUCUAUCAACACAAACUGUCAUGUCUAUCAUGCUAAGUGCCUUCACUUCAUCCACCAAAAUGACUGCUAGAAAAUUUUUUUUAUGUUACCAAAGAAAGGCAUCAUUUUUUCCCUCUGUUAUCAAGAACUUGUACAGUAUAUAGAUUAAAGAGUAUUUUUUUAACUAGCUUAUCAACUGAGAAAUGCAUAUAGCUGAUAGCCAGCUGAAUAUUUGCAGGCAAAGGAGAAGGAAACCAGUGUUUGAGACCUUCUUGAAGAUGUAGAAGCAUAAGAAUUAAAGCCCAAUGUGAAGAUGAUGAUUUCAAGUUUUUCUACGUUACCAUUUCUUUAUCUAAAUUGGUUGUAGCGCCUUAGUUCCUUUGUUUAUGGGAUUUGUAUCGUUUUACGUACCAUGCAGUACAUGUCAUGUUUGUAAGGUUUUCUAUCCUGCCGGCAAACCGCAGGUUCCAUGUAAUAAAUCAAUACUAUUUAUAUUACGACACUUUUCUCUGUUUCUCUUAUAUUUUGUCGUCUUUAAUAUUCUUAAUCAUAUUUUUAACAAAAAUAUUCAAACACUUAGGCAAUCUGGUCUAAUGCUAAUUGUAUGUUUUACUUUUCUUUUUCACCUGCUCCCCUUUUCAACUCAAAAGGAUGCAAUAGUUUGUGAUCACUGUUUAAGACGGAAGCAUGAUACUAAUGAAUAUCUCAUUGAAACUCAAGGAAACUAACAUUGCGAAAAGUGUAAAUCUUGAUUUGAUGCAACUAUUUAUUCGUGGAAUCUAUAGUUACAAAACUCAAAUUCUGACUGCGCCAUUGAUAAAUUAUUAAUGACGCUAUCAUCAUUAUUUAUCCCUAACUAGUUUCGACUACAACUGAACCCAAUAUUUUCCCCAUGAUAAAAGUUUUUGACUAUUUUACUGGCCUCUCUUCAAAUUUUAAAAAUUACACUAAUCUUCAUUGAGAUUAAUUAUCUUGUAACAUUUAAGUCCAAUUAAUAAUUAAAAAAUGAUAUUAUGAGAGAGAAAAUAAUAUAAUUUUAUCAUUGCCCCCCAUCUUGCUAUAUUAUUUAAUUAAUUUAAUAGCAACCCACACAUUAAAGAAAAAUACUAAAAUUUGCUGCUUUUCAUUAAAGAUCAAAUUGCAUAUGCCAUAAAACAUAGUAUAUCAUUCUAUAUGUUUCACUUAAUGUAAGAUCCCAAUUGUUCUUUUCAAUUACAAACCCAUUGUCAAUAACAAAUAACCAAAAAAUUUGCAACCAAAAUAUUACAAAAAAAAACUUCAACAUCAUAAAUAUUCUUACCACCUCUAGUGCAUUCACCCUCAUAAAAUAAUUCAAGACCCUACUGUCAUAAAAUGACUGAUCAACUCCCGUAAACCUAAUUUGACAACAUUUAAAUGGAGAACUUUAGCUAAAAGAAUUAUGGUCAAGCUAAAGAAAAAACCAGUUAUUUUCCAACAUAUGCAAUCAUUGAUCAGGGAAAAAAAAAAGAGCAAAAAGACAUCUUCAAUCAUUUAAUAGCUUACAGGGCAAAUUAACCCCUAAGCGAAAACUGGUUGCUCUAGAAUCAAAAUUUUACUUUAGUUACCCAGGCAACUUUUUUGUUGCUUUUUUUUUUUUUUUCCUUUAGUUUUGCCCCCUCUGUCAAGCUUAUAAAAUUAUUAAGAUAAUAAAAGUGCCUUGAAUAGUAUUAAUAUAUCCAUUGACUUGAGCUGUCGUCAGUUUGCGAUUCCAUGAGGCCUUUUCAAAGUACUCAGAAAAUGGGGAGUCAUGAAAUCCAUUUGUUCUAUUCAUUGCUAAGAUGCUUUUCUCUAUAAAGAGACUUCCUAACGAAAAUACUUUGUAGAUUUCUUUACUCCAAGUGGUGCAUGGAAAAUUAAUAUUUUCAAUUAUCAAAUAAAAUUCCCUUUUUUCGGCGUAGAUUUCAUCCAUCCAGCUGUUAACACAUUCUAUAAAUCCGAAUUGACUAAUCUUUUCGUUUCCAUUUUCCAACUUGCGAAUACGGCAUAUAGUGUCUGCUAAACACUAUAUAUUCUCUGCCAAAUAUGAAUACAUAUCACUUUUCUGAGCAAGUGCAGAGUCAUUAUCAUUUUUAUUCCCACCUAACAAAUUAGGGAUAAAAAAGUUAAUAAUCUUUACAUGCUAUCAGGUCACAAGUUAAUAAUCUUUUAAAGAACAUGUUAAAUUAAUUUAUUGGUAUGAAUAGUAGUCAAAGAAGUAUGUUAAAGUUAGUAAUCUUUAAAAUAAUAUGUUAAAAUCAUUCGUACAAAUUAGUCAGAGAAGUAGCAUAAACACCGCGAUGCAAUUAAUACUUUCAAUCUCAAGGUCUCUAUUAUGGAAAUUUGCAUCGGUCAAUAUACACUUGGCAUAAUAUAAUCUCCCAACUCAUUUCUUUACAAAUGCACCUUUAAUCACCACCAAAAGGUGUGGACAUGAUCUUUACCCUAGAAAACUAUUCACCGACAGGCAAAUUGACGUCAGAAAUACUGAGGAAUUCUAGUUUCCUUCGGGUUCAUGCCAUGUUGUAUCCUUCAACUGUAACUCGAUUUCUAAGCUGUAAUUUGUGACAUAAUAGUCCUUAAACUAUGAAACCCUUCUUACUUAAUUACAAUGGUUAAUACAAUGCCCGUGACUAGACAAGUAUGAAGCAACCAUAACAGAAAAAAAAUCCAAAAUUAGAGAAAAGAAAGAAGUUUCGCGACCACCACCAGUUUACAAGUCACCUCCACCACCUCCUCCAGUUUACAAGUCACCUCCACCACCUUACCAUUAUUCCUCACCACCACCUCCAGUGCAUUCACCCCCACCACCACCAGUUUACAAGUCUCCGCCACCACCUUACCAUUAUUCCUCACCACCACCUCCUGUGCAUGCACCUCCACCACCAAUUUACAAGUCACCUCCUCCAGUUUACAAGUCUCCACCACCACCUUACGAUUAUUCCUCACCACCACCUCCAGUGCAUUCACCCCCACCACCACCAAUUUAUAAGUCUCCCCCACCGCCUCCCCCAGUAUAUAAGUCACCACCACCACCUCCUCCAGUAUACAAAUCACCUCCACCACCUCCUCCAGUUGACAAAUCUCCACCACCACCAAUUUAUAAAUACAAGUCUCCUCCACUACCUCCUCCAGUGUACAAGUCAUCACCACCACCUGCUUACAAGUCUCCACCUCCUCCAGUUUACAGUUCCCCACCACCACCAAUCUACAAGUCUCCACCUCCACCCUACCAUUACUACUACAAUUCUCCUCCUCCUCCUCGUCACUACUAAGCAAUUGUAUCCAAGUUUUUGAGGUAAUAACGCUUAACCAAUAAAUUAACUUUCGCAUGAUAAACCUUAUCUCUAUCAAGACAAACUGCCAUGUGUAUCAUGCCAAAUACGUACACCUAGAUCCAUGAAAAUGAAUGGUGAGGAGGGCCAUUUAGGCUCGGAGCGCCCUAGGCCUAGUUCCCCACCAUUUCCUGAAGUGCCGCCUCGGGUAUUAUCCUGGAAGGCGAUCGCGGCCCAUUUACCACCUCGGCUACAAUGUCAGGUCGUAACACCGAGGUGGACAUUGAAUGACAACUACGAAAAGGGGAGAUGUGAUCUCUGACACCUGAGCAAAGGCUGCUCUGACCCGCCGCCUGAAUCUGACAGAAUGUCCCAUCACGUCUCUUCAUGGAGACCGGUCAAGUCCACCUGAUCCACUGACUAUCUCAGAUCUUUUGGGACCCGUGCAAACAUCUCCUCUCUCCUAUCAGUCCCCUAUAAAUACACGAUACUUCUACUGAAAAAGGAGAUGACCAAUUUCUGGUAAAACACACUCCACUCAUUAUUUACUUCUCUAUAUCCGAACUGACUUAAGCUUCGGAGUUAUACCGGGGGAUCCAGCCCCUUUCUUAUCCAAGCAGGUGACUUCGUCCAAGAGAGUUGCCCAAGGUAAAGAUAUUCUUCCAAUUGAGGUGACUCACUCCUGCGGGUCGAAAAUCACCUCUUCAAUUGGCGCCGUCUGUGGGAACCGCAAAGAUAUUAGAAGAUGAAGCCUGCGCGUUCUAGAAGCAGAAAAGCUCUCACUAUCGAGGCUGGGCAAAGCAAUGCAGCUCAACAAGAAAAUAUUUCUGAAGGGCAGGAGUCCCCAAGGACUCAGCCCGCAAACGAAAAAGCCAUAACCCGUAUGGCCGAGUUUGUGACCGAGAACCCCAACAUCUUUGAAGAGUUGGGAAGAUACCUGAAGAGGCAAGGCAAACAAAAGGCCGAGUCCUCUAAAAGGAUGUCAGAUGGGUCUCUUGAGGACUCAUCUGAGGAGGAGUCGGAUGGAAGGCACUUAAGCCGAAGUGCCUCAAAGCGAGCAUUUUCUAAGGCCACUUCUAAGGUAGCCUCCCUGACCAAGGCGUUUUCCCGAGGGCUCUUGGGCCGACGACCCGAGGAAGAACCUCGGCCCUUGGGAAUACCCGGGGUGGACUGCAUGAGGGCUCCACCGUUCACGGAUGAUAUAAACGAGGAAAGGCUUCCUCCCAAUUUUAAGCUCCCCGCAGUACAAUCUUACGAUGGCCGAGGUGAUCCCGAGAAUCACAUCCAUACCUUCAUCUCGGCCUUCCAAAUAUACUGCAUCCCAGACCCUGUCAUAUGUCGGGCCUUUCCAGUAUUCCUCAGAGGAACUGCUCGAAAAUGGUUCUGAGCUCUAGAACCUAGGAGCAUUUCGACCCUGGGUGAAUUAGUGGAGAAGUUUCUCCACCGAUUUGUCUCCUCCCGACCUACGACUAGGACCUCGGCUUACCUGCUCACCGUGCAGCAGAACCCGGGAGAGUCACUCCGGUCGUACGUCCGGAGGUUCCAUGAGGAAAGCGUUCAGAUACCUGACCCCAAUGAGCAGGUAACCCUCGCUGCCUUUACCCAUGGACUCGUUGCCGGGGAGUUCAAUACGGGGAUCCAUAAAAAAUACCCCCGCACACUGCAUGAAUUGUGGUUGAAGGUUGAAAAGGGCAUACAGGCCGAAGACCUCCAUCGCAUGAAGAAAGAGGUCCAAGCCACCCGUCCAAGGGCUGAGCCCAGAAAGGGAAAAGACGCUGGCCGAACUGAAGUAGGGUCGGGAAGUGGCUUCCGAAGUCCUGGCCGAGACCGCCGCAGCGUGUUCGACAGGAUAUCCAAGGGGAAGUCACCUAUUCCCGAGUCCGAGUUGACUCCUUUAAAUACUACCCGAUCUCACGUGUUGUCCGUGAUGGAACAAAACAACCUCGGCAAGGGCCCGCCGAGGAUGUUUGGAAGCAGAGACAAGAGGAACUCGAACCUCUACUGCUUGUAUCAUCGUGACAUUGGUCACGAAACUGAGGAUUGCAACGAUCUCAAGAAGGAGAUCGAGAACCUCAUUAGACGGGGACACUUGAAACAGUUCAUCCGCAGAGGUGGAGGUCACCAACGUGACGAAAACCGGCAUGACAAAUGAGGUGACCAACGCCGAGAUGAGCGGCGGAGCUCCAGAAGCAGUUGCCGACCUCCUGAGGAUCCCAGGGAGACGAAAAGGCCUCCCCCAGACGGAUCUUCGGGACAUGGGCCAACCAUUGCCCGGGUCAUUAACACCAUUGCCGGAGGUCCGACGGGAGGGGACAGUCAGAACUCCCGGAAGAGAACCUAUAAGCAGGCUAACCCGGAUCAGGCCGAGUCGAGUUCUCGCCUGUCCGAGGUGAUCACCUACGGGCUCAGUGAUCCCAUCCCAGCUGCAUCCAGCAGUCAUGAAACCUUGGUGAUUGAAGUCCUCACCAAUAACUACAUUGUGAAAAGGUCUACAUAGACCCGGGAAGUUCAGUUGACGUCAUGUACCUCCGUACCUUUGAGAGCCUUAAAAUGGCUAAGGGGUGCAUGACCCCGCUGAGAACCCCUCUUGUAGGGUUCGGGGGACACGUGGUGCACCCCGAAGGGAUGGUGACUCUGACAGUGACCAUAGGGCAUCACUCUCGCUGUAGAACCGUCCCUGUCAAUUUUGUGGUGGUUAAGGCUGACUCCCCAUACAACCUACUUUUAGGUCGGCCUACGCUCAAUGCCUUGCGGGCGGUCUACUCCACCUACCACCUGAGCUUCAAGUUUCCUACCCCAGCAGGGGUGGCCGAGGUCAGCAGCGACGUCUGUGCUGUCCGGGAGUGCUACCUCGCCACCCUACAAGCAGCCUCCCCGUCUACCUCCGGUGCGAGGUCCGAGAAGAGGUCAAAUAUCCUCUCAAUAGAUAGCAUCGAUCCUCAGUGAGCUGAGAAGGUCCCGAGGCUGGAGACUGGGGAUGAGGUGGAAGAGAUUCCCCUGGACCCCACGAAACCUGAUCAGACAGUUCGCGUUGGUACCCGAUUGCCCGGUCCUAUCCGAAGAGGUAUGAUGGACCUCCUCAGGGAAUACCGGGACGUCUUUGCUUGGGCCGCCGAAGAGGUCCAAGGAGUCCCGCACCAUCUCAUGAUGCAUGACUGAACGUCGACCCCCAAGUCCGUCCGGUCAAACAGAAGAGAAGGCACAUCGGCCCUGAGCGCAGCCAAGCUGUUGGUGAGGAAGUGGACAAGCUUUUACCCGCUAAAAUAAUCCGAAAAGUCCAAUACCCGAUCUGGUUGUCUAACUCGGUCAUGGUCAAGAAGGAUACGGGGGCUUGGAGAAUGUGCGUCGAUUUUACCGACCUCAACAAAGCCUGCUCCAAGGAUUGCUACCCCUUGCCCAAAGUCGAUACUUUGGUAGACUCAGCAAUGGGCUACGAGAUCCUCUGUUUCUGGGAUGCAUUCAAAGGCUAUCACCAAAUUGGGAUGAGUCAAGAAAACCAGGAGAAAACGGCCUUCUACACCGACCGCGGCACGUACUGUUAUACUACCAUGCCAUUCGGGUUGAAGAAUGCCGGAGCCACUUAUCAACGCUUGGUCAACCAAGCAUUCAAGUCUCAAAUCGGCCGGAAUGUUGAGGCCUAUGUAGAUGACAUCCUCCUCAAAAGCCAGACGAACUCCACCUUCCUGGCCGACUUGAAGGAGGUCCUUGACAUCCUGCGGAAGGUGAAAAUGAUGCUGAACCCCAAGAAAUGUGUUUUUGGGGUCACCUCGGGGAAAUUUCUAGGUUACCUCGUCUCAAGGCGAGGUAUCGAAGCAAAUCCGGAUAAGGUGCGAGCCAUCCAGGAGAUGUCUCCACCCCGGUGCGUCCGCGAUGUCCAAAGGCUGACAGGGCGAUUAGCCGCCCUGAAUCGGUUCUUAUCGCAGUCGGCAGCUAAAGCACUGCCCUUUUUCAAAGUGUUGAAGAAAGCUGACCAUUUCUCCUGGACGGAAGAGUGUCAACAGGCGUUUGAGCAGUUGAAGGAUUACCUUCACUACCUUCCAACGCUCACCUCACCUCGUCCGGGGGACAAAUUAAUCUUAUACCUUUCUGCUGCGGCCGAAGCGGUGAGUGCCGUGCUGAUAAGGAAGGAAGGGGUCCAAAUGCCCGUCUACUACGUUAGCCGAGUCCUCCGAGGUCCAGAGACCAGGUACACACAAGCAGAGAAACUUGUGCUAGCCCUGAUCCACGCCGCCCGCAGACUCAAGCCCUACUUCCUAGCUCACCACGUCUGCUUGAGGACUGAUCAACCACUUCGGCAGAUUUUGACACGACCAGAGGUUUCGGGACGUCUUACCAAAUGGGCCAUUGAGCUGGGGGAGUACGACCUAACUUAUGAGCCUCGCACAGCGAUCAAGGCCCAGGCUCUCGCAGACUUCGUAGCCGAGCUCACCUUUGACGAGGUGCAAGGAUCCGUCCCGGCUGCCACAUCGGCCACAGUUGAUGUGGCCACCACUGGGCUCCAGCGGUGGAUCCUACACGUGGACGGUUCGUCAACAGUGAGGGUAGUGGAGCAGGCUUGCUCCUCGAAGACCCCCAAGGAGAAAUAUGCUAAUAUGCCUUAAGAUUUGACUUCGCUGCUUCAAACAAUGAAGCUGAAUACGAAGCCGUCAUUGCUGGACUGCAGCUAGCUCGCAAGCUCGGGGCCGCACACAUCUUGGUUUAUAGUGAUUCCCAACUCGUCGUGUGCCAGAUAUUAGGUGAGUACGAAGCCAGGGACGAGGUGAUGCAUCGUUACCUCUCCAAGGUCCUCCAGUUGGCGACUCACUUCGAGUCUUUUGAAAUUCAAAGAAUACCGCUAUCGAAAAACAGAAGGGCUGACGCCCUCUCCCGGCUUGCCUCAACCUCUUUCUCUGACCUGAACAAGACGGUUCUCGUUGAAGUUCUAGCCGAACCAGGAUAUGUAGCCGAGGUAGUAUACCCCGUCUACCCUGGGGACACCUGGAUGGGUCCCCUGACUCGAUUUUUCAGCCAGGGUGAGCUCCCCGAAGACCGAGCUGAGUCACGGAAGCUCCAACGAAAAGCAGCACGGUACAUUCUCCGACAAGGCCUUUUAUACAAAAGGUCUUACCUCGGCCCUUAGUUGCGAUGUAUCACGCCCGAGGAAGGCCAGAGAAUCCUCCAAGACAUACAUGAGGGGCUCUGUGGUGCUCACGUCGGCUACAGAAUGCUGGUAAAAAAGGCUUUGUUACUUGGGUAUUUUUGGCCCACUAUGAGGAUAGAUGCCCAGGUCAUGGUCCUUUGCUGCCCCUCCUGCCAGCAUCACGCUCCUGAGCACCACCAGCCGACCAAUUUAAUGAUCCCUAUCACCUCGUCAUGGCCAUUUGAGCAAUGGGGAACGGACAUAAUUGGCCCCUUUCCCAGAGCUCCAGGCAAUUAUACCUACGUGGUGGUAGCAGUGGACUACUUCACCAAAUGGGUCGAAGCUGAACCCCUAAAAAAUAUCACUGGUGCGGCAGUCCAGAAAUUCUUCUGGAAGAAUGUGGUUUGCCGCUUCGGCCUACCCCGGGUGAUCAUCUCGGAUAAUGGCCGACAGUUCGCCGAUAAUCCUUUCAAGGCCUGGUGUGAGAACCUCGGGGUCAAACAGCAUUUCACUUCGGUGGGACACCCCCAAGCCAACGGACAAGCCGAAAACUUCAAUCGCACGCUCCUCCAUGGCCUCAAGACCAGGCUCCACCAGGCUGGAUCGUUUUGGAUGGAAGAGCUCCCCAGUGUGCUGUGGUCCUACCGAACUACGCCGAGAUCAGCAACCCAGGAAACCCCGUUUUCCUUAACCUACGGGUCAGAAGCUGUUGUUCCAGCCGAAUUCAUCACCCCGAGUCCACGAAUGGCCGCAUAUGCUGCCGAAGUCAAUGAAGAAGAACGGCGAGUUGACCUCGACCUCGUCGAAGAGAAGCGUGAUAUGGCCGCGGCCAAAGUUGCUGUUUACAAAAAUAUCGUAGCUGGCUACUACAACGCUCGGGUUAAACAUUUGCGGUUCAGUCCGGGAGACCUGGUGCUCAGGAAGAACUCAGUCAGCCGGGCUGAACCUCAGGGUAAACUAACCCCCAAGUGGGAGGGACCAUACCGUGUUGUUGAGUCCAGCCAAAAUGGAUAUUGUAAAUUGGCAUACCGAGAUGGGUCUCUGAGUGCCCCGAACUUGGCAUGCUGAAAAUCUUAAGUUGUACUACCCUUGAGGGUAUGUGCUUUUAAUCUUGAGUUAUUUCACACUUAUUUUCAUUUCAUUAUAAGUGAAAAAUAAGGGGACAAAGUAGCAGUAAAGAGGAAAACCGAAUUUAAUUAAAAAGAAAGCAAGAAUAUGAACUCAAUUCCAUUGAAUUACAUAAAAGUAGAAAGCCGAGGUCACCUUUAAUUAGGAAGAAAGCAAGAAUAUAAACUCAAUUCCAUUGAAUUACAUAAAAGUAGAAAGCCGAGGUCACCUUUGACCUCGGCCUACAAUGACAAAAAAAAAAACAAGUGCCUCUAGGCACUCCCUACCCUGACAUCCUGGCCCCCCGUGGUCGCGCCACCCGUUUCGGCACCCUGUCCACCCUCAGCUCCUCCACCGGCCUGGUCGUCUUCAGUACCAUCUAGUUCAAACUCCUGGAGCCAUUUGUUGAAUUCGGCUCGGACUUCGGUUAGGUCUUUCUCAGUCCGGAUGCCCUCAGCCAUGCUGUCGCAUAGCUCCUUGGCAUCCUCGUUAUAGUGCGAAGUGCUCUGAAGGGACUCCAGUUGUUCAGAGGGAAGAAAGGAUGCCGCGUCAUUAAUAGCCGACGUGUACCCGAACAUGAAGCUUGGCCGGGUGAGCUCGCCGAGGUCACGGAUGAAGGACUCUGACGUCCGGAAGGCUUCCACAGCAGUGACCCCGGCCUUGUCCAUGGCCUCCCUGUUUGACUGUUCUUCUUGGGCCCUCCUUUUUUUCUCCUCAUCAAGAGCAGUCACCAGGGAAUUGUUCGCGACCUCGGCCCUUUUGUUAGCCGCCUUGGCCUUGUCACGCUCCAACUCGGUUGCCUUCAGUUUUUCUUCCAACUCGGCAAUUCUCUUCUGGAGCUCGGCAGGAGGCUCAUAGUUUUCCAUGAACUUUCCAUACCGUUGAAUCAUCUCGACAAAAAAAGCCGUGGUAGAGGCCCAUGACACCGAGGCGCUCUGCAUCAACUCCCCUGCGGAGAGCUUCCUAGCAUAAGUGCUAUCUCGUGGCAGCACUGAAUGCACCAAGAGCUCCUGAGCGACCAAAGGGUUCUUGCAGCGAUCGUUGAAAUUAAUCUCCCACUCUGGACACCAGUGUGAUCCGGGGUGUCUCUUGUCCUCCUCAGCUGCCUUGAAAGGCACAUGAUGGAGUUUGAACAAAGAUGACCCCGUGACGGGGUUCUCCGGAAAUAUGGUCACACCCUGACCCCGGGGGGGAGUGGCAAUCGUGACCCAGCGAGAAGGGAUUCCCACCGGAAUUGCCGAGGCUCGGGAACCUCCCGGAGUGGCCGAGGUGUGCGAGCCCUCGCCCACGAUCACCACGGCAGGCUCGCGGUCGCCCGACGCCGCGGUGGUUUUCUUAGCCGGCCUGGAAGAGGACCCUGCAGUGUCCUUGCGCUUUUUGGGAGCUCUUUUGACCACCUCGACAUCUCCCGAGGUUAUCAGGUCGAAAAUCUUCGUCACUGCAAAGUAGGAGACGAAGUCAGUUAGAAUUCAAGAGGGAUAAACUAAAAGGGAAGAAAUGGAAAAAUACAAAGUCUGUGAAGCCUAGUCGAGAGUAAGACAGGCUGGUCAGAGCUCGUCAAGGCUCAACUGAUCCCGCCUUCCACGAGCACCACUUCGGGAAAAUCCCAGCAGUUUAUCCUGAGGCCCGACCCCGUUAACUUCUGGAAGUUACGCUCUUCUAACUUCCCUGGAGAUAUCUCCUUGAUCGAGGUGGGAGGCCUCCACCAGAAUCCGCGAGGGAAGUCAUCGGCCGAGACGAAGAAGAAGUUUUGCUUCCACUCCUUUAUUGAGUUCGGAGCAUCAACCACCAACUUCGGAACUUUGUUUCCGAAGUAGAACCAUCCUUUUUCACUUCUGCUGUUCUUGAGUGAGUAACAGCGGCGAAAGAGGUUGACCUAAGGUUGUAUCUCCUGAUGUCGGCAAAGUAGCUGGAAGCCAACGAGAAUGCGAAUAGCGUUAGGGGUGAGUUGAGUGAUUCUCACCCCCCAGUACCUCAGGCAGUCCCGAAGAAACCUCGUCGUGGGCACUCUGAGUCCGGCCUCCAGCUGUUCCUGAUAGAUAGUCACCUUGCCCUUUGGUGGCAGUGCGGCUGACUGAUGCGGUUGGGGUAUGUAAAUACUAUAAUCCCUUCUCCAGGGAUACCUGCGGACCACCUCGGCUAUUGAGGCUUGUCCCAUACCACUACUGAAGAACGGCAUCUGGCCGUAGUCGAGAGUUGCCACGUUUGGAGGAGUGGAAGGUUCUUGUACUCCCUCGUCUCUAGGGAUCUCAAUCCCGAGGUCAUCGUUGUAUAGGACCUCGGGCUGGACCUCGAUCUCCUCGGGCUGCACCUCAACCGCCUCAGCUCGGCGUGAUGCCUCGGCACCUCCACCCUCAGCUUGGUGAGAUGCCUCAGCACCUCCGCCCUCGGACGCGGUCCUUUCCUGGGAGGGGUCAGGCCUCUCUGCCUCAGUGAGGUCAGGUCUCACUGUCUCUUUGUGCGUACGAGCUGUUCUAGCCAUUGUAUCAGAAGGGGAAGAAGUGAACUUACUUAGAAUCUGCGACUGGAAGAAGAUGCCGAAGUAGACGUGGUUUAGAAAGGUUGCCGAAGUGAAAAGAGAAAGAAACAGAGUUCUGGGGUGAUUCUUGAUUUUUGGUGAAGAGUAAAACGGUGAAAAAAGACCACUAUUUAUAGGCCACCAGGGUGAAACCCAAGAGACGGCACCCUCUCUCUUCAUUAAUGGGAGGACUGUUCGUCUGCCAACACAGCUGACAGCCGUCCCUUCAGUUAUCACUCAGUCCCAUCUAUGCGGUCAUGACGUGUCCGUGUUCCGUGUUUUAUACGCUUCUCAGCUUCGGGAAGUAACGACCACGGCGGAUGCCCAUCUCGCCCUUCUCAAAGCUUGGGGGGCUUAGUGAGGAGGGCCAUUUAGGCUCGGAGCGCCCGAGGCCUAGUUCCCCAUCAUUUCCUGAAGUGCCGCCUCGGGUAUUAUCCUGGAAGGCGAUCGCGGCCCAUUUACCACCUCGGCUACAAUGUCAAGUCGUAACACCGAGGUGGACAUUGAAUGACAACUACGAAAAGGGGAGAUGUGAUCUCUGACACCUGAGCAAAGGCUGCUCUGACCCGCCGCCUGAAUCUGACAGAAUGUCCCAUCACGUCUCUUCAUGGAGACCGGUCAAGUCCACCUGAUCCACUGACUAUCUCAGAUCUUUUGGGACCCGUGCAAACAUCUCCUCUCUCCUAUCGGUCCCCUAUAAAUACACAAUAUUUCUACUGAAAAAGGGGAUGACCAAUUUCUGGUAAAACACACUCCACUCAUUACUUACUUCUCUAUAUCCGAACUGACUUAAGUUUCGGAGUUAUACCGGGGGAUCCAGCCCCUUUUCUUAUUCAAGCAGGUGACUUCGUCCAAGAGAGUUGCCCAAGGUAAAGAUAUUCUUCGAAUUGAGGUGACUCACUCCUGCGGGUCGAAAAUCACCUCUUCAAAUGGUAGAAAGUUUUCUUAAGAACCAAGAACAGCAUUAGUAUUCCCUCUGCUUCCAAAAACUUGUGUAUUAAAUAGAUUAAUGAAUUGUUUAACAUGCUCAUCUACUUGAAAAUGCACAAUACCCAUAACCCACUGAAAUUUUUGCAGGAAAAGGGAAAGAGAAUCUGUGUUUGAGAGCUUCAUGAAGAUGUUGAAGAAUAAGAAUAAAAGCCCAAUGCGAGGAUGUUUUCAAGUUUUUCUAUGUCCACUUUAAUUUGUAAAUUGAAUUUUACAACUCAAUUAAUUCCUUGUUUGUGAGGUACGUAUUGUUUUACGUACCAUGCCGUACAUGUUUGUAAGGAUUUCUAUCCUAUUGGCAAAAGUCGGUUCCAUACAAUUAAUCAAUUCAUUUCACUUCUAUUGGCUCUACUAUUUAUGCAUGUUACGACACUCUUUCCCUUAUAUUUUGCCUUUAAUAUUAUGAGUCAAUAGUAAUAAUGGGCCUUUUUCUUAAAAUUAUACUAUUAUACAUAGGUAGUUUGGUCUAACGCUAAAUUCAUGUUUGUCUUUCUUUUAUUCCCUUUACAUCUCAAAGUAUACUAUAGUUUGUAAUCAUUGUGGUGAUGAUAUUACCAGCUGGUACUUAUAGUUUAAGGCAGAGACAUGAUAUUAACAACUAUCUCAUUGAAACAUAAGUCAAAAUCAUGACAAGUGUGAGUCUUGGUUAAUGCACAAUUUGUUAGUGGAAUUUAUAUUUAUAAAACUCAAAAAAAAUUUUUGACAAUGCUAUUACUAAUUAAUUAAGGACUUCAUUGCUAUAAUUUAUCGCUUACUAGUUUAAACUAUAAAUGAUCUCAAUACUUUUCUCCAUGAUGUCGAUUUCUUUAGACUACGAAAGGGAAAAAUUAGUGACAUAUCCCUUACUGAUUACAACAUCAGCAAAAAUUAGUUAUAAACUUUUCCGGUGGUUUUAAAUCCCUCGGGCACUAAGGUUUUUUGCACAUCGAGUGAAUUAAGGAACAUAGGCAAUUCGUUCUGCAUACCAAGUCCUUGUUUAAGAUGCACGUACUAAAAUGCAUCCACUUCAUUAAUUUGGAAAAUUGCCAUAGUUUUUUUUAAGCAUUUUGAUUUUUUACAUGAUUCAAAAUUUUCUUAUUGGAUACAAUCACUUUGUGUCAAGAACACAUUUUCAAUCAUCUUUUUUAUCUUCUCAAUAAGAAAAUAAAAAUUUAUUCAUGCUUUUCUAACAUAUCCAAUCAUUGAUCUGAAAAAUAAAGAAUUAAAAAAAAAAGACAUUUUCAAUCAUUGCUUACAGGGCAACUUCCCCAUGUGAACCUCUUCAAACAAAGCCAAUAAUAUGAAGGAACAUCUAAAUACACUUUUGCCCUAAAGGCUGGUUGCCUUGGGGUCAAAAUUUAACCUUCGGGAGUAUAAUUACCCGCCAAAUUUAUUAUUUUUUAUGGGUAUAUAGUUCCAAUUUUGCCUCCUGUUAAGCUUAUAAAUAUAUUACGACCCAGAAAAUAAAGGAAUCUUGAAUAGUAACAUGUCCAUUGACUUGAGUUGUCAUCAAUUUGGCUACUUCGAUUCCAUGAGGCCAAUCCAAUUCACACUAGCUAGAGAAAAUGGUGAUAAAGGCACUUAGAAAUUUAUAUGUAAUAUUGAUUGGUAGUAACUGAUAAGUAUAUAUUUUACGUGUUUUAAAUAUGUUUUAUUAGUUAGUUUUGGUGUGUUUUAACUACUUUUAUAACUAAUUAACUAGGAAUCUAGUGAAAAUAUGCAUUUUGUGGUUUGAAGUGUGAAAAUUGUAUUUCUAUGGAUUUUAAUGGUGAAAACUUCAUGUUUUUGUAGGUUUAAUGAUUCAAUCAUCAAAUGACAUGAUUUGAGAAGAUAAUUAGAUGAUUGAUGAUGUUUUGAAGUGAUAAAAAGAGAAUACAAAGUGCAAGAGAGGAAAUGCAAUCAAGAAUAAAAGAAGAAAAUUUUUGUAGCUUUGACAUAUUGUGGUAUUUUGGCAAUAUAUUGAGCUACAAUGAUUGGAUUAAGGUGAUUCUUAAACCAUUUGAAGCUAAGAUAUAGAUCUACAUUUGGUAUGAAGGCAUCGAAACCCAUGUCAGUCAUUUUCCUUGUCAAAAUGUUGAAAUACAGAAGUGCAACUCUGUUCUCGAAAGCUAAAACAGAGCUCUGGCUAGUCGAGGGUAUUUUCAUCAUUUCUUAGUCCACAGAGCUCCAAAUGAGAUGAUUCUUAAGGCAUUAGAACCCUAACUCAAAGAGCUACAACUUUCAUAUUUUGUACAAGAGUUAGUUCGGCCUCCAUCAUUCAGAAAAUAGUAGUUGAAGUGGUGCCAAAUGCAUAGAAGUGAAAACGCGAGCUAUCAAUACUCGACCUGAAGUCGCGUAUUCCUGAGGUCAUGCAUUCUCUUCUAUUUUCUGCAACUUGCCCUGCUUUCACAUAAUUUUUUCAUCUCAAUUCCAACUAUCAAUUUCGGCUAUAUCUGAUCAAGAAAAGUGUGGAAAGUUUGAAAGACAACUCAUAGGAGUUUCAAGAGUCAAAAAUUACAAUUAGAAACAACUCAUUUGGCUCUUGAAUCCUCUAUAAAUAGAGGCCUUUGAAGAACAUUUUCACAACUUUGGAAGGUUAGAGAAACUCCACAAAAACAUAGUCUUCACUAGAAUUUCCUUAGUUCAUUAGUUAGGGUAGUAUAGUAUAGUUAGUGUAGCUUUUCCUUCUUGUAUUUAUAGUUAGGUUUGAAUGAAGAUUCAGGAGCAAAGAUAGAGAGGUUGAUCUCAUGUGACAAGGGUGAUAUCUCUUCUACUACUUUCUCUUUUGUAUUUGAUUUCAUAUUUAACUAUACUACAAAUUUGGCUUUGUUUUUUUUUUUUAUCAUGUUUAGUUAAAGUUUAUGCCUAGAGUAUGGAUGACCUUUCUAUAUCUUGUUUGUGAUAUUUAACUGGUUAUUUGAUGAUGUUAUUUUUGAGCAAGUUAUUUAUCACUUUUGCUUUUCUAAUCGUGAUUAACUGGCCAUUAGUUGUGAUUAUCUAAAAGUGUUAAGUUUGUAAUGAGAAUUGGAGUUUAACACUAGUUCAAGGAAGUGAUAAAUUUAGGGAGUUCACUCAUGAGAGUAGAGGAACACCUUUGUGACCUAAGUGACUUGUUUCAUAUAAUUUCAUAGAAAAAAUGAACUUGUAAUUAAUUUCAUAACCACGAGAGUAAGUAUGGUUUAGCUAUAUGUAUAGUUGAUUCACUACGAGAGUAGGUUUCACAUACAUUAGAAAAUUACAUCAUAACUAGUCAAGAUAAUAUCAUUCAUUUAAUCAGUAAUCUCAUUUGCAUGAGUAGUAAGGCAUUCCAUAUCUCUAGGAGGUUUUUAGUAUUAUUUUCAUUACUUUUAUGUUUAUGGUAGUCUAGAUAAUAAUGGAGUUCAAAAACUACUAGUAAUUGAAAAUUUUCCCUGUGGGAUCGACCUUUAAUACCCUAUACUCGCUCUCGACUCGUAUACUUGCGAAAAAUCACGUGUGCGGUAUUUAGAAUUUAUAAAUGUAAAACUUGACUGUAGAUGAACUAAUUGAUAUAUGUAUACCCCGCACUCGUCAGUAACCAGCUUGUAUUGAUCCCAUUAUUGUGGAUAAUUGUGCUCUUAUGAAAAAAAAUUAUAAAAAAAUUAGCAAAAUUUAUGAUAACAAAUUAAAUUUAUUCAUACAAAUCAGUGAAAGAAGUAGAAUUUUAAAGACCAUGAUGAAAUUAAUACUUUCAAGGGCUCUAUUAGGAAGACUUCACUUGUUGGUGAAACUACACUAGCACAGUUAUAUGCACAUUUACUGUUUUGGUAUCUAAUUUCCUUGCCUUAAGUUGGGUGCAGAUGUUUAUAUUACAAAUAGAUGGUAUCAUAAAAUUGUUGUAUUCACGUUUGUUCUUUUUUUUUCUUCCUUAAGUUUUUUUCUUUAUUCUCGUGACUUCAAAAAUACGAACUCAAGAAAUUGGCUGCUUAAUCAAUAUGUCAUACAGGCUUCGCUAGUGAGGUAUAACUUCACAACUAGAGUCAAUAGAAAUUAUCAAAUGAUUUUUUAACAUCCAAAUUAAGCAAUAAAUUUUGUUUUCAUUUUAUGACAUAUAAUAGUACUACUUCAUGAGAGAUUUUAUAGUUUCUUUUAGGUAUCAUACCUACAAGUGAUAUUUGUCAUUGGAUAGUGACAGAAGUGUUAAUGAUUGUAAGAUUAAAUAUUGUUAAAUAUUGAAAUUUAAACUAUUUAUCUUUAUUGAAAGAUACAAGUUAAAGAAUCGUUCAAGGGGGCAAUUUUCCAUCUUGUCUUUUUGAAAAAACGCUAUCACAUUGUAUAGGCAUGAUAGGUUCAAAUUUGUCAUUAAAUUUAUGAUUGAUUUCCCUUUUAUUCAAGCCAAAUAUUGUUUUAAUUAUCAAAUUCUACUUAUAUUUGGUUAAUUGUACUAAUUGUAGGGCGGUAGAGCAAAAGUUGCUAAAAAUAGGUGAUUUUCUGCAAAUUGGUUGUCAAGGCUGAAGGAUUUGGGAUUCGCAUGUUCAAGGCCUGUUUCCAAGUUUGAUUCAAACUCUGGACAGUUUUAGAGGAAGAUUUGGAAGAUUUGAAAUUUCAUUAUUAGUUUUAUGGUUGAAUUAGGAAUCUUGGAAUAAUUUCUUUUGUGAUUUAUUUUUCUAUUUAGGAGACUAGUUGUUAUUUAGUAGUAGACUUCAAUUAGAAAACAAAGAGAAAAAGAAGGCCGGAAUCCCGCUUGAUUAAUACCUUGGCCAGGGAACAAUCUCGGUGGGGAGGACGGCCACUUAGCCUCUCAAUUCAUCUUGCUUUUCGUUAGUUUGAGAGGAAAACCAAUUGCAACUAGAUUCAAUGGAGUCUGGCAGAAUUUCUUCUAGGAUGCGUAGCUAAAUCCUCAAUUUUUAGUCGAAGGUCAAUUUGAAAAUUCGGUUCCAAAUAUCUGUGAAAUCGAAUUAUUUUACUUAUUUCUUUUAUUUAUUGGUAUUCGCACGUUUUCUGAUUUAACUUUUUAUGAUUGUUUUGUUAUUUGAAUGUCAAGGGUCCGAUAUUCGAAUUAACUUAAUAAUCUACUGCCAAAUUAACCGGUUAAAUCCGUAAUUGUUUGAUUGAUUAAUAUCAGUGGCGACUAGCGUGAUUGGUCCCAUGUUAGGAAAACGUCUGAUCUAAUUUAAACAAACCGUCGUAGCGUGUUUGUUGAUUAGGGUUGGACUUUUCUAAUUCUUAAUUCAAUUGAGAAAUUAAAUCUCCCGGUCGUACCUAAGAUUAUUUUUUUGUUAGCGAAAUAGUUAAUGGUCGUACCUUGACUAUCGAAAAAGUAAGGAAGAGUUGAUUGUUUAUCGCGUGUACGACAACUAUAAUCAAUCUAUUAAUGAGUAAUUGAAUUAUCUUUGCAUCAGUAAUCAGUUGAAUGGACCGUGUCUGAAAAGUUGUACCUUUGGCUAGAGUCUUAUCUGUUGUUGAUUCAUUCAUAUCUAUCUUCAUGCGUUGUUUUAAUUUAGUUAAUUAGUUAUUUUUAUAAAAACCCCUCAUCUCUGGACUCUAAAAGAAAUAAAUUAUUUCUAGUUCCUGUGGAUUCGAUCCUACUCACCGCUAUAUACAAAAUUUGUAUUUUUUUGAAUAAAUAAUUAUUAUUACACAGGCUUGACACCUGUCAAGGCAAAAUUUCCUUAACUUCAUCAUCUGUAGACGUAAACUUUCUACGGGUGAUAUAAUAUAAGGAAAUUUUGCCUAUACGAUGUGAUAGCAUUUUUUCAAAAAAGACAAGAUGGAAAAUUGCUCCCUUGAACGGAAAAAAUCAUGAUCUUUCCUCAAACUAGUCUACUAGUCAAUUCUUUACAAAAGAAUACUCGCUCCUAAACAUAGCCUGUUCAUCUACACUGUCCCGCAGAAUUCUAGAAAGUUAGGCAAAACUAGACAAGUUGACAGGUAUAAUCAUACCCAAGAUCAGGAACAAGCAGUUGCACAUUUCAAAAUUCGCUGCUGCAACAGCUAAUUUGAUGACUUACAACACUACACGGUCAAACUUUGAAUGGCAAUGGAUCUUUUGUUGUACGUCAUGAUGUAAUUUUCAUGUUACAUACAUUAAUAGGUUGAUAUCUAUAUUCUUUAAAUUAUCAUGAUAAUACCCUUAAUUAGAUUUAACUGAUAAAAAGAACACGUGUUAAUAUACAAAAGUGUGUAACGUGAAUGUUACAUUACUGUAUUGCAGAAGACCUAUAGUCUCUUCAUAUCUCUUCCUGCACGUAUCAAUUCGUUUCCUCUAGAUAAUAAUCUCCCAACUCGUUUCUUUACAAAUGCACCUUUUAUGUUUUAUUACCUCCAAAAGCCUUUACAGGGUCUUUACCCUAAAAAUCAAUUCACCGACUCGCAUUUGAUGUCAGAAAUUCUUAAGACGAAUUCUACUUUACUCAAAGAUUGACUGUUAAUAAUGAGACAGCGACCAUUUUGUAUUAUUAGACCGUCCUUCUUGAUAGGUAAAAGAAAUAGAGAGGAAAGUGGGUCCGUAUAUGGUCUUUUAUUCAUAGAUAAUACAACAUUACGCCAUCGAGCAUUCACACAAUAUUUCAAAGUCAUAGCAUGCCUAAGGCCCUGUUUGAUAGCUCAAUUUCGUAAUUAAAUUUAAUAGAUUCAAAUUUUAACACAUUUAAAUCAUUUGAUAACAAAAAAUUGAAUAUUUAAAUUAAUUAAGUAACACUGAACUUUCUAAACAAAACUUGCUUUCAAAAUUAAGUGAUAAGUUAUUCACUUAUCUUUGAAUGUGAUAUGCACUCAAAUAUAUUAAAUUUAAUAAUUUAAUGGAUUCAGAUUUCAGAUUUCAGUUUUAUUACACACCCUAAGUUGCAAAAUAAUACCAAAACUUGUUAUUAUAUAGCUUGAGAUUCAAAAAUUUAGAGCAUAAUUCUCAACCUAACACAAUCGAAUAAUGAAUAUUCACGAUUGUUUCAAAGUACAAUUUGAGGACAACCCAUUCCAACGCGUACACGAUUUUUAACUUUUCUAAAGUUGUUGAGAGCUGUUAAAAGAGAUUUACCAUGUUUACAUCUUCCAAGUCUUGGAAGUGAAAAAUGAAGCCACUGAGUGCUAUAAAAAGGGGGCUAGAGGCUGCCUAGAAGCAUAUCAGCCUAAAACAAGAAUUUGUAGUAACAAUGGGGAGCAAAGCAAAAGCAACGGGGUCUAGGCUGACUCCUCUUCUUACCACUGUUUUAGUGGUAUUUGUCGCCCUUGGCUUGCCCUUGGAAACUGCAGCUGAUUAUUACAAGUAUUCAUCUCCUCCUCCUCCUCCUUACCACUAUUCUUCACCACCACCUCCAGUGUAUUCACCUCCACCAACCCCUGCUUAUAAGUUACCCCCACCAUCUCCUCCAGUUUACAAGUCCUCACCACCACCUUACCACUACUCACCACCUCCGGUGUAUUUACCUCCACCAUCUCCAGUUUACAAGUCACCACCACUACCCCCUCCGGUAUACAACUCCCCGCCUCCACCAGUGUACAAAUACAAGUCCCCACCACCACCUCCUCCAGUUUACAAAUCUCCAUCGCCACCAGUUUACAAAUACAAGUCACUCCCACCACCUCCUCCGGUAUACAAGUCUCCUCCGCCACCUGUUUACGAGUACAAGUCUCCUCCACCACCUCCUCCAGUGUACAAGUCCCCACCACCUCCAGUUUACAAGUACAACUCACCUCCACCUCCUCCCCCAGUUUACCUGUCUCCACCUCCACCCUAUCAUCACUACUACGGUUCUCCUUCUCCUCACCACUACUAAGCAAGUGCAUAAGUUUUGAGGUAAUAAUACCUAUCCAAAACUUUAUCAACACAAACUGCCAUGUAUAUUAUCAUGCUAAGGACGUACACUUGAUCCAUGAAAAUGACUAGUAGAAGAUUUUUUUUAAGAACCAAAGAAAUACAUUAUUUUUUCGGUCUGUUUUCAAGAAUUUGAGCAGUAUACAGAUUAAAGAGUGUUUUUUUUUUUGUAAACUUGCUUGUCAACUUAAAAAUGCACAUAGCUGAAAGCCAACUGAAUAUUUGCAGGCAAAGGAGAAGGCAAUCGGUGUUUGAGACCUUCAAGAAGAUGUAGAAGAAUAAGAAUAAAAGCCCAAUGCGAGGAUGAUUCCAAGUUUCUACGUUACCAUUUCUACAUCUAAAUUGACUUUAGCUCCUGAGUUCCAUGUUUAUGGGGUUUGUACCGUUUUACGUACCAUGCAGUACAUGCUUGCAAGGUUUUCUGUCCUGUUGGCAAACUGCAGGUCCAUAUAAUAAAUGAAUACUAUUUACAUUACGACACUUUUCUCUUUUUCUCUUAUAUUUUGUCUUUAAUAUUGUUGAUCAUUUUUUUUUUAUCAAAAGCAUCAAAUGCUUAGGUAAUUUGGUCUAAUGCUAAUUGUUUUACUUUUAUUUUUCACCUACACCCCUUUUCAACUCAAAGGAUGCUAUAGUUUGUGAUAAUUGUUUAAGACCGAAGCAUGAUACUAAUAAAUAUCUCAUUGAAAGUCAAGGAAACUAACAUUAGGAAAAGUUUAAAUCUUGAUUUGAUGAAACUAUUUAUUCGUGGAAUUUAGAGAUACAAAACUCAAAUUGUGACGGUGUUGUUGCUAAAUUAUUAAGGACAUUAUCACCAUUAUUUUUCCCUGAUCACUAGUUUCAACUGCAAUGAUCUCAAUCUUUUUGUGACUAAUUCUUUCCUUAAUAAUUUAUAAAGACAAAACUCACAAAGAAUAUGUGACUAAUUCUUUCCUUUCGUCUUCUAAAGAAAAUGCCAACUGUUAGUUUAUCAAGGGGAAAAAGGAUCGACAUCAGUUAUUAUUGAAACUAGUAAGGAAUAAAUAAUGGUGAUAAUGUCCUUAAUAAUUUAACAACAGCACCAUCAGAAUUUGACUUUGAGCUUCGGUCUUAAACAAUGAUCACAAACUACAGCAUCCUUUGAGUUGAAAAAGGAAGUAGGUGAAAAGAAAAGUAAAAAAUACAAUUAGCAUUCCCUCAAAUUGUAGAAAGUUAGGUAGCAUUAUAGACAAGUUGAUAGCGGCAAUUUUACAUUUCAAACUUCACCUAUUCAAUAACUAAUUCGAUGGCUUGCUACAUGGUCAAUCUUUGGACCCCUUCCUGCCUCCAGAUAUCCCUUUCCUCAAUCAGGGGCUUCUACAAUUACCAGUUUCAAUUGUAUGGUAUAGUGUAAAUAUCAACAAAUUAGAUGUAGAUGCUAACAUAAUAAAUGUGAAUGCUAAGACAGCAACAUACAAUCGAACCUGCAAUUGUAUGAACCCCAAUCUCGCUUCCUAGUCCACCAUCUUUCUCUAGGUAAUAAUCUCCCUUCUAAUUUAUUCACAAAAUGCACCUUUCAUCACCUCCAAUAGCGUCGACAUGAUCUUUACCCUAGAAGACUAUUCACCGACUCUCAAUUGACGUCAGAAAAUCUAAGAGUAAUUCUACUUUACCCUAAGAUUGAUAUCAACAAGACAAGGACAAUUUAGAAUUAUUACACGCCUCUUCUUAAUAGGAAAAAGAAAUAGAGAAGAAAGUCAGGCCAGGUCUAAUUUCUUUUCAAAGGCAAUACAACAUUACGAAAUCAAGCAUUCAUUCAUACAAAUAUUUCAUAGUCACCGGUUUGCUGAGUAGAAAAAUUUAGACAAAAACUUAAUAUUAUAUUGUUUAAGAGUUAACAAUUUAGAGCUUAAUCUCCUUGUACUUUGGAGUUAACAAUUUAGAGCUUAAUCUCCUUGUACUUUGGACUAAACUUGAACGUGAAAGGAAAUCCCAAAACCAUAUUGGGCAUGAAUUCACACUUAAUAUACCCAAUAAAAGAUGGCGACUGGUGAAAGGCAGUGGAGACUGGUGGAGAGAUUUGAGGAAUAGAAGCAGACGGAAAAGCAACAAAUUUUUGCCGAAAAACGGUCACUUUCAUGGUUAAUUUUGCUACUCUCCAAUUGUACUUGACCAAUUACAACAAUUUCAUGGAGUUUGAUACGUGAAAAGAAUUUUUUAUAAAUUUUAUUUUGAUCCAUAAUGUUAUCUUUACAUAUAUAAAACAUUUUACAAUUUUGAUUUUGGCGCAGCUAACUUUUGGUUAACAAAAAUGCUCAUGUUUAAAAAACCAGAAAUAAAACAAAACAAGAAACAAAAGAAAUAAGAGGGUAGCAUAGACAUUUUGGAUUUUUCCGUUAAUUUGGAUGAUUUCCACCCACGUUCUAAUUUAAUCCAAAACACAAAGGAAUUACGUAGAGGUUUUAAAUAAUGAGGGAGCUUCAUGAUCGAACCCCAAACCACAAGGCGAUUUACUAUAUUUUACUCUUAAAUUUUGGUUUCAUCUCAUAGCAUACAAGAGUUCUAUUUCACUAUCUGUAGACAAAGACUUUCUAUGGUUGAUGUACCAUAGGAAAAAAUCUGCCUAUACAACGUGAUAGCAUUUUUUCAAAAACACAAGAUGGAAAAUUGCCCCUUAAACGGGGAAAUUCAUGAUCUUUCGUCGAACAAAGAAUACUCACGCCUAUUCAAGAUGGAAAAUUGCCCCCUUAAACGUCUAUUUGUCAAUUCUUGAAAAAAGAAUACUCACGCCUAAAACACGGCCUCUUCAUCUGCAGAAUUCUAAAAAGUUAGGUAAACUCUAUAAACAAGUUGAUAGGUACAAUCGUACCCAAGAUCAAGUACAGAUAGUUGUACAUUAACUGCUGCAAUAACUAAUCUGAUGACUUAUAAACAUAUCAUGGUCAAUCGUUGAAUGGUAAUGAGUCUUUUGUUAUGCAUUAGUAUUAGUGUGUACACUCUAAUAGAUUGAUACUUAUACUCUUUAAAUUAUCAUAAUAAUACCCUUAAUUAACUUUAACUCUUAAAAAGAAUACAUGUUAAUACACGAGUGUGUGUAACCUGAAUUGUUACUUAUAAAUUAGUGUGUAAUAGAUAGGGAUGGCAAUGGGGGCGGGUGCCCGCGGGGGGCUCUCGGGGCGGGGGUUGGGGCGGGGGGGAAUUUUUUCCCCCCGUUUAGAAAUGGGGCAGGGGACGGGGGAGUAUACCCCCGCCCCAUCCCCCGCAAAAAAAAAAUUAUAUAUAAUAUGUAAUUUAAUUAGUUAUAAACUUAUGAUAAUGAUAUUAUUAGUUAGAUGUAUUAUAUAAUGUAUAUUAGUGUAUGUAAUAUAAUUAAUAUUAUCAAUUAUAUGAAUAAUUAGACAUGUCUACUAAUAGAAUUUAUGAAUUAGUUAUACUAAAUUUACUAAUACAUUUAUACUAAAUUUCUAAUUACACUUAAUAGAAUAACACUUUUUUCUAAAACAAAAAAGCACAAACACAAUAAUGAAUUAGUGAUUGUAUGAUAGGGUGUAAUUUUACUAUUUAUUUUAUUAUUAAUUUCCCCUAUCACCUGACCUGAUGUGGAUUAAUUGCUGGAUUCUGCUCACUUUUAGUACUUUGUAUUUAUUUCAGGGAGUAGAACGGAAAUUUGAUAACAGGUGCUAAUUUGGCAGAAAAAGAGUCCAGAUGAUAGAGCUUGCCCCAAGGGCAUUUUUGGAAAGGAGAACUUGUGCCCAUCUUGGUAAUUUGGGAGAAAAGGGAAACAGACAAAAUGGGUCUAACAUGGAUUGGAAGCGGCCGCACAGUAGCAGGGAAGAGGGCAGACGUAAAAGCAAUUGCAGGGGGGAAAAGGAGUUUUUUUAGUUUUUAGCUUAGCAUCUGAUUUUCCCUGGGAGACUUUUGUUAAAGAUUUCCUUUUGGCUGAUAUUACGCAUGGCAGAUGGCUUUUAACUUAUUCCUCCAUCUUUGACUUUUCUUCUUUAGCUUGUGGCAGUGGAUUGCUACUUACGAAUGUCAGCACUUAGCCAUUCGUGGCUUUUGAUCUUUUCUUCCUUAGAAAUUCUGAGUAACCUCUUUUCCUUUGUGCGCCAGACGAAGUGAAAACUAUAAACUUUUGUAGUUUUUCUAUUCAUUCAAUAUAUUGAGACGAGUUGGAUUCUACCAAAUUUCAACGGACAUGGCCGCUGGUUUCUCUUCAAUUUUAUAUGGGCUUUGUUCAUCCAACAUGAACUAAUUUCACCACUCUAGUCAAGGAGCAACGAAGGCUCUGAUUUGCCUAAAAAUUGUGAGAUCGUUUUAAUUUAAUCUUUUCCUUUUAUUUAUUGGUAUCCGCACAUUUCUUGAUUGCUAUGCUUAUGGUUAUUUAAUUAAUUGAUUGUCUUGGAUCCAGAUAAUUAAUUGAUCUGAUAGCCUAUUGUCAAUUAGGGCAUUUAAAUCCGUAAUUGUUUAAUUGUCCUGAAAUAGUGACAACUGGCACGAUUAGAUUCGUGCCAGGGGGGAUAUGCGGGCUAAUCUAAAAUAACCCUGGUAGUGUGUUAUUUGGUUAGAAUAGGGCUCCUCUAAUACUAAGGCAAUUGGGGAAUUAAAUUCUACGGGCGUACCUAGGAUUAUUUCUUAAUUAGAGCAGUGAUUAACGGGCGUACCUUGAUCACCGACACAGUAAGGAGGGGUUGACCGUCAUCGCUUGUUUGGCAGUUAUAACCUAUUUAUCAGUAAAUAAUUGGGAUUGCCUUGCAUCAAUGAUCAAUUAGGUGAACCAUUGUUGAAGUUACUUCUUGGUUAGAUCUUUAGUUAAUAUUACCUUGAUUUUGGUGAAUUGCCAUUUGAUUUUUAGUUGCCUACUUUAUUUUAUUUUUAAUUGUUUCCUUGCUUUAAUUGAGUUAGGCCUUUAAUUAUUGUUAUUCUAAGUUUAGUGAAUUGUGGUUUAAUUCCUAAUUAGUUAUUUAUUUUUACUUUCUUAUUUGAAUUUAUUUGCUUGUUAUCAUUCCUACGAAAUCACCCCCCUGUGUUACUUUGGAUUUCUUAAGAAACAAAUAUACCCAAUCCCUGUGGAUACGACCCUACUUGCUCUGUUCACGAAUUCAUAAUUAUUUGUGAAAAGAAAUAACCAUUCCACUCGGGUAUAUCGGAUCAAGCAAAUUCUUCGGGAACAGGGUGAAUCAAGUAACCCAAUGCACACCUAGAGUCCCUGCUCCAGUACUUGGAAUUGGGUUUUGGUCAUUUUAACUGGCAAUUAGGUUUAAUUUUAUUAUUGCACAGGCUGACGACCCUGUCAAUUUUUGGCGCCGUUGCCGGGGACUGGCGUUAUUAUUUGUUUCUUUUUAAAUUCAUUCUUUGUCCUAAUUUUCUGGUUUUCUUCUAGUGUAUGCCUCGAUCUUCUCGUACAGGUAAUUUGAUUUUUGACCCUGAGGUAGAGAAGACCGCAUGUAGAACGAGAAAGGAAACCAGACAGCUCAGAGAAGAGCACUCCAGUGCUACAUCUCAGAGACCCGAGUCAGAAGUUGAACUAACAGAUUCGUUUGGUAACACUUCGAGUGACUCUGACCAGGAGGAAGACACCAUGGCUAAUGCACGAACAUUAAGGGAGUUGGCUGCUCCUGAUUUAACUCAGCAGCCUUUAUGCAUUACUUUCCCCACUUUAAAUGAUAACAUUCCAUUUGAACUAAAAUCUGGUCUGAUUCAGCUUUUACCCUCUUUUCAUGGUUUACCAGGUGAAGAGCCGUAUAAGCAUCUGCAGGAGUUUGAUGUCGUGUGUAAUAGUAUGAAACCCUCGGGAAUCACAGAAGAGCAGAUAAAAAUGAGGGCAUUCCUCUUCUCCUUGAAAGAUUCUGCGAAGGACUGGCUGUACUACCUGUCACCAGGUAGCAUCACCACGUGGGACCAAUUGAAGAAAAAAUUUUUGGAUAAAUAUUUUCCUGCGUCCAGGGCUGCAAGUCUAAGGAAAGAAAUUUGUGGGAUCAAGCAGCAUCCAGGGAAGUCACUUUAUGAGUAUUGGGAACGGUAUAAGAACUUGUUGCGCAGGUGCCCCCAACACCAAAUAAGUGAGCAAUUGAUCAUACAGUAUUUUUAUGAGGGGCUCCUUUUUAGAGACAGGAGCAUCAUUGAUGCCAGGGGGGAGGGUUGGGAUGGGUGGUACGGGGGGAGGGAGUGUAAGCAAGAGGUCUCGGGUUCGAGUCCUCCCGCUUACACACAAAAAAAAAGAUGCUGCAAGUGGAGGGGCACUGGUAAACAAAACCCCUCAGGAAGCACGGGAGUUAAUAGAGGGGAUGGCAGAGAAUUCACAACAAUUCAGUACAAGAGAGGAUGUCCCAAUACGUAAGGUGAAUGAGGUAGAGACACCCUCUAUGCAGCAGCAGCUAACUGAGUUGACCGCGUUUGUUAGGCAACUGGCUGUGAGAAAUGCAUCACAAGCCAGGGUGUGCGGGAUUUGCACUGGUAUGGGUCAUUCUGCAGACAUGUGCCCAAUGAUUCAGGAAGAAACUGCAGAACAGGUGAACAUGGCUGACCACGCGCCCGCGCCAAGGAAGCAGUACGACCCUUACUCAAGCACCUACAACCCCGGGUGGAGAGAUCAUCCCAACCUCAGUUAUGGAGAAAAUAGGCAGCCCAACAUUACACCGAACAGGCAGUCUAACUUUGUGCCAAAUAGGCCACCAGGGUACCAGCAGCAAUAUCAACCCCGACCACCUCCGUCCCCAAGCUCUGGCCCAUCUUUGGAGGAGAUGAUGAAACAAAUGAUGACAACUAUGGCUCAAAAUCAGCAAAUGACGGAGGCAACCAUUAUGCAAAAUCAGCAAAGGACGGACUCCGAAAUGAAGGAUAUAAGGAAUCAGAUAAGUCAAAUGGUCACAACAAUCAACCGUUUGGAUUCCCAGAACCAAGGUAAAUUGCCAUUUCAGCCCGAAUUAAAUUCGAAGAACGUGAGCGCAAUGACCCUAAGGAGCGGGAAAGAAAUUCAGGGGUCUGAACCUGUGAUCCCUAAGGAUAAGGAUGAGGAAAAGAUCGAAAAUGAGCUUGAAAGGGAGGACAGCAAUGGUGCAGAUCUAAAGGUACUUCCUGACCCAAUAAUUACAGCUAAAACUAACCCGCCUCCUUUUCCUAGCAGGUUGGAAAAAUCGAAAAAAGAGGAUAAGGAGAAGGAGAUCUUGGAGGUUUUUCGCAAGGUUGAGAUAAAUAUCCCCCUCUUAGACGCAAUCAGACAAGUACCAAAAUAUGCCAAGUUCCUAAGGGACUUGUGUGUCAACCGAAGGCAGUUGAGGGAAGAUGAACGGGUUAUUGUUGGGGAGAAUGUGUCAGCAGUCCUGCAGAGAAAGCUCCCACCAAAGUGCGGGGACCCAGGUAUGUUUACUAUUCCCUGUAGGAUAGGUAAUACUGUGAUAGAAGGGCCAUGUUGGAUCUGGGAGCAUCAAUUAAUCUCAUACCUAAAUCUAUCUAUGCUUCUCUAAAAUUAGGUCCAUUAAAAGAAACUGGAAUAAUCAUUCAAUUAGUUGACCGAACUAAUGCAUAUCCUGAUGGGUUGGUUGAAGAUGUGUUGGUAAAAGUUAAUGAUUUGAUGUUUCCAGCUGAUUUUUAUGUACUUGAUAUGGAUGAUGAUCACUCCCCUGAUCCCUCACCUCUGUUAUUGGGUAGACCCUUUAUGAGCACAGCACAGACGAAAAUUGAUGUUAAUAAGGGUAUCUUGUUCAUGGAGUUUGAUGGGAAAAUUGUGCAUUUCAAUAUCUUUGAUACUAUGAAAUAUCCCUCAAACUCCAACUUUAGCACAGUUUUCUCUGUGAGUGCUAUUGACCCUGUAGUGCAGGAAGUGUUUGAAACUGAUGGCAGGGAUGAGUUGGAGGUGGCUUUGACCAAGCACCUCGAGUUGGAGACAACUCCUGAGGUGGAAUGGAGCGAGGACCUAAAAUGCACAAUAGGUGCAUUACACUCAUUGCAGUCCACCACGAAAAGGUAUGAAGUCUUACCUAUUUUUACUCCCGAACCUCACCAGAGGGUGUUGCCAUCUGUGGUGCAGGCACCUGUACUAGAAUUUAAACCUCUAUCAGAGCACCUGAAAUAUGCAUAUCUGGGUGAUAAUGAGACACUCCCGGUGAUUAUCUCAUCGACACUGUCAAAAAUCCAGGAGGAGAAACUGAUCCGGGUCCUUAGAGAGCAUAAAGAGGCGAUAGGUUGGACAAUCGCAGAUAUUAAGGGGAUCAGCUCGGCCAUCUGUAUGCACCGGAUUAGACUAGAAGAGGAUGCCAAACCUGUUAGGCAGGCUCAAAGGAGGCUCAACCCCCUAAUGAUGGAAGUUGUAAAGAAAGAAAUUUUAAAAUUGCUAGAUGUGGGGAUUAUUUUUGCAAUAUCAGAUAGCCCUUGGGUAAGCCCGAUCCAGGUAGUCCCAAAGAAGGCAGGGGUGACGGUGGAGGCAAACCAAACGGGUGAGCUCGUGCCAGUGCGCAAACCCACUGGAUGGAGGCAGUGUAUAGACUACCGUAGGCUAAACGCCGUCACCAAAAAGGACCAUUUCCCUCUCCCUUUCAUUGACCAAAUGGUUGAACGUUUAGCUUGUAGAGCUUAUUAUUGCUUUUUGGAUGGAUUUUCAGGAUACUUUCAGAUAGCAAUUGCUCCAGAGGAUCAAGAGAAGACAACCUUCACGUGCCCGUUCGGGACCUUUGCUUAUAGACGAAUGCCAUUUGCGUUGUGCAAUGCACCUGCAACAUUCCAGAGGUGUAUGGUAAGUAUUUUUUCUGAAUAUGUGGAGAAAAUUAUUGAAGUUUUCAUGGACGAUUUCAGUGUGUAUGGUGAUAGUUUUGAUACGUGUUUAGAUAAUCUGAAAUUGAUCCUGAUAAGGUGUAUAGAGACUAAUCUUGUGCUUAAUUGGGAAAAAUGUCAUUUUAUGGUUGAGCACGGGAUAGUCCUGGGUCAUAUUGUAUCGUCUAAGGGCAUAGAAGUUGACAAGGCUAAAAUAGAUAUUAUUUUUGCAUUACCUUACCUCGCGAGUGUGCGGAAGGUGCGUUCUUUUCUUGGACAUGCAGGUUUUUAUCGAAUGUUCAUCAAGGAUUUUUCAAAAAUUGGAGCCCCGUUAUUCCAACUCCUACAAAAGGAUGUGACCUUCGAAUUCGAUGAUAAGUGUGAGGAAGCCUUCAACAAGUUGAAAGAAUUGUUGACCUCACCCCCAAUUAUCCAGCCCCCUGAUUGGAGUCUACCAUUUGAGAUCAUGUGCGAUGCCAGUGAUCAUGCCGUAGGGGCUGUAUUGGGGCAAAGAGUAGGGAAGGCAGCUCACGUCAUCUACUAUGCAUCCCGAGCAUUGAAUGGAGCCCAAUUGAAUUACUCCACUACUGAAAAGAAGCUUCUUGCAGUUAUUUUUGCUUUAGAAAAAUUCAGGUCAUAUUUGCUAGGUGCUAAAGUAAUUGUAUUUUCUGACCAUGCAGCAUUAAGGUACCUAAUGACCAAGAAAGAUGCCAAACUGAGGCUCAUUAGGUGGAUAUUGCUACUGCAGGAAUUUGACCUGGAGAUACGGGAUAAAAGGGGCUCAGAGAAUUUAGUAGCUGACCAUCUGAGUCGUAUACCCGUUGGAGAGGAUAAUGAACCAUUGAGGGAUGCGUUCCCUGAAGAGCACUUAUUUUCUUUAAAUUCUCAGUUGCCUUUGUAUGCCGAUCUGGUCAAUUAUUUGGUAACUGGUAAUUUUCCUGCAGGUUGACCAAAAUCGAAGAGGGAUAAAUUGAAGAGCGACGCCAAGUAUUUUAUUUGGGACGACCCGUACCUAUGGAAGAGGUGUGCAGAUCAAGUGAUGCGGAGAUGUGUAAGUGAAAUGGAAUUUCAAUCGAUUUUAGCUUUUUGUCAUACUUUUGCCUGUGGAGGUCAUUUGGACCCAAGAGAACUGCUCAUAAGGUUUUAGAAAGUGGAUUUUAUUGGCCUUCAUUGUUUAAGGAUGCCUAUGUGUUUUGUAAGUCAUGUGAUCGCUGUCAAAGGGUAGGUAAUAUACCCCGUAGAGAUCAAAUGCCCCAAGUCCCGUUGAUUUUUAUUGAAAUUUUUGAUGUCUGGGGUAUAGAUUUCAUGGGGUCUUUUCCUACUUCAUUUGGUUUUUUAUAUAUUUUGCUGGCAGUUGAUUAUGUGUCUAAAUGGGUGGAGGCUAAGGCCACUCGAACUAAUGACUCGAAAGUAGUUGCAAAUUUUGUCAGGUCUAAUAUUUUUGUGCGAUUUGGAAUGCCUAGUGCUAUUGUCAGUGAUAGGGGAACGCACUUUUGCAACAAAAUCAUAGCUGCGUUGUUUCGCAAGUAUGGUGUACUCCAAUGGGUCUCAACGUCGUACCACCCUCAGACCAAUGGUCAAGCGGAGGUGUCGAAUCGAGAGAUCAAGUCUAUCUUGGAGAAAAUGGUGCGCCCCGAUAGGAAAGACUCGAGUCAAAGGCUGGAGGACGCACUUUGGGCCUAUCGGACGGCGUACAAGACUCCUAUAGGGAUGUCACCGUACAGGUUGGUAUUUGGGAAGCCGUGUCACCUUCCAGUGGAGUUUGAGCACAAAGCUUUUUGGGCGAUAAAGUAAUGCAACAUGAAUUUAGAGGAAGCCGGUGCCCAACGAAAGUUGGAUUUGCAAGAAUUAGAAGAGAUCCGGAACGAGGCUUACGAAAAUGCACUAAUUUAUAAGGAGAGAAGCCGGAUAUUUCAUGAUCAACAAAUUUCAAGAAAAUCCUUUGAAGUUGGUCAGAAGGUCCUACUAUACCAAUCCAGGCUCAAGCUAUUCCCAGGUAAACUACGUUCCCGUUGGAUUGGACCUUUUCUUGUUACUCAUGUUUUUCCAUAUGGUGCAGUUGAAAUCCGGAGCGCUAAAACAGACAACAAAUUUGUGGUGAAUGGACACCGUCUCAAGCAUUACUACGAAGGAUUUUCAGGUGAAAAGGUGGAGACAAUAAGUCUAGACGCGCCACCGUGUCCUAAUCAGUGACAUUUUACUAUGUCUAGCCAAAGACAUUAAAGACAGGCGCUCAUUGGGAGGCAACCCAAUUGUCCCUUUUAAUUAUUUGUUUGAUUUCGUGUGAUAGUUUAAAUAUGUUUUCCUUGAAUUCGACUGAUUUUGGGUUUCAGUUUUCGUUUUUGCUGAAUUGUAGGUGACCUUCAGUCUUGACGCGCCCGCGUGAUGACAUGCAGGAAGCUCACGAUCAGAAUCGUCUGAAAGCUCUCUUGCCCUUUUGACGCACCCGCGUGAUGACGUGCAGGAAGCUCACGAUCAGAAUCGUCUGAAAGCUCUCUUGCCCUCUUGACGUGCCCGCGUCACGUUCGCAGGAAAGGUACGGGUUUCAAAAAUUUAAAGAAAAAAUAAUAAUAAUAAUAAUUUAAAAUUUUGAAAUUAACUUCCGUAAAAAAAAAAAAGAAGAAAAAAAAUUUCACCGUGGCUUAAAUAGAGCCUAAAGAAGAGAAAAAAGAAACAAUUUCUUUCUUUUUUUUUUCUUUUUCUUCUUUCUUCCUUCUUUCUUUCUUUCUUCUUUCUCUUUUCCCUCUCUCUUCUCCCCUGUUUCUUCUCCCCUGUCCGUCGCCCGUGCGCCCCAUCGCUGCUCCACCUCCACACGCACGCCGACGCUGCGAGCCACCUGCGACCCCAGCGCCAGAUCUGGACCAUCGCCGAAACCCGCAGCCUCCGCCACCUCCACCUGAGCUCUGCCUCGCGCGCAACCCAGCUGCUCUGCGCCCGAAGCUCCACCGCCGCCACAGCCUCCCCACGCAGCUCCCUGCUCACGCGGCCACAAGCCCAUUGGAAACGGGACAGAGACUGCCGCCGAGCCACUUGCCCGCGUGACCGCCGCUGUUUUCCACCACCUCCCUCACGCGAGCUCUUUCCCUCUCAGCAGCAAUCCACUUCACAGCGCACCCGCUGCGCGCCGUCGCAGCCCUCGCAGCUCCAGCCCGUCUGGUCUAGUCCGCCGCGCGCACCAACCACCCACGGACGCUACCCCCAUCGCUAACCCACGCGGCCUCCACUCCAGUCUGUCCGCCGCCGCUGCUCGUGUCUCCCUUGCGCACCUCACGCCACCCGCUACUGUCCCCUUCCGUUUGGUUAGCAUCCACGGUGGAGGUAAUUGGAGGUUAUUUUCUCAAUUGUGUGACUUCCGCCUGUGAUACUGGUUGCAUUAUUUUUGCUGGGAAUUGCUACUUCUUUUGGGUUGGGUUCAACUGUGCAAUUAAUUGGCCAACUGGAGCCAUUUGUUGGGAUUUUGGGUGAGCUGAAAUACUGCAUUUGUGUGUUACAUUGGGAGGUUUAUUGGGUACAUUCUAACCGCUGUUUUCCAUUGUUACUCUCGCUGGGGUGUCUAUUAAAUUGCGAUUGAAGUAUUUUGGAUAUUGCAUGUUGAGAUUGAGGUUUCAUUGAAUUUGGCCUACGUUCUGCCCCCAGUGGUACUGGUGGGAAUAUUUUCAAUUGAAUUUGUUACCUCUAGUUGGUUGGCUACAUUAUUAUGGUCGAAUUCCUAAGUUGUCGUCAUUGCAUUUGUUGAUCUUGAUUUGGGGCAUUAACCGGCCAACUGGAGCCAUCUGUGCGUUUUUAGGCGCUAUUAUUGGUUUCUUCUCCCUUAACUUUGUCAACUAUAUUUGGUUGGGUAUUUGGUUGACUGCCACGGACUUGUAACUGUGUUUUGCUUCUAAUUGACCAGUUGCACAGCAGUUUUUUUUUAAUUGAUAGGGUGGUUAUACCUCUGGAUAUUUGUAUCCACUGGUUUGAGGACAUGGUGAGACCAAAAUCCUCCUCUAGGUCUAGGACCCCUAGAACCUCGCAAUCCCAACCCCAAGCCUCUACUCUAGUCAAUACCCCUAUAAAUCAACCUACUGCUCCCGGUGUCCGAACCUGGUUAGGUAGGGGUAGAGGUGCCCACGUGGCUUCCGCCACUCACUUGGGAGGGCAUUUGGAAUUCACUAGAGCCGCCGAUCAGCGACGCUAUGCUCAAGCUUGUGAGCGGCGUAUCAUUCCGUGCAAAUGCGCGGACCACAUUACUAUGGUUUUUCUGGGGAUCCAAGGGGAGGUUGAGCGCAUGUACACCGCCAUUGGAUGGCGCCCCUAUCUGGAUAUUUUCCAGCCAGCCUUUGUCGAGUUGACUAGAGAGUUUUACACCACUUUUAAGUUUGAAUUACCGACUAGGUAUACUGUUGCGACUCCCGAUAUCAUUCACUUCCGUCUCAUGGGCCAGGAAUUCAAUUUCUCUAUCACCCAGUUCAAUCUGGCUUUCGGUUUCAUCACUCGGGAGUAUGCAGAGACUAGGGAAUACGGUGAGAGUGCCUGCGAUUUUGUGGAACCUUUCCUUACCGCCUACCGUGAGGUGUGGGAGGACAUGUCUGUGGACAUGCAGCGUUACGAUCCCUCUCGGUCUCGGAGCUCCUUUCUAGAGGACCCGAGUGCUCGGUAUGUUCAGCGGCUUUUAGCAUAUAGCUACUCGGGCAGAAAGAACAGCUUCGGUAUUAUCUCUCGGCCGGAGCUCUUCUUCCUUUGGUGUAUGAAGAAUGGGUUCAAGGUCAAUUUGGGUUGUUGGUUGGCGGCACAGUUCAAGACCGUCAUGGCAAAGAAGAACAAGCCGUUGAUUCUUGGGUCGUAUAUCACGUACUUGGCGGUCCAGCUAGGCGUUCUGAAUCUACAGGAUCACGAUUUGCACUUGGCCUGCGACAUGGAGUAUCUCACUGCUGACCGGCUAGAGAAGAUGGGGGUUCUGGAGCUUGUCGAUGGCCACUACCGAUUUGUGCCCCCGGGACCGCCCCGCGCCCCGCCUCGCUCUUCCUCCACCCAUUCGGCCCCAGUUGGCGGUGAUCCUGGCCCGUCGACAUCCGCUCAGCUCCCUCCACCAGCAGGGGCUGAAGAUUGGCACCAAAUCAGGACGCAGAUUCAGAAUUUGGACGCCCGGAUGAUUAGCAUCGAGAGCAACGUGGCGGCUAUAUCACAGAAUCUGGCGGCAUUCCUGCAGCACUCGGGUUUCCCGCCCCCAAUCCCACCUCACCCUCCACUAUGACCCGGUUUCAGGGAAGUUUGGUUACUUUCUCCCUCACUUUUGUUGUUUUUUGACACAUUGAGGACAAUGUGUCCUAUAGGUGUGGGGGGGUCUAUAGUCUUUCUAGUUUUUAGUAGUUGUUAGUUUUUAGUUUUUUAGUAGUUUUAGUUUUAUUUCUAGUUGCGUAUUUUCUUUCUUUUCUUAGUGCUUAUUCCCCAUGUGAAAAGAAAAAGAAAACAAAAAAAAAGAGAAAAAAAUGUUGGUUUAUUGACUCUAACUCUACUUUUGCCAAGUUUUUUUUAAAUAAAAAUGUAUCGGGUUAAUGUGGUUGGAUCCAGAAUAUCUCCCUGGUGAAUAUCGGAUUGCUUGGCUCUUUUGAUUUCUGUGUUAAUUUCUCUAGGCAUAGGGAAUGACUGUUGGCAUUUUAAUGUGAACUGGUCCAAUAUUGACUCCAGUUCUCUAUGUUUGGCAAUAAUGAGGCGAGCUGUUCCUAUUUUUGGUUCUUAGUGUUGUUAUUAUGUGUUUUUGGCUUUGUUUGGCUGUGAAUAAUCUGGACUGUACUCCGCUAUGAGUUACUACUGAGUAACCGAGGAUCGGCACCUAAAAGUGUCGAUUCUCGCGUCAAAAGGUGGUACUUUAUAUGAGUACGUGGUCGUAUAGCAGUAGGAGCUGAGUAACCGGGCUCCUUCAUCUAAAAAUGUUGGAGUUCGCGUCAAAAGGCCCCGACGGCUAACGACUAAGUCUUUUUGUGUUAAUUAUUAUUGCUUUGAAAAACAAAAAAAAAAAAGAACGAAAAAAGAGAGAAUAAAUAAUAGGAAGGCUUGCCGGUUUAUGGACUUAAUAUGGAGACUUGUGUGAAUAUUUGGACCAUUAGCUAAUAAAUGUUGUGCGCCAUUCCCUUUUCUUAGAGUAGUUAACCUGGAAAUUGAAGGAAUUUGCAGUUUAGGGGCUAACCGGGGGGGAGGCUUCUUGGAUUUUAAUCACCAAUGCUCGAUAUAUGUUUUUCUCUUGAAGAUCUUGGCAAUAUAGGAGAUUGGACAAUGGCCAUCAUCGAAUUUUGGUGUUCGUUUACUAUUCUUAUGCUUGAGGACAAGCAUGGUUUAGGUGUAGGGGGAAUUGAUAGGGUGUAAUUUUACUAUUUAUUUUAUUAUUAAUUUCUCCUAUCACCUGACCUGAUGUGGAUUAAUUGCUGGAUUCUGCUCACUUUUAGUACUUUGUAUUUAUUUCAGGGAGUAGAACGGAAAUUUGAUAACAGGUGCUAAUUUGGCAGAAAAAAGUCCAGAUGAUAGAGCUUGCCCCAAGGGCAUUUUUGGAAAGGAGAACUUGUGCCCAUCUUGGUAAUUUGGGAGAAAAGGGAAACAGACAAAAUGGGUCUAACAUGGAUUGGAAGCGGCCGCACAGUAGCAGGGAAGAGGGCAGACGUAAAAGCAAUUGCAGGGGGGAAAAGGAGUUUUUUUAGUUUUUAGCUUAGCAUCUGAUUUUCCCUGGGAGACUUUUGUUAAAGAUUUCCUUUUGGCUGAUAUUACGCAUGGCAGAUGGCUUUUAACUUAUUCCUCCAUCUUUGACUUUUCUUCUUUAGCUUGUAGUAGUGGAUUGCUACUUACGAAUGUCAGCACUUAGCCAUUCGUGGCUUUUGAUCUUUUCUUCCUUAGAAAUUCUGAGUAGCCUCUUUUCCUUUGUGCGCCAGACGAAGUGAAAACUAUAAACUUUUGUAGUGUUUCUAUUCAUUCAAUAUAUUGAGACGAGUUGGAUUCUACCAAAUUUCAAUGGACAUGGCCGCUGGUUUCUCUUCAAUUUUAUAUGGGCUUUGUUCAUCGAACAUGAACUAAUUUCACCACUCUAGUCAAGGAACAACGAAGACUCUGGUUCGCCUAAAAAUUGUGAGAUCGUUUUAAUUUAAUCUUUUCCUUUUAUUUAUUGGUAUCCGCACAUUUCUUGAUUGCUAUGCUUAUGGUUAUUUAAUUAAUUGAUUGUCUUGGAUCCAGAUAAUUAAUUGAUCUGAUAGCCUAUUGUCAAUUAGGGCAUUUAAAUCCGUAAUUGUUUAAUUGUCCUGAAAUAGUGACAACUGGCACGAUUAGAUUCGUGCCAGGGGGGAUAUGCGGGCUAAUCUAAAAUAACCCUGGUAGUGUGUUAUUUGGUUAGAAUAGGGCUCCUCUAAUAUGUAAGGCAAUUGGGGAAUUAAAUUCUACGGGCGUACCUAGAAUUAUUUCUUAAUUAGAGUAGUGAUUAACGGGCGUACCUUGAUCACCGACACAGUAAGGAGGGGUUGACUGCCAUCGCUUGUUUGGCAGUUAUAACAUAUUUAUCAGUAAAUAAUUGGGAUUGCCUUGCAUCAAUGAUCAAUUAGAUGAACUAUUGCUGAAGUUACUUCUUGGCUAGAUCUUUAGUUAAUAUUACCUUGAUUUUGGUGAAUUGCCAUUUGAUUUUUAGUUGCCUACUUUAUUUUAUUUUUAAUUGUUUCCUUGCUUUAAUUGAGUUAGGCCUUUAAUUAUUGUUAUUCUAAGUUUAGUGAAUUGUGGUUUAAUUCCUAAUUAGUUAUUUAUUUUUACUUUCUUAUUUGAAUUUAUUUGCUUGUUAUCAUUCCUACGAAAUCACCCCCCUGUGUUACUUUGGAUUUCUUAAGAAACAAAUAUACCCAGUCCCUGUGGAUACGACCCUACUUGCCCUGUCCACGAAUUCAUAAUUAUUUGUGAAAAGAAAUAACCAUUCCACUCGGGUAUAUCGGAUCAAGCAAACUCUUCGGGAACAGGGUGAAUCAAGUAACCCAUUGCACACCUAAAAUCCCUGCUCCAGUACUUGGAAUUGGGUUUUGGUCAUUUUAACUGGCAAUUAAGUUUAAUUUUAUUAUUGCACAGGCUGACGACCCUGUCAUUGUAUUUGUACCAAAAGUGAAAACUUAACUAUUUUAGUUGUAUUUAUUUCAUCAUGUUGGAUUGUAUUCAAAUAAUUUUUGUUUGAUUGUUUUUAUAAGUUUCAAUUGUAAAAUUAAAAUGAAUAAUAACUUGAUGAUGUGUUGAUAUUUUAGUACUUGAUUAUUUAUUAAAAUUUAAUUAUAAUAAAAUUUUAUUAACUCAACGAGAAAAAUUUUAUUAAUCCCGUGGGGGCACCCGCGGGGAAAGCGGGGCGGGGCGAGGGGAGUGGGAGGCGGAGGACGGGGCGGGGGCGGGGGAUGGGGGAGGGGUCCCCCGCCCCAACCCCGCCAUCCCCCGUCCCGUUGUCAUCCCUAGUAAUAGACUGGCAAGCAUUGUGGUGGUCAUUGAGCAACUUAUAGGAGAAAUAGUCCUAUAAGCUGUUCAAUGACCAAUCACAACUUGCUAAUUGGAUGACUAAUAUAGCUCUAGCUGUAAUGUUUUAAUUAAAUUACAUCACUAACGUUGGGAUGACUUUUUAACCAAAAAAAAAAAGCCUUAGUUCAAGCUUUUCCCUUUAUUGUGCAUUUUUUAAAGCAUUUGAAAGGCACUGCAAAUCUGUCAUUUUGGACAUUUUAUUAUUGACUAACAAUGAAAGCCGUGGACGUCUACCCAUAACCAACACAAGAUUAAAUUAAUAUUAGAAAAAAUAAUUGAGUAAUUGGAAAAAAAAAAAAAAGAAGAGUCUAAUUUUCAUUGAAACCCACCGACAAACUAUACGUGUCCAUGGCUUUUGAAUAGUGCAUUCAACGUUUAAUUGUAUGGUCCAGUUCAUUGCAGAUUACAUGGAGUAAAGAUUGCGCUCUUUCCUUUUCACCCCUUUUGGAAUCGAUACUGUGGAGAAUUGGGUUUUUCCCUCCUUUUUUUCUUUUCUUUCCUUCUGUGGUUUGCAAAACAUACGUAAAAAUAUGAAAUCCGAAGCAUUCUUUAAUUGGUAUUAAGUAUUGUUGUUGAAAUUAAAAAGAAAAAAGAAAGAACAACAAAAUUCCCAAUCUGGGUUGAUUGUUGAGCUCUAGAUUGGUUGCAUCGUGCUUCCAUAGAAGCAAGAUUUGUAAAAUCGGAAUCCUACAUAGGAUCGAUUUUAGUUUCACAGGAUCGGAUUGUAAAAUCGUAAGAUCCUACCAAAAGCUCUCAAUUGCAAUUAAAGGUUGCAAUUCUUUAAUAAAUUACAAAUAUACCACAAAUAUUUUCAUUUACUUGCAAAAUGGAGCUUCGUAUUUCACAAAUUUACAAAAAAAUUGUAGGAUCGUACGAUCCUACCGAUCCUACGAUCCUACACGAUCCUACCGAUCCUGCUACGAUUCUAUGCGAUCCUACAAAGAUUAAUAUGAUUUGCGACUCUGCAUACGAUCCGGAUCGAUUUUGGUUAUCCGGAUCGUAGGAUCGUAUGAUCCUACGAUCCGGAUCGCGAUUUUGACAACUAUGCAUAGAAGCUCUCUUAGUGUGAUACACUGCUUUCAAUCAGUUUAACACGGGAAAAAAAAAAAGAGAUGAAAAGCAAAUUUGGUGGAGAUAAUUUCAGAAACCUCCCCUGAAGAUUUUGACUAUUCUACUGGUUUCCCUUCAGAUUUUAAAAAUUACACUAAUCUUCCUUGAAGUUAAUUAUCUUGUAACAUUUAAAUUCAAUCAAUAAUUUAAAAAAUGAUAUUAUGAGAGAGAAAAUAAUAUGAUUUUAUCAUUGCCCCCCAUCUUACUACAUUAUUUAAUUAAUUUAAUAGCAACCCACACAUUAAAGAAAAAUAUUAAAAUUUGUUGUUUAUCAUUAAAGAUCAAAUCGCUUAUAACAUCAAAUAAUAGUAUAUUAUUUAUAUUUUUCACUUAAUAUAAUAUCCAAAUUACUCUUUUCAAUUACAUACCCAUUGUUAGAGAAUCAACAACAAAUAACCAAAAAAUUUGCAACCAAAAUAUUACAAAAAAAAUAAACUUUAACAUCAUAAAUAUUCUUAUCAACAUAUUAAAGUUAGUUACUGAAAUUUUUAUGCUGUUAAACUUCACUCUUUUUGAAUACAGAUUUUUUUGAUUAUUUGUUAUUAAUUAUGUUUGAUGAUGGGUUUAUAAUUGAAAAGAACAAUUUGAAACUUACAUUAAGUAAAAUAUAUAGAGUGAUAUACUAUUUUUUAUAACAUAUGUGAUUCAAUCCUUCUUGAUAGGAUUGGUAAUAGAGGUAGAGGGGGGAGUCGGCUGCAUCCGGUCUUCUUUUCAUAGAUAGUACAAUAUUGCGAAAUCAAUCGCAUUCACACAAUAAUAUUUCGAAGUCAAUGCAUGGCUAAGUUGCAUAAAAGUACGAACACUUGUUAUUAUAUAGCUUAAGAUUCAAAACUUUCGAGCAUAACCCUCCACCCAACACAAUUGAAUAAUGAAUAUUCACGAUUGUCAAAUCUGUCAAAGCACAGUUUGAGGACAACCCAUUCCAACCUGCAAAAGAUUUUUUACUUUUCUAAAGUUGUUGAGAGCUGUAAAAAGACUUACCAUGCUUGCAUCCUCCGAGCCUUGGGAGUUAAAAAUGAAGGCACUGAGUGCUAUAAAAAGGGGAAUAGAGGCUGCCUAGAAGCAUAUCAGCCUAAAACAAGAAUUUGUAGUUAAGAUGGGAAGCAAAGCAAAAGCAAUGGGGUCUGGGCUGACUCCUCUUCUUGCCACUGUUUUAGUGGUGUUUGUUGCUCUUGGCUUGCCCUCACAAACUGCAGCUGAUGAUCACUACAAGUAUUCAUCUCCUCCUCCUCCUUACCACUAUCCCUCACCACCACCACCAGUGCAUAUACCUCCACCUCAUCCUGUUUACAAGUACAAAUCUCCACCACCCCCACCACCACACCCAGUUUACAAGUAUAAGUCACCACCACCACCUCCUCAUCCGGUAUACAAGUAUAAGUCUCCUCCGCCACCACCACACCCAGUUUACAAGUACAAGUCACCACCACCACCUCCUCAUCCGGUACCACACCCAGUUUACAAGUAUAAGUCACCUCCACCACCUCCUCAUCCGGUACCCACAGUUUACAAGUAUAAGUCACCACCACCACCUCCUCAUCCGGUAUACAAGUAUAAGUCUCCUCCGCCACCACCACACCCAGUUUACAAGUAUAAGUCACCACCACCACCUCCUCAUCCGGUGCCACACCCAGUUUACCACUACAAGUCACCACCACCACCUCCUCAUCCGGUACCACACCCAGUUUACCACUACAAGUCACCACCACCUCCUCACCCAGUUUACAAAUACGAGUCUCCACCACCACCAGUUUAUAAGUACAAGUCACCACCACCUCCUCCACCAGUUUACAAGUAUAAAUCUCCUCCACCACCACCACCAGUUUACCACUACAAGUCUCCACCACCUCCUCCCCCAGUUUACAAAUACAAGUCUCCACCACCUCCUCACCACUACUAAGCAAUUGCUUCUGAGGUAAUAACACUUGUUCAAUAUACCCACUUCUGCAUGAUAAAGCAUAUCUCUAUCAACACAAACUGUCAUGUCUAUCAUGCUAAGUGCCUUCACUUCAUCCACCAAAAUGACUGCUAGAAAAUUUUUUUUAUGUUACCAAAGAAAGGCAUCAUUUUUUCCCUCUGUUAUCAAGAACUUGUACAGUAUAUAGAUUAAAGAGUAUUUUUUUAACUAGCUUAUCAACUGAGAAAUGCAUAUAGCUGAUAGCCAGCUGAAUAUUUGCAGGCAAAGGAGAAGGAAACCAUGUUUGAGACCUUCUUGAAGAUGUAGAAGCAUAAGAAUAAAAGCCCAAUGUGAAGAUGAUGAUUUCAAGUUUUUCUACGUUACCAUUUCUUUAUCUAAAUUGGUUGUAGCGCCCAAGUUCCUUUGUUUAUGGGAUUUGUAUCGUUUUACGUACCAUGCAGUACAUGUCAUGUUUGUAAGGUUUUCUAUCCUGCCGGCAAACCGCAGGUUCCAUGUGAUAAAUGAAUACUAUUUAUGUUACGACACUUUUCUCUGUUUCUCUUAUAUUUUGUCUUUAAUAUUCUUAAUCAUAUUUUUAACAAAAAUAUUCAAACACUUAGGCAAUCUGGUCUAAUGCUAAUUGUAUGUUUUACUUUUCUUUUUCACCUGCUCCCCUUUUCAACUCAAAAGGAUGCAAUAGUUUGUGAUCACUGUUUAAGACGGAAGCAUGAUACUAAUGAAUAUCUCAUUGAAACUCAAGGAAACUAACAUUGCGAAAAGUGUAAAUCUUGAUUUGAUGCAACUAUUUAUUCGUGGAAUCUAUAGUUACAAAACUCAAAUUCUGACUGCGCCAUUGAUAAAUUAUUAAUGACGCUAUCAUCAUUAUUUAUCCCUAACUAGUUUCGACUACAACUGAACCCAAUAUUUUCCCCAUGAUAAAAGUUUUUGACUAUUUUACUGGCCUCUCUUCAAAUUUUAAAAAUUACACUAAUCUUCAUUGAGAUUAAUUAUCUUGUAACAUUUAAGUCCAAUUAAUAAUUAAAAAAUGAUAUUAUGAGAGAGAAAAUAAUAUAAUUUUAUCAUUGCCCCCCAUCUUGCUAUAUUAUUUAAUUAAUUUAAUAGCAACCCACACAUUAAAGAAAAAUACUAAAAUUUGCUGCUUUUCAUUAAAGAUCAAAUUGCAUAUGCCAUAAAACAUAGUAUAUCAUUCUAUAUGUUUCACUUAAUGUAAGAUCCCAAUUGUUCUUUUCAAUUACAAACCCAUUGUCAAACAUGAUCAAUAACAAAUAAUCAAAAAAUUUGCAACCAAAAUAUUACAAAAAAAAACUUUAACAUCAUAAAUAUUCUUACCACCUCUAGUGCAUUCACCCUCAUAAAAUAAUUCAAGACCCUACUGUCAUAAAAUGACUGAUCAACUCCUGUAAACCUAAUUUGACAACAUUUAAAUGGAGAACUUUAGCUAAAAGAAUUAUGGUCAAGCUAAAGAAAAAACCAGUUAUUUUCCAACAUAUGCAACCAUUGAUCAGGGGAAAAAAAAAAGCAAAAAGACAUCUUCAAUCAUUUAAUAGCUUACAGGGCAAAUUAACCCUUGAGUGAAAACUGGUUGCUCUAGAAUUAAAAUUUUACCUUAGUUACCCAGGCAACUUUUUUGUUGCCUUUUCUUUUUCUUUUUUGGGUAUAUAGCUCCAGUUUUGCCCCCUCUGUCAAGCUUAUAUAAUUAUUAAGAUAAUAAAAGUGCCUUUAAUAGUAUUAAUAUAUCCAUUGACUUGAGCUGUCAUCGAUCGGUUUGGGCUACUUCGAUUCCAUGAGAACAAAUGGUAAUAAAAGUACUCAGAAAAUGGGGAGUCAUGAAACCCUUUUGUUCUAUUCAUUGCUAAGAUGCUUUUCUCUAUAAAGAGACUUCCUAACGAAAAUACUUUGUAGAUUUCUUUACUCCAAGUGGUGCAUGGAAAAUUAAUAUUUUCAAUUAUCAAAUAAAAUUCCCUUUUUUCGGCGUAGAUUUCAUCCAUCCAGCUGUUAACACAUUCUAUAAAUCCGAAUUGACUAAUCUUUUCGUUUCCAUUUUCCAACUUGCGAAUACGGCAUAUAGUGUCUGCUAAACACUAUAUAUUCUCUGCCAAAUAUGAAUACAUAUCACUUUUCUGAGCAAGUGCAGAGUCAUUAUCAUUUUUAUUCCCACCUAACAAAUUAGGGAUAAAAAAGUUAAUAAUCUUUACAUGCUAUCAGGUCACAAGUUAAUAAUCUUUUAAAGAACAUGUUAAAUUAAUUUAUUGGUAUGAAUAGUAGUCAAAGAAGUAUGUUAAAGUUAGUAAUCUUUAAAAUAAUAUGUUAAAAUCAUUCGUACAAAUUAGUCAGAGAAGUAGCAUAAACACCGCGAUGCAAUUAAUACUUUCAAUCUCAAGGUCUCUAUUAUGGAAAUUUGCAUCGGUCAAUAUACACUUGGCAUAAUAUAAUCUCCCAACUCAUUUCUUUACAAAUGCACCUUUAAUCACCACCAAAAGGUGUGGACAUGAUCUUUACCCUAGAAAACUAUUCACCGACAGGCAAAUUGACGUCAGAAAUACUGAGGAAUUCUAGUUUCCUUCGGGUUCAUGCCAUGUUGUAUCCUUCAACUGUAACUCGAUUUCUAAGCUGUAAUUUGUGACAUAAUAGUCCUUAAACUAUGAAACCCUUCUUACUUAAUUACAAUGGUUAAUACAAUGCCCGUGACUAGACAAGUAUGAAGCAACCAUAACAGAAAAAAAAUCCAAAAUUAGAGAAAAGAAAGAAGUUUCGCGACCACCACCAGUUUACAAGUCACCUCCACCACCUCCUCCAGUUUACAAGUCACCUCCACCACCUUACCAUUAUUCCUCACCACCACCUCCAGUGCAUUCACCCCCACCACCACCAGUUUACAAGUCUCCGCCACCACCUUACCAUUAUUCCUCACCACCACCUCCUGUGCAUGCACCUCCACCACCAAUUUACAAGUCACCUCCUCCAGUUUACAAGUCUCCACCACCACCUUACGAUUAUUCCUCACCACCACCUCCAGUGCAUUCACCCCCACCACCACCAAUUUAUAAGUCUCCCCCACCGCCUCCCCCAGUAUAUAAGUCACCACCACCACCUCCUCCAGUAUACAAAUCACCUCCACCACCUCCUCCAGUUGACAAAUCUCCACCACCACCAAUUUAUAAAUACAAGUCUCCUCCACUACCUCCUCCAGUGUACAAGUCAUCACCACCACCUGCUUACAAGUCUCCACCUCCUCCAGUUUACAGUUCCCCACCACCACCAAUCUACAAGUCUCCACCUCCACCCUACCAUUACUACUACAAUUCUCCUCCUCCUCCUCGUCACUACUAAGCAAUUGUAUCCAAGUUUUUGAGGUAAUAACGCUUAACCAAUAAAUUAACUUUCGCAUGAUAAACCUUAUCUCUAUCAAGACAAACUGCCAUGUGUAUCAUGCCAAAUACGUACACCUAGAUCCAUGAAAAUGAAUGGUAGAAAGUUUUCUUAAGAACCAAGAACAGCAUUAGUAUUCCCUCUGCUUCCAAAAACUUGUGUAUUAAAUAGAUUAAUGAAUUGUUUAACAUGCUCAUCUACUUGAAAAUGCACAAUACCCAUAACCCACUGAAAUUUUUGCAGGAAAAGGGAAAGAGAAUCUGUGUUUGAGAGCUUCAUGAAGAUGUUGAAGAAUAAGAAUAAAAGCCCAAUGCAAGGAUGUUUUCAAGUUUUUCUAUGUUUCCACUUUAAUUUGUAAAUUGAAUUUUGCGACUCAAUUAAUUCCCUGUUUGUGAGGUACGUAUUGUUUUACGUACCAUGCCGUACAUUUUUUUUUUCCAACAAACGGUAUCAUGUUAUAGAUAUUAACACUUGACCUUACAAGGAUUAGUUACAAAAAGGGGAUACUACCCUCAACUCUGUCCUAGCUAAAUCAGUCAGCCAUAUUGGGAAAUUAGUUUCCCAUUCAAUAUCAUGUACAAGCUUCACAGCAUAUUGUGCUAAUUGAUGGCUGAUGUGAUUUUCAGUUCUAGGUAUAAACACAAAAGAACAUUUUUCAAAAGCUAGACUAAGUUCCUGCACAUCUUCUAAGAUAGUUGCAGUCGUGUAGUCAUACUCCUUGCGUUUAGUAAUCUGCUCUACCACUGAUUUGCAGUCUGUAUGGACUAUAAUUUGUGUCCAACCUGCUUGGGUAGCCAUCAGCAGAGCAUUUCUCACAGCCCGAGCUUCCACUUCACUUGCCGAUCCCUUUCCCUGUGUGACAAUUCCUUUUGCUUUCAAAAGCUGUCCUUUCCAAUUUCUUGCUAUAAUCCCUUGUCCGGUCCUGACUCGUUUAGCUGAUAUCGCUGCAUCGGUAUACAGCCUUAUCUCUUCCUUCCUUGGCCGCACUCUCCUGGUAGGUAAGGCAUCAUUCAGCUUCCCUGCGAUCUCCUUCUGGUCUGUACUCCCUACCUGUUCAAACUCAAGCCAUUCCUCCUGUGCUUUCCUUACUAUUUUUACUGGAUCCUGGUUGGCUUGUUCAAAAAAUUUUUUGUUCCUGGCUUUCCAAAUUUGCCAAAGGAUAUUGAUAGUAAGACUAACUCUCUCCUGACCUUGGUUCAGUGCCAGCGAUUGUGUGACUUGUUCCCACCAUAACCAAAAGUUAUAUUGCAUACCCAGUAAUCCAUCCCACCUGACCGGUGCUAGCUUCCACGUUUCCACAGCCUUUUCACAGAAGAAAAACAAAUGCUCAAUAGUUUCCAUAUCUUCACCACAGCAACCACAUCUGCCUUCCCCUCUAUGUAGCCUUUUCGACAUCUGUUCAUUGACUGGCAGACAAUUUUGUAAGCACUUCCACAUGAAGUGUUUUAGUUUGGCCUUCACCUUCAAAUGCCAUAGCUGCUUCCACACAUUUCGUUUUCGUAUCUCCCAACUUGUUUCUGCCUCUUGGCCUGUCCUUGUACCUGCUUUUCCUUCCCGUUGCCUUGCUAAAGCAUAACCAGAUUUCACGCUAUAAAUUCCAGCUUUGGAAUGCCCCCAUACCAACCUAUCCUUUCUUCUUCCUAUACUUGUUGGAAUUCCCUUUAUGUGCUCUGCAUCUUUUGCACAAAACCACUUGAGAAGCAAAUCAUUUUUCCAUUUCCCUUCCUCUAUCAGCUCACUUACCCAUUCCAACUUGCAUCCCACAGGUUGUGUGGUUGAUGCAAAGCCGGUAUCUGAACCAACUAUCCAUCUGUCCCGCCACAUGUUGACUGACUUGCCAUCUCCAAUUCUUUUCCAAAGACCAUCAUACAGAAAGGAGGCUGCACUAUGAAUACUCUUCCAACACCAUGAGGCUGAAGAGACUGGCUUCUUGUCCAUCCAUUUUUCAUCACUCAUAUACUUCGCCUUCAUUACCUUACUUACUAACAAAUUUGGAGCCAUUAAGAAUCUCCAAAUUUGUUUUGCCAGUAAUGCUGUGUUGAAGGCCUCCAAAUCUCUAAAGCCUAAACCUCCUCUUCCCUUAACUUCUAAGAGCUUCUUCCAGCUUGCCCAAUGUACACAGGUACCCUUUUCUCCCUUCCCCCACCAGAAACUCGCUAUUUUACCUGUGAUUUGUCUACACAAACCCCUUGGAAGUCUAAAGCAAGCCAUCACAUAUGUUGGCAUAGCCAUAAUCACUGAUUUGACCAGAAUUUCUUUCCCUCCUUGGCUCAACAGUUUUUGUUUCCAACCUUGCAACUUGUUACUAAUUUUGUUCUGGACAAAUGCAAAGACCUGUGUCUUUGAUCUUCCAAUUGCCAUUGGGAGUCCUAGGUAGGUUCCAUUCCUUGCCUCUUUAAUGUUAUCUAAUACCUCCCUCACUCCAUUCUUCCUUUGAUCAGUGGUAUUUUUGCUAUAGAAGAUAGCUGACUUUUCAAAAUUCACCACCUGUCCGGAUGCUUGACCAUAUCUUUCCAAUAUGCUUUUGACCUUCCUCGCCUCCUGCUUGGUUGCUUGGCAGCAUAGUAGAGAAUCAUCUGCAAAAAAUAGGUGAGAAACCAUCGGACUGUCCUUGCAUAUUUUGAUCCCUGUAAUUUCCUUGUUCAUCAUAGCUUUAUGGAUCAAACAUGAAAGACCUUCAGCGCAUAUAAUAAACAAGUACGGGGAUAGGGGGUCUCCUUGUCUAAGCCCUCUACUCGGUUGAACACAGCCUACCUUUUGCCCAUUUAAGUUGAAGGAGUAAGUCACAGUAGAUAGGCAAGACAUGAUCCAUUUAACAAAAAUUGGACAAAACCCCAUUUUCAUCAUAACUCUCCCCACAUAUUUCCAUUCGACUCUAUCGUAAGCUUUGGACAUGUCCAGUUUAAGAGCCAUAAAUCCUACCCUUCCCUUUCUCCUAUUUUUCAAAAAAUGCAGGAUUUCAUGUGCAACUACUACAUUAUCAAGAAUUUGACGGCCUGGGAUAAAAGCGGAUUGAGAGGGACUAAUACAAUGAUGCAAGACACCUUUCAAUCUAUUAGCUAUGAUUUUAGAAAUGAUUUUAUACAGGACAUUGCACAAGCUAAUAGGUCUAAAAUGCACCACAGAUUCAGGAGUAUCAACUUUAGGAAUCAACGAAAUAAUAGUAUCAUUCACAGCUUUGAGCAAAUGCCCAGUAUGAAAGAAACUCUUAAUAGCUGCUACCACAUCAUCCUUGAUAAUAUCCCAAUAGUGUUGAAAAAAUAGAGGAGACAUACCAUCCGUUCCUGGUGCUUUAUUAGGGUGCAUCGAGAACAAAGCUUUCCUGAUCUCACUUUCCUCCACUUGUCGUAUCAGUUGUCCAUUCAUAUGACUCGAAAUAGUGCUUGGAAUUUCAGCUAGAAUGUCCUCAAAGCAGUCCGGGUUAGUAGUGGUAAAAAGGUCUUUAUAGUACUCACAAAGUUCCUCCUCAAUCUCAUGUUCCUCCUUGCACCAUGUCCCAUCUUUUUUCUGCAAUAUAGUGAUCUUAUUUCUCCUCCUCUUUGCCAUGACCGAAGAAUGGAAAAAAGCUGUAUUCUUGUCCCCUUCUUUGAGCCACUUGUUCCUGGAUUUUUGACUCCAAAACAUCUCUUCCUCUGCAUAAGCUUUAUUCAAUUGUGCUUUUAGUUCAGCCACUUGUACUCUUUUCCCUUCAUCCUUUCUUGCUUUCACUUCAGCCAAUUUCUCCUUUAACACUUUAAUUCUAACCUUUGAGUUUCCCUGCACCUUUUUCCUCCAAUCCAGAAUAGCCAUGCGACAUUCCUUUAUUUUUGUAGCCACUCUAAACAUCCUGGACCCUGACUUCACCUUUGUCCAUGCUCCUUGAAUCACCCUUUUUGCUUCUGGAUUUAGCGUCCAUCGUUGAUCAAAGUAAAAUCUCCGUUUUCUCCUUGUGUUUUCCGGGUUUGUAUCCACAAGAAGCAUUAGAUGAUCAGAGGCUUCAGUAUCUAAAUGAGUACACUGUGCCUUUUCAAAUCUUUGCAGCCAUUCGGUGCUGCAUAAACAUCUAUCCAACCUCUCUUUCACUUCCCCAUCCCCCUCCCAACUAUUGCACCAAAUCCACGGGACCCCUUGAUAACCUAAGUCAACCAGGUUAUUGUCUUUGAUAAACCUGUUGAACUCCCUAAAACAUCUUUCAGCUCUAUCCCUUCCUCCCCACUUCUCCUCACUAGACCUCAAAUCAUUAAAAUCUCCUACAAUGAUCCAGCCAUCCCCCCAGUCCCUCAUCCUGUCCUCUAAAUAUUUCCAUUGUGCUUUUCUAAUGUUACUAUCUGUGCUUGCAUAAACACACACUAGCCCCCAGUAUCCUUUAGUAUCCUUGUCCUCAACUCUAGCACUAAUACACCAAUCAGUACUUACAAUCUGGUCUAAAAUCACCUCAUUGUUCCAGAAUAAUGCUAGACCGCCUGCUUUACCUAUUGAAUUCACAAAAAAGCUAUUGUCAUACUGAAUCUUCCUUUGAACCUUGCCCAUAAACCCUUCCUGAUUCUUAGUUUCACAAAGGAACACCACCUUAGGAGAGUGGAAGUUAGUCACUUCCUUUAGUUGGGGACUUGUCAAGGGGCCUCCUACACCUCGACAAUUCCACACCACAACCUUCAUUUACACUUUGGAGGCUUUCCGGGGCUAGCCUCCAUUUCCCCUAUUGUACUAACAUUUAUUAGAUCCAGUUUCAUAACCUUUACCUUCGGUACAUUAUCAUCAUCCUCCUCUAUCGGUUGUGUUCCCUGAAACAUACCAUCAGCCUUCCUUUUAGCACACGAAACCUGCGUUACUUGUCCAUUUGUAUCUGCCUUUAAGGAUGUUUUAGCCGGCCUCCCUCUUCUUUUAAAACUGCUUCUUUUUUCAGCUUUGUUAUCUUCUUCCCCUGGAGUAGCCUCCUUUCUUGGCAUUCUUGCAUUUGUCUCCUCCUGCUUUAUUGACCCUACCCGCAAACUUUCACAUUCCUGUUUUGAGCUGUCCGUUUCCAUAUCCUCAUAAUCUACUGGUGGGAUUACGCUGCUCCCUCCUUUACUCCCUUCCUGUACCCUACCCUCCUUUUCACCAUUUCCCUCCAUUAAGACCACAGCCAAACUUUCCACCCGUUGGUUUGCCUUUCCAUACUGCCUGCUGUCUUUUAGAAUCUCAUCCCACCUCUCUUCAUAUUGUCUCGUCAUCAUUUUCUCCUUAUCCCCCCUUUCCUUUCCCCCCAAGACUCUACCAUUUUUUCCCCCAAGAGUUAAUGUAUCUCCAGCCAUUUGUACUCCAGUUUGAACUUCACUACUAGGAGACCCUGCCCCCACCCUCCUUGCAUCAAUUUCACUUACUCCUUCCAGCCGUCCCUUUAAGGGAGAUACCAUUAUAUUUCCAGCUCUCAUCCAGGCACCAUAUUGUUCCUCUCGCUUCUCCCCCCCACCCUUCCUACCACAGUACAAGUCCUAUCACUAUGCCCAAUGAUACCACACCUAUAACAGAAAUCAGGGCAGCGUUCAUACCUGAACUCAACCCACACUGCCUGGUUCUUACAGUUGAUCUUUGUCCCUCUAACCAGUGGUUUCGUUAUAUCUACCUCAGCCAUAAUCUUCAUGUGGCGACCCUCUUUCCCACCACUUCCUGGGAGAAUCACUCCCCUCACUGAUUUAAAGAUCCCUCCUAUUUUCAAACCCACUGCUCUGCUCAACCAGUGCACCGGUAGGUUCCAUAGUUGAAUCCAAAGAAAGGAAUGCUGGAAAAAGCUGCUGUUUGUAUCAUACCCCUCUACCCACUCCUUCACUAUCAGCAACUGGUUGUCCAUGACCCAAGGCCCUCCAGAUAAGAUCUUUUUCUUUUCCCCUUCAUCUCCCAGAUGGAAAUGGAAUAAGUUAGGACCUAACUCAGUCACUUUCAUCUUUGAGGGGUAUCCCCAUGCAUGAUUUGUAAAGUUCUUUAACCCCGUAAAGUUGGCAAUUUUUUCACCAAUCAGCUUUCCUACCAGGCUUCCUUGACACUCAGAGACGCCUUCUUCCAGGUCCUCACCACUCAGAUCGACACCUCCUAACUCUGUUUCAGACAAGUCAAAAUUUUGAAAGGCUCUUUCUAAAGCAUCCGCCAUUGCUGUGACGAGAGCUCCUUGAGAAACCAAGCACUAUUUCUGAGCUAUGAGUGACCCACUGACAGACCUGUGAAGAAUUGCAAAGACAGACAAAGCUGUGUUAUCCGUACACACUAAAAACCAACCAGAAAAACAGAGAGGAACUCGACAGAAAAAGCACAGGCACAAGAAGAAACGAAAGAAAAAAGAAAAACCAACAAACCACUAUCCCACUCCCGACCACAUAACAGCAUUAAAGAAAGGGACACAAAUACGACACUCCAACUUCCGAUCACAUGCUCUGACUCAAUGGAUCAUAUCUUGCCCAAAGCGUUUACUCCUCCAACCGAUUCCAAACCACUACAGACAUUGUCUCCCAUUUUGAAGCCGGAAGAAAGGUGGCUUCUGGACAGGGAACAUGAAAGCAAAGGUUGAACUAAAGAUUUGAUUUUAGAUCUGAAAAUUACGCUGUAGGAAAAAGUGCUAUGUGUUUGUACCUCACCCACUCUCCCACACCGAGGAGGGGAACCUCUAAAGUUAGAGAGAGAAGCUCUCAAGUUAGAGAGAAGCUUUGGAAGUUAAUUACCAACGUACCAUGCCGUACAUGUUUGUAAGGAUUUCUAUCCUAUUGGCAAAAGUCGGUUCCAUACAAUUAAUCAAUUCAUUUCACUUCUAUUGGCUCUACUAUUUAUGCAUGUUACGACACUCUUUCCCUUAUAUUUUGCCUUUAAUAUUAUGAGUCAAUAGUAAUAAUGGGCCUUUUUCUUAAAAUUAUACUAUUAUACAUAGGUAGUUUGGUCUAACGCUAAAUUCAUGUUUGUCUUUCUUUUAUUCCCUUUACAUCUCAAAGUAUACUAUAGUUUGUAAUCAUUGUGGUGAUGAUAUUACCAGCUGGUACUUAUAGUUUAAGGCAGAGACAUGAUAUUAACAACUAUCUCAUUGAAACAUAAGUCAAAAUCAUGACAAGUGUGAGUCUUGGUUAAUGCACAAUUUGUUAGUGGAAUUUAUAUUUAUAAAACUCAAAAAAAAUUUUUGACAAUGCUAUUACUAAUUAAUUAAGGACUUCAUUGCUAUAAUUUAUCGCUUACUAAUUUAAACUAUAAAUGAUCUCAAUACUUUUCUCCAUGAUGUCGAUUUCUUUAGACUACGAAAGGGAAAAAUUAGUGACAUAUCCCUUACUGAUUACAACAUCAGCAAAAAUUAGUUAUAAACUUUUCCGGUGGUUUUAAAUCCCUCGGGCACUAAGGUUUUUUGCACAUCGAGUGAAUUAAGGAACAUAGGCAAUUCGUUCUGCAUACCAAGUCCUUGUUUAAGAUGCACGUACUAAAAUGCAUCCACUUCAUUAAUUUGGAAAAUUGCCAUAGUUUUUUUUAAGCAUUUUGAUUUUUUACAUGAUUCAAAAUUUUCUUAUUGGAUACAAUCACUUUGUGUCAAGAACACAUUUUCAAUCAUCUUUUUUAUCUUCUCAAUAAGAAAAUAAAAAUUUAUUCAUGCUUUUCUAACAUAUCCAAUCAUUGAUCUGAAAAAUAAAGAAUUAAAAAAAAAAGACAUUUUCAAUCAUUGCUUACGGGGCAACUUCCCCAUGUGAACCUCAUCAAACAAAGCCAAUAAUAUGAAGGAACAUCUAAAUACACUUUUGCCCUAAAGGCUGGUUGCCUUGGGGUCAAAAUUUAACCUUCGGGAGUAUAAUUACCCGCCAAAUUUAUUAUUUUUUUUAUGGGUAUAUAGUUCCAAUUUUGCCUCCUGUUAAGCUUAUAAAUAUAUUACGACCCAGAAAAUAAAGGAAUCUUGAAUAGUAACAUGUCCAUUGACUUGAGUUGUUAUCAAUUUGGCUACUUCGAUUCCAUGAGGCCAAUCCAAUUCACACUAGCUAGAGAAAAUGGUGAUAAAGGCACUUAGAAAUUUAUAUGUAAUAUUGAUUGGUAGUAACUGAUAAGUAUAUAUUUUACGUGUUUUAAAUAUGUUUUAUUAGUUAGUUUUGGUGUGUUUUAACUACUUUUAUAACUAAUUAACUAGGAAUCUAGUGAAAAUAUGCAUUUUGUGGUUUGAAGUGUAAAAAUUGUAUUUCUAUGGAUUUUAAUGGUGAAAACUUCAUGUUUUUGUAGGUUUAAUGAUUCAAUCAUCAAAUGACAUGAUUUGAGAAGAUAAUUAGAUGAUUGAUGAUGUUUUGAAGUGAUAAAAAGAGAAUACAAAGUGCAAGAGAGGAAAUGCAAUCAAGAAUAAAAGAAGAAAAUUUUUGUAGCUUUGACAUAUUGUCGUAUUUCGGCAAUAUAUUGAGCUACAAUGAUCGGAUUAAGGUGAUUCUUAAACCAUUUGAAGCUAAAAUAUAGAUCUACAUUUGGCAUGAAGGCAUCGAAACCCAUGUCAGUCAUUUUCCUUGUCAAAAUGUUGAAAUACAGAAGUGCAACUCUGUUCUCGAAAGCUAAAACAGAGCUCUGGCUAGUCGAGGGUAUUUUCAUCAUUUCUUAGUCCACAGAGCUCCAAAUGAGAUGAUUCUUAAGGCAUUAGAACCCUAACUCAAAGAGCUACAACUUUCAUAUUUUGUACAAGAGUUAGUUCGGCCUCUAUCAUUAAGAAAAUAGUAGUUGAAGUGGUGCCAAAUGCAUAGAAGUGAAAACGCGAGCUAUCAAUACUCGACCUGAAGUCGCGUAUUCCUGAGGUCAUGCAUUCUCUUCUAUUUUCUGCAACUUGCCCUGCUUUCACAUAACUUUUUCAUCUCAAUUCCAACUAUCAAUUUCGGCUAUAUCUGAUCAAGAAAAGUGUGGAAAGUUUGAAAGACAACUCAUAGGAGUUUCAAGAGUCAAAAAUUACAAUUAGAAACAACUCAUUUGGCUCUUGAAUCCUCUAUAAAUAGAGGCCUUUGAAGAACAUUUUCACAACUUUGGAAGGUUAGAGAAACUCCACAAAAACAUAGUCUUCACUAGAAUUUCCUUAGUUCAUUAGUUAGGGUAGUAUAGUAUAGUUAGUGUAGCUUUUCCUUCUUGUAUUUAUAGUUAGGUUUGAAUGAAGAUUCAGGAGCAAAGAUAGAGAGGUUGAUCUCAUGUGACAAGGGUGAUAUCUCUUCUACUACUUUCUCUUUUGUAUUUGAUUUCAUAUUUAACUAUACUACAAAUUUGGCUUUGUUUUUUUUUUUUUAUCAUGUUUAGUUAAAGUUUAUGCCUAGAGUAUGGAUGACCUUUUUAUAUCUUGUUUGUGAUAUUUAACUGGUUAUUUGAUGAUGUUAUUUUUGAGCAAGUUAUUUAUCACUUUUGCUUUUCUAAUCAUGAUUAACUGGCCAUUAGUUGUGAUUAUCUAAAAGUGUUAAGUUUGUAAUGAGAAUUGGAGUUUAACACUAGUUCAAGGAAGUGAUAAAUUUAGGGAGUUCACUCAUGAGAGUAGAGGAACACCUUUGUGACCUAAGUGACUUGUUUCAUAUAAUUUCAUAGAAAAAAUGAACUUGUAAUUAAUUUCAUAACCACGAGAGUAAGUAUGGUUUAGCUAUAUGUAUAGUUGAUUCACUACGAGAGUAGGUUUCACAUACAUUAGAAAAUUACAUCAUAACUAGUCAAGAUAAUAUCAUUCAUUUAAUCAGUAAUCUCAUUUGCAUGAGUAGUAAGGCAUUCCAUAUCUCUAGGAGGUUUUUAGUAUUAUUUUCAUUACUUUUAUGUUUAUGGUAGUCUAGAUAAUAAUGGAGUUCGAAAACUACUAGUAAUUGAAAAUUUUCCCUGUGGGAUCGACCUUUAAUACCCUAUACUCGCUCUCGACUCGUAUACUUGAGAAAAAUCACGUGUGCGGUAUUUAGAAUUUAUAAAUGUAAAACUUGACUGUAGAUGAACUAAUUGAUAUAUGUAUACCCCGCACUCGUCAGUAACCAGCUUGUAUUGAUCCCACUAUUGUGGAUAAUUGUGCUCUUAUGAAAAAAAAUUAUAAAAAAAUUAGCAAAAUUUAUGAUAACAAAUUAAAUUUAUUCAUACAAAUCAGUGAAAGAAGUAGAAUUUUAAAGUCCAUGAUGAAAUUAAUACUUUCAAGGGCUCUAUUAGGAAGACUUCACUUGUUGGUGAAACUACACUAGCACAGUUAUAUGCACAUUUACUGUUUUGGUAUCUAAUUUCCUUGCCUUAAGUUGGGUGCAGAUGUUUAUAUUACAAAUAGAUGGUAUCAUAAAAUUGUUGUAUUCACGUUUGUUCUUUUUUUUCUUCCUUAAGUUUUUUUCUUUAUUCUCGUGACUUCAAAAAUACGAACUCAAGAAAUUGGCUGCUUAAUCAAUAUGUCAUACAGGCUUCGCUAGUGAGGUAUAACUUCACAACUAGAGUCAAUAGAAAUUAUCAAAUGAUUUUUUAACAUCCAAAUUAAGCAAUAAAUUUUGUUUUCAUUUUAUGACAUAUAAUAGUACUACUUCAUGAGAGAUUUUAUAGUUUCUUUUAGGUAUCAUACCUACAAGUGAUAUUUGUCAUUGGAUAGUGACAGAAGUGUUAAUGAUUGUAAGAUUAAAUAUUGUUAAAUAUUGAAAUUUAAACUAUUUAUCUUUAUUGAAAGAUACAAGUUAAAGAAUCGUUCAAGGGGGCAAUUUUCCAUCUUGUCUUUUUGAAAAAACGCUAUCACAUUGUAUAGGCAUGAUAGGUUCAAAUUUGUCAUUAAAUUUAUGAUUGAUUUUCCUUUUAUUCAAGCCAAAUAUUGUUUUAAUUAUCAAAUUCUACUUAUAUUUGGUUAAUUGUACUAAUUGUAGGGCGGUAGAGCAAAAGUUGCUAAAAAUAGGCGAUUUUCUGCAAAUUGGUUGUCAAGGCUGAAGGAUUUGGGAUUCGCAUGUUCAAGGCCUGUUUCCAAGUUUGAUUCAAACUCUGGACAGUUUUAGAGGAAGAUUUGGAAGAUUUGAAAUUUCAUUAUUAGUUUUAUGGUUGAAUUAGGAAUCUUGGAAUAAUUUCUUUUGUGAUUUAUUUUUCUAUUUAGGAGACUAGUUGUUAUUUAGUAGUAGACUUCAAUUAGAAAACAAAGAGAAAAAGAAGGCCGGAAUCCCGCUUGAUUAAUACCUUGGCCAGGGAACAAUCUCGGUGGGGAGGACGGCCACUUAGCCUCUCAAUUCAUCUUGCUUUUCGUUAGUUUGAGAGGAAAACCAAUUGCAACUAGAUUCAAUGGAGUCUGGCAGAAUUUCUUCUAGGAUGCGUAGCUAAAUCCUCAAUUUUUAGUCGAAGGUCAAUUUGAAAAUUCGGUUCCAAAUAUCUGUGAAAUCGAAUUAUUUUACUUAUUUCUUUUAUUUAUUGGUAUUCGCACGUUUUCUGAUUUAACUUUUUAUGAUUGUUUUGUUAUUUGAAUGUCAAGGGUCCGAUAUUCGAAUUAACUUAAUAAUCUACUGCCAAAUUAACCGGUUAAAUCCGUAAUUGUUUGAUUGAUUAAUAUCAGUGGCGACUAGCGUGAUUGGUCCCAUGUUAGGAAAACGUCUGAUCUAAUUUAAACAAACCGUCGUAGCGUGUUUGUUGAUUAGGGUUGGGCUUUUCUAAUUCUUAAUUCAAUUGAGAAAUUAAAUCCCCCGGUCGUACCUAGGAUUAUUUUUUUGUUAGCGAAAUAGUUAAUGGUCGUACCUUGACUAUCGAAAAAGUAAGGAAGAGUUGAUUGUUUAUCGCGUGUACGACAACUAUAAUCAAUCUAUUAAUGAGUAAUUGAAUUAUCUUUGCAUCAGUAAUCAGUUGAAUGGACCGUGUCUGAAAAGUUGUACCUUUGGCUAGAGUCUUAUCUGUUGUUGAUUCAUUCAUAUCUAUCUUCAUGCGUUGUUUUAAUUUAGUUAAUUAGUUAUUUUUAUAAAAACCCCUCAUCUCUGGACUCUAAAAGAAAUAAAUUAUUUCUAGUUCCUGUGGAUUCGAUCCUACUCACCAUACAAUCCAACCUGCAAUUGUAUGAACCCCAAUCUCGCUUCCUAGUCCACCAUUUUUCUCUAGGUAAUAAUCUCCCUUCUAAUUUCUUCACAAAAUGCACCUUUCAUCACCUCCAAUAGCGUCGACAUGAUCUUUACCCCAGAAGACUAUUCACCGACUCUCAAUUGACGUUAGAAAAUCUAAGAGUAAUUCUACUUUACCCUAAGAUUGAUAUCAACAAGACAAGGACAAUUUAGAAUUAUUACACGCCUCUUCUUAAUAGGAAAAAGAAAUAGAGAAGAAAGUCAGGCCAGGUCUAAUUUCUUUUCAAAGGCAAUACAACAUUACGAAAUCAAGCAUUCAUUCAUACAAAUAUUUCAUAGUCACCGGUUUGCUGAGUAGAAAAAUUUAGACAAAAACUUAAUAUUAUAUUGUUUAAGAGUUAACAAUUUAGAGCUUAAUCUCCUUGUACUUUGGAGUUAACAAUUUAGAGCUUAAUCUCCUUGUACUUUGGACUAAACUUGAACGUGAAAGGAAAUCCCAAAACCAUAUUGGGCAUGAAUUCACACUUAAUAUACCCAAUAAAAGAUGGCGACUGGUGAAAGGCAGUGGAGACUGGUGGAGAGAUUUGAGGAAUAGAAGCAGACGGAAAAGCAACAAAUUUUUGCCGAAAAACGGUCACUUUCAUGGUUAAUUUUGCUACUCUCCAAUUGUACUUGACCAAUUACAACAAUUUCAUGGAGUUUGAUACGUGAAAAGAAUUUUUUAUAAAUUUUAUUUUGAUCCAUAAUGUUAUCUUUACAUAUAUAAAACAUUUUACAAUUUUGAUUUUGGCGCAGUUAACUUUUGGUAAACAAAAAUGCUCAUGUUUAAAAAACCGGAAAUAAAACAAAACAAGAAACAAAAGAAAUAAGAGGGUAGCAUAGACAUUUUGGAUUUUUCCGUUAAUUUGGAUGAUUUCCACCCACGUUCUAAUUUAAUCCAAAACACAAAGGAAUUACGUAGAGGUUUUAAAUAAUGAGGGAGCUUCAUGAUCGAACCCCAAACCACAAGGCGAUUUACUAUAUUUUACUCUUAAAUUUUGGUUUCAUCUCAUAGCAUACAAGAGUUCUAUUUCACUAUCUGUAGACAAAGACUUUCUAUGGUUGAUGUACCAUAGGAAAAAAUCUGCCUAUACAACGUGAUAGCAUUUUUUCAAAAACACAAGAUGGAAAAUUGCCCCCUUAAACGGGGAAAUUCAUGAUCUUUCCUCGAACAAAGAAUACUCACGCCUAUUCAAGAUGGAAAAUUGCCCCCUUAAACGUCUAUUUGUCAAUUCUUGAAAAAAGAAUACUCACGCCUAAAACACGGCCUCUUCAUCUGCAGAAUUCUAAAAAGUUAGGUAAACUCUAUAAACAAGUUGAUAGGUACAAUCGUACCCAAGAUCAAGUACAGAUAGUUGUACAUUCACUGCUGCAAUAACUAAUCUGAUGACUUACAAACAUAUCAUGGUCAAUCGUUGAAUGGUAAUGAGUCUUUUGUUAUGCAUUAGUAUUAGUGUGUACACUCUAAUAGAUUGAUACUUAUACUCUUUAAAUUAUCAUAAUAAUACCCUUAAUUAACUUUAACUCUUAAAAAGAAUACGUGUUAAUACACGAGAGUGUGUAACCUGAAUUGUUACUUAUACAUUAGUGUGUAAUAGAUAGGGAUGGCAAUGGGGGCGGGUGCCCGCAGGCAACCGCCCCGCGGGGGGCUCUCGGGGCGGGGAGGGGGGAAUUUUUUCCCCCCGUUUAGAAACGGGGCAGGGGACGGGGGAGUAUACCCCCGCCCCAUCCCCCGCAAAAAAAAUUAUAUAUAUAUAAUUAUAUAUAAUAUGUAAUUUAAUUAGUUAUAAACUUAUGAUAAUGAUAUUAUUAGUUAGAUGUAUUAUAUAAUGUAUAUUAGUGUAUGUAAUAUAAUUAAUAUUAUCAAUUAUACGAAUAAUUAGACAUGUCUACUAAUAGAAUUUAUUAAUUAGUUAUACUAAAUUUACUAAUACAUUUAUACUAAAUUUCUAAUUACAUUUAAUAGAAUAACACUUUUUUCUAAAAAAAAAAGCACAAACACAAUAAUGAAUUAGUGAUUGUAUUUUUACCAAAAAUGAAAACUUAACUAUUUUAGUUGCAUUUAUUUCAUCAUGUUGGAUUGUAUUCAAAUAAUUUUUGUUUGAUUGUUUUUAUGAGUUUCAAUUGUAAAAUUAAAAUGAAUAAUAACUUGAUGAAUAAUAAUGUCAAUCGUUGAAUGGUGUGUACACUCUAAUAUUAUGCAUUAGUAUUAGUGUGUACACUCUAAUAGAUUGAUACUUAUACUCUUUAAAUUAUCAUAAUAAUACCCUUAAUUAACUUUAACUCUUAAAAAGAAUACGUGUUAAUAACUCUUAACCUGAAUUGUUACUUAUACAUUAGUGUGAAAUAGAACGGCAAGCAUUGAGCAACUUAUAGGAGAAAUAGUCCUAUAAGCUGUUGGAUGACUAAUAUAGCUCUAGCUGUAAUGUUUUAAUUAAAUUACAUCACUAACGUUGGGAUGACUAAUGGUUUAAAAAUAAUUGAGUAAUUGGAAAAAAAAAAAGAGACUAAUUUUCAUUGAAACCCACCGACAAACUAAACGUGUCCAUGGCUUUUGAAUAGUGCAUUCAACGUUUAAUUGUAUAGUCCAGUUCAUUGCAGAUUACAUGGAGUAAAGAUUGUGCUCUUUCCUUUUUCACCCCUUUUGGAAUCGAUACUGUGGAGAAUUGGGUUUUUCCCUUCUUUUUUUCUUUUCUUUCUUUCUGUGCUUUGCAAAACAUAGGUAAAAUUAUGAAAUCCGAAGCAUUCUUUAAUUGGGAUUAAGUAUUGUUCUUGAAAUUAAAAAGAAGAAAGAAAGAACAACAAAAUUCCCUGAUUGGUUGCAUCGUGCUUCCAUAGAAGCUCUCUUAGUGUGAUACACUGCUUUCAAUCAGUUUAACAUGGAAAAAAGAAAGAGAUGAAAAGCAAAUUUGGUGGGGAUAAUUUCAGAAACCUCCCCUGAAGAUUUUGACUAUUCUACUGGUCUCCCUUCAGAUUUUAAAAAUUACACUAAUCUUCCUUGAAGUUAUAACAUUUAAAUUCAAUCAAUAAUUUAAAAAAUGAUAUUAUGAAAGAGAAAAUAAUAUGAUUUUAUCAUUGCCCCCCAUCUUACUACAUUAUUUAAUUAAUUUAAUAGCAACCCACACAUUAAAGAAAAAUAUAAAAUUUGUUAUUUAUCAUUAAAGAUCAAAUCGCUUAUAACAUCAAAUAAUAGUAUAUUAUUUAUAUUUUUCACUUAACAUAAUAUCCAAAUUACUCUUUUCAAUUACAUACUCAUUGUUAGACAAUCAACAACAAAUAACCAAAAAAUUUGCAACCAAAAUAUUACAAAAAAAAAUAAACUUUAACAUCAUAAAUAUUCUUAUCAACAUAUUAAAGUUAGUUACUGAAAUUUUUAUGGUGUUAAACUUCACUCUUUGUAAUAUUUUGGUUACAGAUUUUUUUUGAUUAUUUUUUAUUAAUUAUGUUUGAUGAUGGGUUUGUAAUUGAAAAGAAUAAUUUAAAACUUACAUUAAGUGAAAUAUAUAGAGUGAUAUACUAUUUUUUAUAACAUAUGUGAUUCAAUCCUUCUUGAUAGGAUUGGUAAUAGAGGUAGAGGGGGGAGUCGGCUGCAUCCGGUCUUCUUUUCAUAGAUAGUACAAUAUUGCGAAAUCAAUCGCAUUCACACAAUAAUAUUUCGAAGUCAAUGCAUGGCUAAGUUGCAUAAAAGUACGAACACUUGUUAUUAUAUAGCUUAAGAUUCAAAACUUUAGAGCAUAACCCUCCACCUAACACAAUUGAAUAAUGAAUAUUCACGUUUGUCAAAUCUGUCAAAGCACAGUUUGAGGACAACCCAUUCCAACCUGCAAAAGAUUUUUUACUUUUCUAAAGUUGUUGAGAGCUGUAAAAAGACCUACCAUGCUUACAUCCUCCGAGCCUUGGGAGUUAAAAAUGAAGGCACUGAGUGCUAUAAAAAGGGGGCUAGAGGCUGCCUAGAAGCAUAUCAGCCUAAAACAAGAAUUUGUUGUUAUGAUGGGAAGCAAAGCAAAAGCAAUGGGGUCUGGGCUGACUCCUCUUCUUGCCACUGUUUUAGUGGUAUUUGUUGCUCUUGGCUUGCCCUCAGAAACAGCAGCUGAUGAUCACUACAAGUAUUCAUCUCCUCCUCCUCCUUACCACUAUCCCUCACCACCGCCUCCAGUGCAUUUACCUCCACCAGUGUACAAAUACAAGUCCCCACCACCACCUCAUCAUGUUUACAAGUACAAAUCUCCACCACCCCCACCACCACACCCAGUUUACAAGUAUAAGUCACCACCACCACCUCCUCAUCCGGUACCACACCCAGUUUACAAGUAUAAGUCACCACCACCACCUCCUCAUCCGGUAUACAAGUAUAAGUCUCCUCCGCCACCACCACACCCAGUUUACAAGUAUAAGUCACCACCACCACCUCCUCAUCCGGUACCACACCCAGUUUACAAGUAUAAGUCUCCUCCGCCACCAGUUUACAAAUAUAAGUCUCCUCCACCACCACCUCCAGUGUACAAGUACAAGUCUCCACCACCACCAGUUUACAAGUACAAAUCACCACCACCUCCUCCCCCAGUUUACAAAUACAAGUCUCCACCACCACCAGUUUACCACUACAAGUCACCACCACCUCCUCACCCAGUUUACAAGUACAAAUCUCCUCCACCACCAAUUUACCACUACAAGUCACCACCACCUCCUCCCCCAGUUUACAAAUACAAGUCUCCACCUCCUCCUCACCACUACUAAGCAAUUGCUUCUGAGGUAAUAACACUUGUUCAAUAACACUUGAUAGCCAGCUGAAUAUUUGCAGGCAAAGGAGAAGGAAACCAGUGUUUGAGACCUUCUUGAAGAUGUAGAAGCAUAAGAAUUAAAGCCCAAUGUGAAGAUGAUGAUUUCAAGUUUUUCUACGUUACCAUUUCAAUAUCUAAAUUGGUUGUAGCGCCUUAGUUCCUUUGUUUAUGGGAUUUGUAUCGUUUUACGUACCAUGCAGUACAUGUCAUGUUUGUAAGGUUUUCUAUCCUGCCGGCAAACCGCAGGUUCCAUGUAAUAAAUCAAUACUAUUUAUAUUACGACACUUUUCUCUGUUUCUCUUAUAUUUUGUCUUUAAUAUUCUUAAUCAUAUUUUUAACAAAAAUAUUCAAACACUUCAGCAAUGGUUCACCUAGUUGAUCAUCGAAGCAGAGGCAAUUCCAAUUAUUUAUCAAUAAAUAGGAUAUAACUACCAAACAAGCGAUGGCAGUUAACCCCUCCUUACUGUGUCGGUGAUCAAGGUACGCCCGUUAAUCACUGCUCUAAUUGAGAAAUAAUCCUAAGUACGCCCGUAGAAUUUAAUUCCCCAAUUGCCUUACAUAUUAGAGGAGCCCUAUUCUAACCAAAUAACGCACUAUCAGGGUUAUUUUAGAUUAGCCCGCGUAUUCCCCUGACAUAAAUCUAAUCAUGCCAGUUGUCAUUAUUUUGAGGUAAUUAAACAAUUACGGAUUUAACACCUCAAUUGACAAUAGAUUAUUAAAUUAAUUAAUUAUUCGGAUCCAAGACAAUCAAUUAAUUAAACAACCAUAAGCACUACAAUCAGAGAAUAUGCAAAUACCAAUAAAUAAAUAAAAAAUAAAAUUAAAUCGAUCUCACAAUUUUUAGGCGAAUCAGAGCAUCCGUUGUCCCUUGACUAGAGCAAGGAAAUUAGUUCAUAUUUGAUGAACUAAACCCAUACAAAAGGGAAGCGAGAAAUGCAGCCAUUAUCCUUUGAAAUCUGGAAAAUUCAACUUGUCCGAAUAUCGAAUAGAUAGUAAUACUACAAAAGGUAAUUCAUAGCUUCCCUUUCGUCUGACACACAAGAAGAAAAAAAAGGGCUGCUAAUAACUAAAGGAGGAAAAGUCAAAGUCCUAAGCUAUGCUACAAGACGAAAAACUAAAGAAGACAAAAAGGCAGUGCUCAUUCCCUGCAAUCUCAAUUCCUAUUCUAUCUAAGUGCUCUCCAAUGUGCGGCGGCUCCCCUUCCGGAGAGGACGAAGUGGCACCCUUUUUUCCUGCGCAAUUUUCCUAUAUAAAGUAGUGCUCCUUGCAGCGGCUCCUGUGCGAAAAAAUGAAGACUUCGGCCCAAUUUGCCUAACAAGGGCUCACGUUUUGUUGUUCUAAAAAUGUCCCUAGGACAAACUCUAUCAUCUGAACUCUUUUCUUGCCAAAUUAGUACCUGUUAUUAUAUUUUCGUUCUACUCCCUGAAAUAAAUGCAAAAUAUCAAAAGUGAGUAGAAUCUAGCAAUUAAUCCACAUUAGGUCAGGUAAUAGGGAAAAUUAAUAAUAAAAUAAAUGAUAAAAUUGCAAUCUAUCACGGGACCACUGUGGUAAGGUGUGUUUCGCCUAUUAUAAGGAGUUCGGAGAGUUAGACGUGUUGGAGGCGGAGGCGCGGUCACUCCUGCACGCCCUCCAGCUGUGUGCAGAUCGCGAGGUACGGGCGUUGACUGUAGAAUCUGAUUCAAAGGUGCUUGUUCAACUAGUUUGCUCGGAUAUGAGGUCGAAGUGGCCGGUGUGUAUCGUAUUGCGGGAAAUAAGACAUUUGAUCCGGCGGAUGGGUGCAUCCCUUCAUCAUAUAUUCCGUGAGGCCAAUUCGGUGGCGGACGCAUUGGCUUCUCUGCAAUUGGGAGGGCAGCAGUACUACACCUCAGGCGUGGCGCUGCCUUUCAGGCCCAGAGGAGAGGCUCUGCUGGAUCGUCAAGGAGUACCUCGCAUCCGUGAGGCGCUCACUAAGGUUUGAUAGGCUAUGUCCUCCUUUCAAAAAACUUAUUUCAUCUACUCCUUGUAAUCAUUUUUCUUAUCAAUAAAUUGAGGCUUUUUAUUUAAAAAAAAACAUAUAAUUUAAGGCAAAAAUAUGAUCCUAGCGAGUAUCGCACUGAGACAUUAGGAAACAUCAUUAAAAGAGUAUUUCUUGAGUUAGUGCAACUAUUUCUUAGGGGAAUUUAUAGUUACAAAAUUCAAAAAUUUGAGAUUCUAUUACUGAUUAAUUAAGGGCGUUAUCACUAUUUUUCUUAUUAUCACCAUUAUUUACCCCACAUACUAUAAGUUUUUUUAGGGCACAGGAAAAGAGGUGGGCCGAUGUUUAGUUAUGUACAAAAGUUCAAAAUUUGUAGAUAACUUAUCAUGUGCCCUUAGAGCGUAGAAUACAGAAAAAAUAUCUUAAACUAUAACUAAUCCUAAUAUUUUUCUCUAUGAUAAACUAGCUCUUAUCCAUUUCUUUAGAUGAUGAAAGGAAAUAGUUAGUCACCUGUCCUCUAGUGAUUACAACAGCAUCAAAACAAAUUAGCACUCUUUUCCCGUAGUUUAAAAAUCCCUCAGCCACUAAGAUUUUGCAUGUCGAACGAAUUAAGGAACAUAGAAGGUUCGUGCUGCACCACAGUGUCCUUGUUGACGAUGCAAAGACAGAAAUGCAUCCGCGUAUACUUCCUUAAGCAUUUUGAUUACUUUAUGAUUCGAACUUUUCUUGUCUGACAGCUGGACUUAAUUGAAAAACACAAGUAACAAUAUUUCAAAGUUGAUUCGUCAAAGUUUACCCAAUUGGUGAAACUUUCUUCAUAGAGCUGACUUUGUAUUAGGUGACAAUGAUAUGGAAUUGAUGUCCUUCCCUUUUUCCUUUUUUUGUGUUGAAGACGCACAACGUUUUCAAUGGCAAAUUUAUAUGGGCUUUUCACGACAAAAUGUGUUCUGAAAAGUUCAUUCCAGAGGUUAAAAUUUUGUGUGUUAAAAAUUUGCUUCUCAGGACUUUGAUGGGAAAGUCUUGGUGUUUCCAAAAAGUUUAAGCAGGAUGCUUCUGGCUUUCUCUCCAUGUAUUUGUGAGUUAGAUCUAAAAUUAUCAGGGCUCCAGAGAUCUCUUGAAAUCGCAGCAUAUAUUGAAGUCUUUCCAGAAGGAGUCUUUUUUUUUUUUUUUAUGAAUUAUGAUAGAUAAUUAAUCUGACGGUGCAUAUAUAUAUAUAUGUGAUUUGCAGUAGGGUGUUUGACGAAAUGGUUAGGCUUCCUAAGUAAUGAUAGGAAUGCCAUUUGCAAAGAAGGACAGGGGGCUGGUGCUGUCAUAUUUUAUGCGAUUUGAUCCGUUGUUGUAUAAGUUUAAACUUUUGACGUGCAAUUGUGCUAUAAUAUUAUACUAAAUAUAUGUGUGAAAUAUUUUGUCUAUAUACAUCACUUUUAUCAUGAAUACAACAGCUGAGUAUAAUAAUAUAGUAUAAUGUAAUUGUACACCAAAUAAUGUAGCAAAUAUAACAAUUGAUCCGAAUUACACGGAACCAUAACAACAAGAUCACCGCCUCCCAAAUUUUACAAAAUUAGGUUUUUUUUUUUUCUCUUAGAUUAUUGAAAAUUUUCAAAAAUAAUCUACAUAAUUUAAGCUUUUGUCCUACAAAAAUUUGAAGAGAUUUUACAUUACAAGCUUAAGCUUAGAUAUAUUAAACUUUGCCCCCAAGAUUAAUUUUCCGUUUUUAUCUAUGAACCGAUCCAUAUAGCUAGUUAGACUGUAGUCCUCACAUUUGUGGGAUUUAACACCCAAGAUUCUCCUUCUUGGAAUGUAAAAUGUAGAUCUUCUAUGUUAAUAAUUCAAGACCCUACUGUCAUAAACGAAAUGACUGAUCAACUCCUGUAAACCUAAUUUGACAACAUUUAAAUGGAGAACUUUAGCUAAAAGAAUUAUGGUCAAGCUAAAGAAAAAGCCAGUUAUUUUCCAACAUAUGCAAUCAUUGAUCAGGAAAAAAAAAAAAAAGCAAAAAGACAUCUUCAAUCAUUUAAUAGCUCACAGUGCAAAUUAACCCCUAAGCGAAAACUGGUUGCUCUAGAAUCAAAAUUUUACCUUAGUUACCCAGGCAACUUUUUUGUUGCUUUUUUUUUUUUCUUUUCCUUUUUGGGUAUAUAUAUAGCUCCAGUUUUGCCCCCUCUGUCAAGCUUAUAUAAUUAUUAAGAUAAUAAAAGUGCCUUGAAUAGUAUUAAUAUAUCCAUUGACUUGAGCUGUCAUCGAUCGGUUUGGGCUACUUCGAUUCCAUGAGAACAAAUGGUAAUAAAAGUACUCAGAAAAUAGGGAGCCAUGAAACCCUUUUGUUCUAUUCAUUGCUAAGAUGCUUUUCUCUAUAAAGAGACUUCCUAACGAAAGUACUUUGUAGAUUUCUUUACUCCAAGUGGUGCAUGGAAAAUUAAAAUAUUCAAUUAUCAAAUAAAAUUCCCUUUUUUCGGUGUAGAUUUCAUCCAUCCAGCUGUUAACACAUUUUAUGUAUCCGAAUUAUAUAUUCUCUACCAAAUAUUGUAACUUUUCUGAGCAUCUUUACAUUUUUAUUCCCACCUAACAAAUUAGUUGUUGAGCAUCUUUACAUGCUAUCGGAUCACAAGUUAAUAAUCUUUUAAAGAACAUGUUAAAUUAAUUUAUUGGUAUGAAUAGUCAAAGAAGUAUAUUAAAGUUAGUAAUCUUUAAACACCACGAUGCAAUUAAUACUUUCAAGCUCAAGGUCUUUUUUUUUUUUUUUUUUGGUACUGUACUUCCUUGCUUUAUAGUAUGCACGUUUAUUUCUGUGGAUUGCUUAAGCUUAUAUUGUUAAUAAUUGGGCAUUUAACCAUAAAUUAUAAUGAUUAUGAAGUCAUAUAUAUAUAUAUAUAUAUAAGAAAAUUACCACAAUUAUUCAAUUUUUUUUGCAAAUUCAAAUUUUAUUAAUAAGAAAUAGGCAGUAAGCUUUUACAAACGGAAAAAAAAAAUCCUACAACAACUCUAGGACCUUUGAAAGAAAGAAAAAAAAAAGAAAAGAAAAGCUUAAGGACUCUACCUCAUAGAAGCUAAACAAUCCUACAAAUAAACUGCAAAAUAAAUCACAAUAACGCAAAAUUUUUGUCUUUCUUCCGUAUGAAAUGAAACUACGAAGUCAAGAAUUGACUCCUUUAACCGCUAUUGCCAGCGGGCUCCGUCAGCAAGAUACAACUUUGCAAUUUGAUUCAAUAGAAAUCCUCAAAUAGCUAUUUUGACAGGCAAAUUAAGCAUUAAUUUUGGUAUCCCUUCAUAAAAUACAAGAGUACUUUUGAUUAUAUCUAUAGAUCAACUUUCUAGGCUAUUUUGAUGUAUUAUAAGAAAAUCUGCCUCAACAAUUUUGAUAGCAUUUUUCCAAAAGCAGAAGAUGGAAAAUUGCCCAUUUGUACUGGGGAGUUCGUGAUCUUUUCCUCCUUCUAGUCUACUUACAAUUCUUGGAAAAAGGAAUACUCACAUCUCAAACAACUGCCUGUUCAUCUGCAAUGUCCUGCCGAAUUCUAGAAAGUUAGGUGGCAAUGCUAAUUACAUUUCAAAAUUGACUGCUGCGAUGACUAAUUCGAUGGCUUACUACAUGGUCAACGUUUGGAUCCCUUCCUGUCCUUUUUGGAUGCACAUUUUUUUUCUCUAGGCAAUAUAUAAUCUCCCAACUCAUUUCUUUACAAAUGCACCUUUAAUCACCACCAAAAGGUGUGGACAUGAUCUUUACCCUAGAAAACUAAUCACCGACAGGCAAAUUGACGUCAGAAAUACUAAGAGGAAUUCUAGUUUCCUUCGGGUUAAUGCCAUUUUGUACCCUUCAACUGUAACUCGAUUUCUAAACUAUAAUUUGUGACAUUAUAGUCCUUAAACUAUGAAACCCCUCUUACUUAAGUACAAUGGUUAAUACAAUACCCGUGACUAGACAAGCAACCAUAACAAAAAAAAAUCCAAAAUUAGAGAAAAGAAAGAAGUUUCGCGACCAAAGUAUGUAUCAAGGCAUAGUAUAGAAAUAAAAGUGUCCAAAUUAAGAGUUUAGGGAUAAAAGAGAUCAAGAUAUAGUUUAGGGAUUGAUUUGUCUCAAUUAGAGUUUUGAUGUCAACUAAGAAGAGAGAUAUAGUUGAAGGGUAGAAUAUAGAUAUAACAGUUCAAUGAUUGAUAUCAACGAGACAAUGACAACUUUGGAUUAUUACCAACCUCUUCUUGAUGGGAAAAGGAAAUAGAGAAGAAAGUCGGGCCUGGUCUAAGCCUGCUUCGGAGGCAAAACAACAUUAUGAAAUCACCGGCAUUCACACAAAUAUGUCAAAGUCACCGGCAUGCUAAGUUGCAUAAUUUAUACAAACACUGAAUAAUAUAUUGUUCUUAAAAUUUUUGUUUAAGAUUUAACAAUUAGAGCACGGUACACGAAUUAGCAAUAUUAAAUAAUGAAUGUUCACGAUUGAUAAAGUUAUCAAAGUACAGUUUGAGGACAACCCAUUCCAACGUGUACAAGAUGUUUAGCCUUUGAAAAGUUAAUUAGAGAAGGUGACGAGAUUUUACUAGGCUUAAAUCUUCUAGGCCUCGGAAGUAAAAAAUGAAGGCCUUUGAGUGCUAUAAAAAGGGGGCUAGAUGUUGCCUAGAAGCAUAUCAGCCUCAGACCACAUUUUGUAGCAAUGGGGAGCAAAGCAAAAGCAAUGGGGUCUAGGCUGACUCCUCUUCUUACCACCGUUUUAGUGGUAUUUGUUGCUCUUGGCUUGCCUUCAGAAACUGUGGCUGAUUACUACAAGUAUUCAUCUCCUCCUCCUCCUUACCAUUAUUCCUCACCACCACCUCCUGUGCAUUCACCUCCACCACCGCCAAUUUAUAAGUCACCCCCACCACCUUACCACUACUCCUCACCGCCACCUCCAGUGUAUUCAUCUCCACCACCACCUUCGCCAGUUUACAAGUCUCCGCCACCACCUUACCAUUAUUCGUCACCACCGCCUCCGGUGCAUUCACCUCCACCACCACCUGUUUACAAGUCACCUCCACCACCUUCGCCAGUUUACAAGUCUCCGCCACCACCUUACUAUUAUUCGUCACCACCGCCUCCGGUGCAUUCACCUCCACCACCACCGAUUUACGAGUCACCUCCACCACCUCCUCCAGUUUACAAGUCUCCGCCACCACCUUACCAUUAUUCCUCACCACCACCUCCAACGCAUUCACUCCCACCACCAGUUUACAAAUCACCGCCACCACCUCCUCCUAUGUAUAAGUCCCCUCCACCACCUUAUCAUUAUUCCUCACCACCACCUCCAGUGCAUUCACCCCCACUGCCACCAAUUUACAAGUCUCCGCCACCUCCAAUCUACAAGUAUAAGUCACCACCACCUCCUCCCCCAAUUUACAAGUCACCACCACCACCUCCUCCAGUAUAUAAGUCCCUACCCCCACCAGUGUAUAAGUACAAGUCUCCACCACCACCUCCUCCAGUAUACAAAUCACCUCCACCACCUCCUCCAGUUUACAAAUCUCUACCACCACCAAUUUAUAAAUACAAGUCUCCUCCACCACCUCCUCCGGUUUACAAUUCCCCACCACCACCAAUCUACAAGUCUCCACCUCCACCCUCCCAUUACUACUACAAUUCUCCUCCUCCUCCUCCUCAUCACUACUAAGCAAUUGUAUCCAAGUUUUUGAGGUAAUAAUGCUAAACCAAUAUAUUAACUUUCGCAUGAUAAACUUUAUCUCUAUCAAGACAAACUGCCAUGUGCAUCAAGCCAAAUACGUACACUUCGAUCCAUGAAAAUGACAAGUAGAAGGUUUUCUUAAGAACCAAGGAACAGCAUUAGUAUUCCCUCUGUUUCCAAAACUUGUGUAUUAAAUAGAUUAAUGAAUUGUUUAACAUGCUUAUCUACUUGAAAAUGCACAAUACCCAUAACCCACUGAAAUUUUUGCAGGUAAAGGGGAAGAGAAUCUGUGUUUGAGAGCUUCAUGAAGAUGUUGAAGAAUAAGAAUAAAAGCCCAAUGCGAGGAUGUUUUCAAGUUUUUCUAUGUUUCCACUUUAAUUUGUAAAUUGAAUUUUUCGACUUAAUUAAUUCCCUGUUUGUGGGGUACGUAUUGUUUUACGUACCAUGCCGUACAUGUUUGUAAGGAUUUCUAUCCUAUUGGCAAAAGUCGGUUCCAUACAAUUAAUCAAUUCAUUUCACUUCUAUUGGCUCUACUAUUUAUGCACGUUACGACAUUUUUUCUCUCUUUCCCUUAUAUUUUGUCUUUAAUAUUAUUGAGUCAAUAGUAAUACUGGGCCAUUUUUUUUAAAACUUAUACUAGUAUACAUAGGUAGUUUGGUCUAACGCCAAAUUCAUGUUUGUCUUUCUUUUAUUCCCUUUACAUUUCAAAGUAUACUAUAGUUUGUGAUCAUUGUGGUGAUGAUAUUACCAGCUGGUACUUAUAGUUUAAGGCAGAGACAUGAUAUUAACAACUAUCUCAUUGAAACAUAAGGAAAAAUCAUGACAAGUGUGAGUCUUGGUUAAUGCACAAUUUGUUAGUGGAAUUUAUAUUUAUAAAACUCAAAAAAAAAAUUUUGACAAUGCUAUUACUAAUUAAUUAAGGACUUUAUUGCUAUAAUUUAUCGCUUGCUAGUUUAAACUAUAAAUGAUCUCAAUACUUUUCUCCAUGAUGUCGAUUUCUUUAGAUACGAAAGGGAAAAAUUAGUGACAUAUCCCUUACUGAUUACAACAUCAGCAAAAAUUAGUUAUAAACUUUUCCGGUGGUUUUAAAUCCCCGGGCCCUAAGAUUUUUUGCUCAUCGAGUGAAUUAAGGAACAUAGGCAAUUCAUUUUGCAUACCAAGUCCUUGUUUAAGAUGCAAGUACUAAAAUGCAUCCACUUCAUUAAUUUGGGAAAUUGCCAUAGUUUUUUUAAGCAUUUUGAUUUUUUACAUGAUUUAAAAUUUUCUUAUUGGAUACAAUCACUUUGUAUCAAGAACACAUUUUCAAUCACCUUUUUUUAUCUUCUCAAUGAGAAAAUAAAAAUUUAUUCAUGCUUUUCUAACAUAUUCAAUCAUUGAUCUGAAAAUUAAAACAUUAAGAAAAGGACAUUUUCAAACAUUAAGAAGUAGUAUUUUAAAGACCAUGAUGAAAUUAAUACUUUCAAGGUCUCUAUUAGGAAGACUUCCUUUAUUAAUACUCUACUAGGCAGAGUUAUAUGCACGUUUACUGUUUUGGCCUUAAGUUGGGUGCAGAUGCUUAUAUUACAAAUAGAUGGUAUCAAAAAAUUGUUGUAUUCACGUCUGUUCUUUUUUUCUUCCUUAAGUUUUUUUCUUUAUUCUCGUGACUUCGCUAGUGAGGUAUAACUUCACAACUAGAGUCAAUAGAAAUCGUCAAAUGAUUUUUUGACAUCCAAAUUAAGCAAUAAAUUUUGUUUUCAUUUCAUAACAUAUAAUAGUACUACUUCAUGGGAGAUUUUAUAGUUUCUUUAGGGUAUCAUACCUACAAUUGAUAUUUAUCAUUGGAUAGUGAAAGAAGUGUUAAUGUCUCUAAGAUUAAAUAUUGUUAAAUAUUGAAAAUUUGAACUAUUUAUCUCUAUUGAGAGAUACAACUUAAAGAAUCCUACCCAAAAGAGACUAGAAUUUUCUCUGUUUUUCAUCAUCUGUAGACAUAAACUUUCCACGGUUGAUAGCAUUUUUCAUCAUCUAUAAGGAAAUUUUGCCUAUACAAUGUGAUAGCAUUUUUCAAAAAGACAAGAUGGAAAAUUGCCCCCCUUGAACGGAAAAUUGCCCCCUUGUCAAUUCUUUAAAAAAGAAUACCGUCCCGCAGAAUUCUAGAAAGUUAGGCAAAACUAGACAAGUUGACAGGUAUAAUCAGACCCAAGAUCAGGAACAAGCAGUUGCACAUUUCAAAAUUCGCUGCUGCAACAACUAAUUUGAUGACUUACAACACUAAAUGGUCAAACUUUGAAUGGCAAUGAAUCUUUUGUUGUACAUCAUGAUGUAAUUUUCAUGUUACAUAAUAGAUUGAUAUCUAUGUUCUUUAAAUUAUCAUAAUAAUUAAAUUUAACUGAAAAAAAGAACACAUAUCAAUACACAAAAGUGUGCAACGUGAAUGUUAUUUUAGUGUAUUGCAGAAGACCUAUAGUCUCUUCAUAUCUCUUCCUGCACGUAUCAAUUCGUUUCCUCUAGAUAAUAAUCUCCCAACUCAUUUAUUUACAAAUGCACCUUUUAUGUUUUAUUACCUCCAAAAGCCUAAAAAUCAAUUCACCGACUCGCAUUUGGUAUCAGAAAUUCUUAUUACGAAUUCUACUUUACUCAAAGAUUGACUGUUAAUAAUGAGACAACGACCAUUUUGUAUUAUUACACCGUCCUUCUUGAUAGGCAAAAGAAAUAGAGAGGAAAGCGGGUCCGUAUAUGGUCUUUUAUUCAUAGAUAAUACAACAUUACGCCAUCGAGCAUUCACACAAUAUUUCAAAGUCAUUGCAUGCCUAAGGCCUGCUUGAUAAUCUAAUUCCGUACUUAAAUUUAAUAAAUUCAAAUCUUAACACAUUCAAAUCGUUUGAUAACAAAAAAUUGAACAUCUAAAUUAAUUAAGUAACACUGAAUUUUCUAGGCAAAACUUGCUCCCAAAAUUAAGUGAUAAGUUAUUCACUUAUCACUGAAUAUGAUAUGUAUUCAAAUGUAUUAGAUUUAAUACUUAAUAAUUUAAUGAAUUCAAAUUUCAUAUUUCAUAUUUCAGUUUUAUCAAACACACCUUAAGUUGCAAAAUAAUACCAAAACUUGUUAUUACAUAGCUUGAGAUUCAAAAAUUUAGAGCAUAAUUCUCAACCAAACACAAUUGAAUAAUGAAUAUUCACGAGUGUCAAAUCUAUCAAAGUACAAUUUGAGGACAACCCAUUCAAACGCGUACACGAUUUUUAACUUUUCUAAAGUUGUUGAGAGCUGUUGAAAGAGAUUUACCAUGUUUACAUCUUCCAAGUCUUGGGAGUAAAAAAUGAAGCCACUGAGUGCUAUAAAAAGGGGGGUAGAGGCCACUUGAGAUCCUCGGUGACAUGUUUUCUAUGCCAAUCCAAUGCCACCAAUAGUGUUGCGCCAAGUGUCAUGUUAUUAUUUACACUUGUGUUAAACUAAGCCAAGUUGAAUUAUUAGAAAAUUAAAGUGUAAAUAAUAACAUGACACUUGGCGCAAUACUAUUGGUGACAUUGGGUUGGCAUAGAAAAUAUGUCACCGAGGAUCCCAAGUGGAUAGAUGCUGCCUAGAAGCAUAUCAGCCUAAAACAAGAAUUUGUAGUAACAAUGGGGAGCAAAGCAAAAGCAACGGGGUCUAGGCUGACUCCUCUUCUUACCACUGUUUUAGUGGUAUUUGUUGCCCUUGGCUUGCCCUUGGAAACUGCAGCUGAUUAUUACAAGUAUUCAUCUCCUCCUCCUCCUCCUUACCAGUAUUCCUCACCACCACCUCCAGUGUAUUCACCUCCACCAACCCCUGUUUAUAAGUUACCCCCACCAUCUCCUCUAGUUUACAAGUCCUCACCACCACCUUACCACUACUCACCACCUCCUGUGUAUUCACCUCCACCAUCACCAAUUUACAAGUCACUGCCACCACCCCCUCCAGUAUACAACUCCCCGCCUCCACCAGUGUACAAAUACAAGUCCCCACCACCACCUUCUCCAAUUUACAAAUCUCCACCGCCACCAGUUUACAAGUACAAGUCACCCCCACCACCUCCUCCGGUAUACAAGUCUCCUCCGCCACCUGUUUACGAGUACAAGUCUCCUCCACCACCUCCUCCAGUGUACAAGUCCCCACCACCUCCAGUUUACAAGUACAAGUCACCACCACCUCCUCCCCCGGUUUACCAAUCUCCUCCACCACCAGUUUACAAAUACAAGUCACCACCACCUCCUCCCCCAGUUUACCAGUCUCCACCUCCACCCUAUCAUCACUACUACGGUUCUCCUCCUCCUCACCACUACUAAGCAAGUGCAUCUAAGUUUUGAGGUAAUAAUACCGAUCCAAAACUUUAUCAACGCAAACUGCCAUGUAUAUCAUGCUAAGGACGUACACUUGAUCCAUGAAAAUGGCUAGUAGAAGAUUUUUUUUAAGAACCAGAGAAAUACAUUAUUUUUUCGCUCUGUUUUCAAGAAUUUGAGCAGUAUACAGAUUAAAGAGUGUUUUUUUUAAACUUGCUUAUCAACUUAGAAAUGCACAUAGCUGAAAGCCAACUGAAUAUUUGCAGGCAAAGGAGAAGGCAAUCGGUGUUUGAGACCUUCAUGAAGAUGUAGAAGAAUAAGAAUAAAAGCCCAAUGCGAGGAUGAUUUCAAGUUUCUACGUUACCAUUUCUACAUCUAAAUUGACUUUAGCUCCUGAGUUCCAUGUCUAUGGGGUUUGUACUGUUUUACGUACCAUGCAGUACAUGCUUGUAAGGUUUUCUGUCCUGUUGGCAAGCCGCAGGUCCAUAUAAUAAAUGAAUACUAUUUAUAUUACGACACUUUUCUCUCUUUCUCUUAUAUUUUGUCUUUAAUAUUGUUGAUCAUUUUUUUUUUUUAUCAAAAGUAUCAAAUGCUUAGGCAAUUUGGUCUAAUGCUAAUUGUUUUACAUUUAUUUUUCACCUACAUCCCUUUUCAACUCAAAGGAUGCUACAGUUUGUGAUCAUUGUUUAAGACCGAAGCAUGGUACUAAUAAAUAUCUCAUUGAAAGUCAAGGAAACUAACAUUAUGAAAAGUGUAAAUCUUGAUUUGUGAAACUAUUUAUUCGUGGAAUUUAGAGAUACAAAACUCAAAUUGUGACGGUGUUGUUGCUAAAUUAUUUUUUUUUUAUAAUAAAACACAGUUCAUUCAAGGAUUACUGGAAAUCGUCCAGCACAAUUGAGAUACAUUGUUGCCCAGGUGGCAGAUAAAUAUGCACUAAAAUUAUAGAUAUGCAAUUUAACAAAUACAUAAGAUUUGAGAAAUUAAGGACAAAUCUAAAAAGGACCAUAAAUUUGAAAAACAUUUCAUCCUAGAAUAAGUCGCUGCAACUCUCUUUGUGCAUGCUGUAAUCGUCAGAUCUACUAAUCAACAGUUGUAAGGUCCAGUAAAGAUGGUGAGAUCUGCCGAGAUUGAUCCAAAUCUGAAAUAUUCCCUCAGAUCUGCUAUCCAAUUGGUUCAAACUCAAUACUGAAAGUGAAAUCUGAUGAGAAGACUGAAAAAAUUGUAGAUCUAACAUAUAGAUCUAAAAAAACUCCAAGAUUUGAAAAAGUAAAGAAACAAAACUAAAUAAAACUCUCAUUAAGAUAGUUUAGGAGAGACUAAAACUCUCAAUAGGACACCCUAGGAGAGAAGAAAACUCUCACUAGGAUAACCUAUGAGAGACUUUAUUGAAUGAAAGGAAAAGCAAAGGACAAAGGAAGAAGAAGGGAGACCUUGGCUUAAGGCCAAGGUCUCCCUCCUAUGGAGGAGGAAGGGUAGAGGAGGAAGCCUAGAGAGAAGGAAGAGAAUCCCUCCGCUAGAGGGAAGGAAGAGCCUCUGAGAGGGUACCCGUGUUGUUGCUAAAUUAUUAAGGACAUUAUCACCAUUACUUUUCCCUUACUAGUUUCAACUGCAAUGAUCUCAAUCUUUUUGUGACUAAUUCUUUUCUUAAUAAUUUAUAAAUACAAAACUCACAAAGAAUAUGUGACUUAUUCUUUCCUUUCGUCUUCUAAAGAAAAUGCCAACUGUUAGUUUAUCAAGGGAAAAAGGAUCGACAUCAGUUGUUAUUGAAACUAGUAAGGAAUAAAUAAUGGUGAUAAUGUCCUUAAUAAUUUAACAACAGCACCAUCAGAAUUUGAGCUUUGUAUCUAUAAAUUCCACGAAUAAAUAGUUUCAUCAAAUCAAGAUUUACACUUUUCAUAAUGUUAAGUUUCCUUGACUUUCAAUGAGAUAUUUAUUAGUAUCAUGCUUCGGUCGUAAACAACGAUCACAAACGAUAGCAUCCUUUGAGUUGAAAAGGGUAGUGAAAAAGAGAAGUAAAAAAUACAAUUAGCAUUCCCUCAAAUUGUAGAAAGUUAGGUAGCAUUAUAGACAAGUUGAUAGCCGUAAUUAUACUAAAAAUCAGGCAAAAGCCAGCAAUUUUACAUUUCAAAAUUCACCUAUUCAAUAACUAAUUCGAUGGCUUGCUACAUGGUCAAAAUUCACCACAUAUCCCUUUCCUCAAUCAGGGGCUUCUACAAUUACCAGUUCCAAUUGUAUGGUAUAGUGUAAAUAUCAACAAAUUAGAUGUAGACACUAAUAUAAUAAAUAUGGAUGCUAAGGCAACAACAUACAAAAACAUAAUAAAUUUUGGCAUUCCUUAAAAAAUUACGUCCCCAAAUCAAUCUCAUACACCCAAUUUCUAAUUUAUUUAACUCAUUCCGUCUAUUAACUGCACCAUACAAUCCAACCUGCAAUUGCAUGAACCCCAAUCUCGCUUCCUAGUCCACCAUUUUUCUCUAGGUAAUAAUCUCCCUUCUAAUUUCUUCACAAAAUGCACCUUUCAUCACCUCCAAUAGCGUCGACAUGAUCUUUACCCUAGAAGACUAUUCACCGACUCCCAAUUGACGUCAGAAAAUCUAAGAGUAAUUCUACUUUACCCUAAGAUUGAUAUCAACUAGACAAUGACAAUUUAGAAUUAUUACACGCCUCUUCUUAAUAGGAAAAAGAAAUAGAGAAGAAAGUCAGGCCAGGUCUAAUUUCUUUUCGAAGGCAAUACAACAUUACGAAAUCAAGCAUUCAUUCAUACAAAUAUUUCAUAGUCACCGGUUUGCUGAGUAGAAAAGUUUAUACAAAAACUUAAUAUUAUAUUGUUUAAGAGUUAACAAUUUAGAGCUUAAUCUCCUUGUACUUUGGACUAAACUCGAACGUGAAAGGAAAUCCCAAAACCAUAUUGGGCAUGAAUUCACACUUAAAUAGACCCAAAAAAAGAUGGCGACUGGUGAAAGGCAGUGGAGACUGGUGGUGAGAUUUGAGGAAUAGAAGCAGACGGAAAAGCCACAAAUUUUUGCCGAAAGAGGGUCACUUUCAUGGUUAAUUUUGCUACUCUCUACUUGUACUUGACCAAUGACAGGUUGUCAGUCUGUGCAAUAAUAAAAACCUGUUCAAACUAAAAGUAAUUUCUGUAGAUAGUGGUAAGCAGGGUCGAAUCCACAGGGAUUAGGUGUAACUGUUUCUUUUCAAAUUCACAAUAACAAAGGGGGUGUUUUUAUGCAGAAUGUGACAAUCAAAGAAAUUCAAUUAAAAGUAAAAUAAUAAAAAUAAAAUAGCCAACUAGAAAUUAAAUAACAAUUUACUAAAAUCAAAUGAGUGAUAAUUAAGGAUCUAGCCAAGGAAUAACUUCAGCAGUGGUUCACCUAAUUGAUCAUUGGAACAAAGGCAAUUCCAAUUAUUUACUAAUAAAUAGGUUAUAACUGCCAAACAAGCGAUGACAGUCAAUCACUCCUUACUGUGUCGGUGAUUAAGGUACGCCCGUUAAUCACUGCCCUAAUUGAGAAAUAAUCUUAGGUACGCCCGUAAGAUUUAAUUUUCCAAUUGCCUUACAUAUUAGAGGAGUGUCAGGAACAAGGAAAUAGAAUGGGACGUCGUUUAAUGCAAAGGGUUGUGCGUUUAAGGCCUUAGAAGCAAUACUACGUCGUUCUAAUAACAUAGGCGGUGCUGGUGUGAUAGGCCAAGUUAGUUGAGGGUCAAUUACAUAAAUAGCCUUCUGUAACAGAUUUUUGGUUAUGUUUUUGAAUGAAAAGUAUCUCGCUGCUUUCUCUCUCUUGUCUGUUAUUUCCCUCCCUUUUCUUCUUUCUCUCUUCCCUCUUCUUAAUCUUGUUUCUUUCUUCUGAUUCUUCCCCCAAAUUCAAUACAAUUCCAGAAAUUAACCUGCAAGUCUGACAUUUGGUAUCAGAGCGGUCGAUUCUUGGCCGCGAAGGUAUCAGAAAUGGCUGAGAGCACGCGAUUCAGGACACUGGAGGAGCAACUCAAGAAGCAGGAGAAUCGGUUGCAAGAACUGGCGGAAUCCAUGGCUGCACUGCAGAGUACGAGUUCCGAGGAGUUGCGGCAUAAGCUACAGGCGGAAAUGGAGCAGAACAAUGCAAAAUUGGACGCGGUGGUGGGAAGUCUGGACCAGAAGUUCAAUAAAAUGGAACAGAGACUCAGUACAGUGUUGAAGCUGCUGAUGAAGGAGAAAGGUCUCCCUGAUGUCGAAGGAGGAAUUUCUGAUCCAAUCUUGCCGACUCCUCCAUCUCAUCUGAGGUUAGCAUCCUCAGUCGAAGGGAUUGGGCACCAACAAGAGUACAGAGGUAGGCAAUUCACUCCUAAUGUACCUCGAUUAGAACUGCCAAUGUUUAACUCUGGAAACCCUAGGGAAUGGACCAGGAAAUGCCAGAAAUAUUUUUUGAACUAUCAGAUAGCAGAGAGUCAAAAGGUAGAGGUAGCAGAGAUGUUUUUGGAAGGUAGAGCUGACAAUUGGUUUCAAGGAGUGAAAUUGGUGAGGCCAGGGUUGUCUUGGGGGGAAUUUAGUGAACUUUUGUGUGAAAGAUUUUCUGGAAGUAGUUCUCGUGACAUUGUGGAGGAAUUUAACAAGUUACAGCAGAAAGGAACUGUUGAGGAAUAUGAGGAGAAAUUUGAAGAACUAAAAGCUCUAAUGCUGAUGAAAACCCCCAGGUUGGAUGAACUUUACUUUGUUUCCAGUUUUAUUAGUGGCCUCAGGGAAGAAAUUAGACCUAUGGUGAAGAUGUUUAAGCCUCAAACACUGAUGAAGGCCUUUGAAGUUGCGGAGUUGCAGGAGUGUUCCCUGGAAAUCCAAUCGAAACAAAACAGAACUUCAAGGAGGACAGCAAUGGAACCCAAGUUUGGAAUGUAUAAGGGCACUACGAGUGAUUAGGGUCGCCAAAAUUCAUAUAAGUUGCCUGGAGUCACUCCUGUCUCCAGGAGGACUAAUGCAGUACACAAGGAAUUUAGUAAGAUAUCAGCGGAGGAAAUGCAGUAUAAGCGUAAGCACAGCCUGUGCUAUAGGUGUGGAGAGAAGUUUGGAAUAGGUCAUCAGUGUAAGAAAGGAAGUCUGAACUGUGUGAGCACUGAGGAAGAGGAGGACACUGAAUUUGAGGAUGCGGAAGGGGAACAGGAUGAGUUAACAGGAAGGGUCGGGGAACUUGCAGAAGUCUCUUUGAAUGCUUUAUCUGGUGCCAUAAGGAGGAAAUCCAUCCUGUUGAUAGGGAACUUAGGGGGGCUUCCAGUCAAAAUUUUGGUGGACACAGGCAGUUCUAACAGCUUCAUUCACCACAGGAUUGUCAACCUACUGCAUCUACCAUAUCAGGCAGUCAGUCCAUUUACUGUGACUCUAGCAGAUGGAACUGACAUUACCAGUGGAGCCAUCAGUCCCAGCGUGUCUUGGUUAAUUCAGGACUAUCAAUUCCAAUUUGACUUAAAAGUAAUGGAAUUAGGGGGAUGGGAUAUAAUUCUGGGGGUGGACUGGAUGUGCCAGUAUAGUCCCAUUACAUUUGAUUUCCACUCUCUUAGCAUUGCCCUUAGUGAUAGGGGUUCUUUACUACACCUCCAAGGACUUGUGAAGCAACCUACUAUGGAACUGGUGAGGGGCAGGGAUCUCAGCUCGUUUAUACAGGAGAAGCAAAGAAACUGUGCAGCCAUGCAUGCUGAUAGGGCCAGGGAAACAGGAGAGCAGCUUCCAAAAGCUAUAGAAAGGAUCCUGGAACAGCACUCUCAGGUUUUCUCCACCCCAACAGGAUUACCCCCAGAGAGGGAAUUGGACCAUCAGAUCAACCUCAAACCAGGAGCUGAACCCUUCAAGCUCAAACCUUACAGGUACCCCCACUCACAUAAAGCAGAAAUUGAAAAAAAAGUUGCUGAGAUGCUCACUAAUGGAAUUGUUAUACAUAGCACAAGCCCCUAUGCCUCCCCUGUAUUGUUAGUAAAGAAAAAGGAUAACUCCUGGAGAUUAUGCAUAGAUUACAGGAAGCUGAACGAGCUGACUAUAAAGGAUAAGUUCCCUAUUCCCAACAUAGAUGAACUAUUGGAUGAAUUACAUGGAACCAGAUACAUGUCCAAACUGGAUCUCAGAGCUGGUUACCAUCAGUUGAGGGUGAAAGCUGUUGAUACCCCUAAGACUGCCUUCCAGACACACCAUGGCCACUUUGAAUUCUUAGUGAUGCCUUUUGGACUCACAAACGCGCCAGCUACAUUUCAGUCCUUGAUGAACAGAAUAUUUCAGCCAUAUCUCAGAAAGUUUGUCCUAGUCUUCUUUGACUACAUAUUAGUGUACAGCCCCACACUAGAGAUGCAUGCACAGCAUCUACAGAUUGUGCUCAAUAUUUUAGAAGAAAAUCAGCUGUAUUACAAGAGGUCAAAGUGCUCUUUUGCCCAGUCCUCAAUUGAAUACUUGGGGCACGUGAUCUCAGAGGCAGGAGUGAGUAUGGAUGUGGCUAAGGUGGAGUGUAUCAAGUCCUGGUCUGUUCCUAGUACAGUCAAGGAGCUGAGAGGGUUUUUGGGAUUAAUUGGUUACUACAGGAGAUUCAUUAAAGGCUAUGGAGUGAUUAGCAAACCCUUGACUGUAUUGUUGAAAAAGGAAGGUUUUGCAUGGAACCAUGAAGCUCAAAUGGCCUUUGAAGAUUUGAAAAAGGUUAUGACCACAGCCCCAGUGCUGAGCAUGCCUAAUUUCGAACUUCCUUUUGUCAUAGAGACUGAUGCCUGUGGAAUAGGUAUUGGAGCAGUGUUGAUGCAGCAAGGACAUCCUAUUGCUUUCCUUAGCAAGGCAUUAUCAGUUCAGAAUUUGGGGUUAUCAGUCUAUGAAAAAGAGCUUUUUGCCUUAGUGCUAGCUGUAACUAAGUGGAGGCAUUACCUGGUGGGUCAUCACUUCAUUAUCAGGACAGAUCACCAAGCUCUCAAACAUUUGAUAGAGCAAAGGCUUACUCAUCCACUCCAGCACAAGUGGCUAACUAAGCUACUUGGUUUGGACUAUGAAAUACAGUAUAAAAAGGGUGCAGACAAUGGGGUGGCAGACGCCCUCUCCAGGAGAAGGAUUGAGGGAAACACUGUUGACUGUGGAGAGACUGGGCAUCAGACCUGCGCCAUAACCUCAGCUCAGCCUAGUUGGAUGCAGGAAAUGCUAGAAAGCUACAUUGGAGAUGCAGAGGCUCAACAGAAGUUAUCUGAGCUAUUGCUGGAUCCCAAUGCAGAUCCAGAUUAUCAGUUAAAGAAUGGGAUGCUCAAGUUUAAAGGGCGGCUGUACAUAGGAUCUGCUAACAACAUUAGGACCAAGGUGGUCAGAGCAUUGCAUGACUCAGCCCUUGGGGGGCACUCAGGUCCUGGAAUCCGUAAGGAUGUCCUUCAAUAUGUGAGAUCUUGUGAUGUGUGUCAAAGGAACAAACAUGAAAAUGUUCCUUAUCCUGGGUUGCUGCAACCAAUUCCUGUACCUCAGCAGGCUUGGUCACACCUCACCAUGGAUUUUAUUGAGCAACUACCCCCAUCCCAUGGAUUUGAUACCAUUUUGGUGGUGGUGGAUAGGUUAACCAAGUUCAGCCACUUCAUUCGACUCACUCACCCUUUUUCUGCACAGCAGGUAGCACAGCUUUUCCUUGACAACAUAUACAAGCUGCAUGGACUUCCUGAGACCAUUAUAACUGACAGGGACAUAAUCUUUCUUAGUAAGUUUUGGCAAGAGUUAUUUGGUAUGGUAGGGGUAAAGCUGCACUACAGUUCAUCGUAUCACCCUCAAUCAGAUGGUCAAAGUGAAAGGGUCAAUCAGUGUUUGGAAAACUAUCUCAGGUGUAUGUGCAGUGAGCAUCCUUCUCACUGGAGCAGUUGGCUUCCUACAGCUGAGUUAUGGUACAACACUAACUUCCAUACUAGCUUGCAGGUGACACCAUUCGAAGCACUAUACGGGUAUAAACCAAAUCACCUUCCCUUAGGACCUUUUCAUGAUAGCCUGGUACCUGCUGCUGGUAACAUGGUGCAGACUAGGCUCCAAAUUCUAUCCCUCAUCAAAGAGAAUCUAGCCACCGCCCAGAAUCGAAUGAAAAUGUUUACUGAUAAGCACAGGACUGAACGUGUCUUCCAAGUGGGGGAUUGGGUAUUUCUCAAGCUGCAACCUUACAGGCAACAAUCAGUGGCCUUACGGAAGAAUUUGAAGUUGGCUGCCAAAUACUUUGGACCUUUCCAGAUCCUUGCGAGAGUAGGGGAAGUCGCCUACAGACUUAAGUUGCCAGAGGGAGCUCGAGUUCAUUCCGUGUUCCAUGUGUCCUUACUUAAAAGGAAAGUGGGAGUUACACAGCAGGUAAAGCCCAGCUUGCCAGAAGUAGACGCAUCAGACCAAUGUUUGCUGAAGCCAGAGAAGAUUCUCCAGAGGCGUGUUAUCAUACGAGCUGCCAAACCAAUCAUCCAGUACCUGGUGAAGUGGAACAACUUACCAGAAUCCGAAGCAUCAUGGGAGGAUAAAAGCUUCAUUGACAGACAAUUUCCGGAAUUUCAAGCUUGAGGACAAGCUUUGCUUAAGGGGAAGAGAUUGUCAGGAACAAGGAAAUAGAAUGGGACGUCGUUUAAUGCAAAGGGUUGUGCGUUUAAGGCCUUAGAAGCAAUACUACGUCAUUCUAAUAACAUAGGCGGUGCUGGUGUGAUAGGCCAAGUUAGUUGAGGGUCAAUUACAUAAAUAGCCUUCUGUAACAGAUUUUUGGUUAUGUUUUUGAAUGAAAAGUAUCUCGCUGCUUUCUCUCUCUUGUCUGUUAUUUCCCUCCCUUUUCUUCUUUCUCUCUUCCCUCUUCUUAAUCUUGUUUCUUUCUUCUGAUUCUUCCCCCAAAUUCAAUACAAUUCCAGAAAUUAACCUGCAGAUCUGACAAGGAGCCCUAUUCUAACCAAAUAACACACUACCAGGGUUAUUUUAGGUUAGCCCGCGUAUUCCCCUGACAUGAAUCCAAUCAUGCCAGUUAUCACUAUUUUGAAACAAUUAAACAAUUACGGAUUUAACGUCCCAAUUGACAAUAGAUUAUCAAAUUAACUAAUUAUCCGGAUCCAAAACAAUCAAUUAAUUAAAUAAUCAUAAGCACUGUAAUCAGGGAAUAUUUGAAUACCAAUAAAUAAAAAGAAAGGACAAAAUUAAAUCGAUUUCACAAUUUUUAAACGAACCACAACCUCAGUUGUUCCUCGGCUAGAUUGAGAAAAUUAGCUCAUGUUCGAUGCGAAAAAUCCACAAGAAAUUGUUAAGAGAGCCGCGGCCAUUGUCCCUUGAAAUUGGGGAAAUUCAAUUCGGUUGAACUACGAAAGAAAAGUAAGCUACAGAGAGUUGCCGAUUGGGUUUUGCUUGUCCCUAACAUGCGAGGGAGCAAAGCCACGAAAGGACGACAAAGGUCAAAAAGAAAGGCUACAGAGCAUGUUCCAGGUCUUUUUGUGCUCUCCACAUCCGAGCCAACGAAAAGAAAUAAAAAACUACCAGGAGCUAAAGGAAAACCGCAAGAAAAGUCAAAGGCUAAAAAAACUUCCUAGUGCUUGUUCUCUGCUUAUCUCUUUAUCUAAUUCUAAGUCCCCGAUUUUUUGCUCCGUGCGGCGGCUCCCCCGGAGAGAAAGGAUUGCAUCCGCUGCCCUCUUCCACCAAUUACCAAAAUGGGCACACCGCUUCUUUUUCAAAAAUGCUCCUGGAUAAACUCUAUCAUCUGGACUUUUUUUCUGUCAAAUUGACAUUUAUUAUUAUAUUUUCGUUCUACUCCCUGAAAUAAAUGUAAAAUAUUAAAAAUGAGUAGAAUCCGACAAUUAAUUCACAUCAGGUCAGAUAAUAAAGAAAAUUAAUAAUAAAAUAAAUAAAUAAAUUGCAACCUAUCAACCAAAUACAACAAUUUCAUGGAGUUUGAUACACAAGCCCAAAUACACGAGAGUGUGUAACCUGAAUUGUUACUUAUACAUUAGUGUGUAAUAGAACGGCAAGCAUUAUGGUGGUCAUUGAGCAACUUGUAGGAGAAAUAGUCCUAUAAGCUGUUCAAUGACCAAUCACAACUUGCUAAUUGGAUGACUAAUAUAGCUCUAGCUGUAAUGUUUUAAUUAAAUUCCAUCACUAACGUUGGGAUGACUUUUUAAUCAAAAAAAAAAAAGCCUUAGUUCAAGCUUUUCCCCUUAUUGUGCAUUUUUUAAAACAUUUGAUAGGCACUGCAAAUCUGUCAUUUUGGACAUUUUAUUAUUAACUAACAAUGAAAGCCGUGGACAUCAACCCAUAUCCAACAAAAUAUUAAAUUAAUAUUAGAAAAAAUUAUUAAGUAAUUGGAAAAAAAAAGAAGAGGCUAAUUUUCAUUGAAACCCACCGACAAACUAUACGCUGCUUUCAAUCAGUUUUAACACGGGAAAAAGAAAAGGCAUGAAAAGCAAAAUUUGUGGGGAUAAUUUCGGAAACCUCCCAUGAAGUUUUUGACUAUUUUACUGGCCUCCCUUCAGAUUUUAAAAAUUGGACUAAUCUUCCUUAAAGUUAAUUAUCUUGUAACAUUUAGAUCCGAUCAAUAAUUUAAAAAAUAAUAUUAUGAGAGAGAAAAUAAUAUGAUUUUAUUAUUGCCCCCAUCUCACCACAUUAUUUAAUUAAUUUAAUAGCAACCCACACAUUAAAGAAAAUGACAGGUCGUCAACCUGUGCAAUAAUAAAAUUAAACCUAAUUGCCAGUUAAAAUGACCAAAACCCAAUUCCAAGUACUGGAGCAGGGACUCUAGGUGUGCAAUGGGUUACUUGAUUCACCCUGUUCCCGAAGAGUUUGCUUGAUCCGAUAUACCCGAAUGGAAUGGUUAUUCCUUUUCACAAAUGAUUAGGAAUUUGUAGACAGGGCAAGUAGGGUCGUAUCCACAGAGACUGGGUAUAUUUGUUUCUUAAGAAAUCCAAAGUAACACAGGGGGUGAUUUUGUAGGAACGACGAUAAUUAAAUAAAUUCAAAUGAGAAAGUAAAAAUAAAUAAUUAACUAGAAAUUAAACCACAAUUUACUGAACUCAGGAUAACAAUAGUUAAAGGCCUCAAUUAAUUAAAAUAAGGAAACAAUCAAAAAUAAAAUAAAGUAGGUAAUUAAAAGUCAAAUGGCAAUCCACUACAAUCAAGGAAAUAUUAACUAAAGAUCUAGCCAAGAAAUAACUUCAGCAAUGGUUCACCUAAUCGAUCAUUGAUGCAAAGCAAUCCCAAUUAUUUACUAAUAAAUAGGUUAUAACUACCAAACAAGCGAUGGCAGUCAACCCCUCCUUACUGUGUCGGUGAUCAAGGUACGCCCGUUAAUCACUGCUCUAAUUGAGAAAUAAUCCUAGGUACGCCCGUAGAAUUUAAUUCCCCAACUGCCUUACGUAUUAGAGGAGCCCUAUUCUACCCAAAUAACACACUACCAGGGUUAUUUUAGAUUAGCCCGCGUAUCCCCCUGACACGAAUCUAAUCGUGCCAGUUGUCACUAAUUUGAGGUAAUUAAACAAUUACGGAUUCAAUACCCCAAUUGACAAUAGAUUAUCAAACCAAUGAAUUAUCCGGAUCCAAGACAAUCAACUAAUUAAAUAAUCAUAAGCACUGCAACCAAGGAAUAUGCGAAUACCAAUAAAUAAAGGAAAAGAUAAAAUUAAAUCGAUCUCACAAUUUACAGGUGACCCAAAGCAUCAGUCGUUUCUUGACUAGAACGAGGGGGUUAGCUCAUAUUGGAUGAACUAAGCCCGCGGGAAAUUCCAGCAAAAGUCACGGCCGUUGUAUGCAUUUCAAGAGCCGCAAUUCGUCAAACACUUGGAAAGCGAAUGUAAGGCACGGGUAACAAUUGAAACUUUCUAAUUGUUCCUAGCAUUCGUAAAGCAAAUUCACUCCAGAAGUACAGUGAGGAAAAGUCAAAGAAAGUGGGCUUCAAUUCCUUGCUCCUGACAUGCGUGGAGACAAGCCAAUGCAAGACUACAAUAAACUAACAAGGAAAAGUCAAGAAUUGGAGCUAAGCUCCCCUGCCAUGCGCAGGAAUCCCAAAAGUAAAAAGUAAAGCUUCAAAGAAAAGUCAACAAUUCUUCCUAAGCUACAGACGGAAGAUCCAGCACAAAAGCCAGCUCCCUUUUUGAUCCCUUUUUCCCCCUUCUUAUUGCGGCGGCUCACCAGGAGAGGAGAGCCCUCCGUCCGUCCUUUCUUCCGGAAAUUACCAAAAUGGGCAUGACAUCUUCUCUUCCAAAAGUGCCCCUGGGACAAGCUUUCUCAUCUGAAUUCUUUUUUUUUCCAAUUUGGCACCUGUUAUCAUAUUUAUAUUCUACUCCCUGAAAUAAACGUCAAAUACUAAAAGUGAGUAGAAUCCAGCAAAUAAAUCCACAUCAAGUCAGGUAAUAGGAGGAAUUAAUAAUAAAAUAAAUGAAUAAAUUGCACCCUAUCAAUUCCCUCCACACCUAAACCAUGCUUGUCCUCAAGCAUAAGAAAAGUAAACGAACACCAAAAUUCGACGAUAGCCAUUGCCCAAUCUCCUAUAUUGCCAAGACAUUCAAGAGAAAAACACAUAUCGAGCAUUGGUGAUUAGAAUCCCAGAAGCAUCCCCCCGGUUAGCCUCUAACCCCCAGAUUCCUUCAAUUUCCAACUUAACUACUCUAAGAAAGAGGAAUGGCACACAACAUUUAUCAGCUAGUGGUCCGAAUAUUCACACAAGUCUUCAUAUCCAAUCCAUAAACCGGCAAGCUUCCCUAUUAUUUAGUCUCUCUUUUUUUCCGUUUUUUUUCAUUUUCAUUCUUCCCCUCUUUUUUUUUUUUUUUUAAAGCAGUAGCAAUCAACACAAAAGACUUAGUCGUUAGCCGUCAGGGCCUUUUGAUGCGAACUCCAACAUUUUUAGAAGGAGGAGCCCGGUUACUCAGCUCCUACCGCUAUACGACCACGCACUCAUAUAAAAUACCACCUUUUGACGCGAGAAUCGACACUUUUAGGUGCCGAUCCCCGGUUACUCAGUAGUAACUUAAUAGCGGAGCACAGUCAAGCUUAUUCUCAGCCAAACAAUGCACAAACGCAAAAUAACAGCACUAACAAUCAAACAUAGGAGCAGCUCGCCUCAUUAUUGUCAAACAUGGAGAACUGGAGUCAAUAUUGGACCAGUUCACAUUAAAAGGCCAUAUUCAUUCCCUACGCCUAGAAAAGUUAACAAAGAAAUCGAAAGAGUCAAACAGUUAAAUAUUCACCAAGGGGAUAUUCAGGACCCAACCACACUAACCCGAUACAUUUUGUAUUUUAAAAACUUGGCAAAAGUAGAUUUGGAGUCAAUGAGUCCACAUCUCAAUUUUAGCCUUCACAUGAAAGGCAAUCACCAAGAAGAAAGAACGGAAAAAUAAGCAACUAGAAAUGAGACUACGAAAAACUACUAAAACUAAAAACUCACUUUUUUUCUUUUUCUCUUUUUUUUUCUUUUUGAAUUUUUUUUUCAUUUUUAUUUUUUUUUAUUUUUUUUAUUUUUUAAACAUUAACUAUAAACAUUAACUACUAAAAACUAAAAACUAAAACUACUAAAAACUAAAAACACUAAAAACUGCUAAAAUGAAAAGCUGAAAACUGAAAACUACUAAAAACGGAGCACACUAGCAUAACUUUAGAUCCCCCCCACACCUAUAGGACACAUUGUCCUCAAUGUGACAAAUAAGAACCAAAAGUGAAGCACAAGUGAGAGGGGAAUCAGCCAAACUUCCCUGAAAUCGGGUCACAGCGGAGGGCGAGGUGGAAAUGGAGGUGCAAAGCCUGUAUGCAUCAGGAACUGUGCCAAAUUCUGUGCUAUGCCGGCGACAUUGGCGUCGACGUUGGUCAUCCGGGCCUGCAAAUCCUGAACCAGCUCCCUGAGAUGCUGCCAAUCAUCGGUCCCAGGUGGUGGAGGUGGCGCAGAAGUAGAGGUAGACGGCCCAGCAGUGUCCGCGGCCGACCCAGGGAAUGAAGAUGGCCCUGCCCGGGCCGAAUGGUGUGCACCCGGGGCUCGAGGUGGUCCCGGACGGGUAAACUGGUGAAAACCAUCUGGCAGACGCUCGACGACCCCCAUUUUCUCUAAGCAAACUACGUCCAAGUGCUCCAUCUCAAAUGCCAAAUGGAGGUCGUGGUCAUCCAGGUUAAGAACUCCCAACUGGGUCGCCAAGUGAGUGAUGUAGGACCCAAGGAUCAGUGGUUUGUUCUUCUUGGUCAAGACCGUCUUGAACUGUGCGGCCAACCAACAUCCCAAGUUCACCUUGAUAUUGUUCUUCAUACUCCAGAGAAAGAAGAAUUCGGGCCGAGAGAGUAUACCGGAGCUGUCCUUGCGCCCCGAGUAGCUAUAAGCUAAGAAUCGCUGAACAUAGCGGGCGCUAGGGUCCUUAAGAAAGGAGCUCCUGGACCGGGAAGGAUCGUAGCGUUGCCUAUCGACGGACAUGUCCUCCCAUACAUCAUGGUAGUGGGAGAGGAAAGGCUCUACGUAGUCACAGGCACUCUCCGCAUACUCCCUAGUCUCAGCAUACUCUCUAGUGAUAAACCCAAAUGCCAGAUUGAAUUGAGUAAUGGAGAAAUUGAAUUCUCGACCCAUGAGCCGGAAAUGAAUGACAUUCGGUGUUUCACCCGUGUAUCUCGUAGGUAAUUCGAACUCAAAGGUGGAGUAAAACUCCCGGAUCAGCUCAACAAAAGCGGGACAAGAAAUAUGGAAAUAUGGGCGCCACCCAAUGGCUGUGAACAUUUGCUCAACCUCCUCCCGUAUACCCAGGGCAGUUAGAGAGAGUCUAUGACAAGACUUACAGGAUAUUAUACGCCUCUCGCAGACCUUAGCGUACCUCUGCCGAUCGGCGGGUCUGGUAAAUGUUAAGUGCCCCCCAAAAUGAACAGGUGCAUCUACCUGAGCACCCCUAUCCCUACCCAAACGGGUUCGAACACUAGAAGAGGAGGGUAGGUUGGUAGGUGAGUUGACAGGAAUAGAGGCUUGUGGAGGGGGUUGAGACUGAGAGGUCCUAGACCUAGAGGAGGAUUUCGGUCUCACCAUUCCCCCCAAAGUAAGUUCAAGGCAACAGAAAAUCCGACAAGUAUAGAAACCAGCAAUUGACAAAGCAAAAAUCUCCCAGUAGUAACCCAGCCAAUAGCAAACAAAAGAGUUCCAGCAAGUAAUCAACAAGCAAUUCAGAAAUAUCUCAACUAAAAUCUCAAGAGAAACCCCAGCGAGUUAUCCAGCAAUUCAAGCAAUAUCCCCAAGCAAUGUGGUGGUCAAAAUGUCAUCUCCAAAUUGAACAAAUAAUCAGAGCAUUGCAACACAUUGAAAAUCUCAAUAAACGGCUCCAGUUGGCCAAGAAAAAUUGCUAACUCAUACUCAGCAAUAGUAGUGCAGCAAAGGGACAGUAACCACGCAAUAAAAACACUUAGCUUGCACUCAAAUGGUCACCCCAAAUAACAACCCAGUAUGAAACCCGCAGGCAGAGUAUUCCUCAAACCGUUAGCCUAAACCCAGUCAACAACCACGGCCAGAAAUAACCCCAUAAAUAGUGCAAUGAGUAAUCCCCAGCAACAUAAUCAGGUGUAAUCAACUGGAGCAAGCAAUUUACAUGGCAUAGAAACCUCCCAAUCAAACAAGUGCAUUAUUCUAGCGCACCCCAAAAUUCCAAGAAAUGGCUCCAGUUGGCCAAUUAAUUUCACAAUGUCACCCAACUCAGGAGAAAUAGCAAUUCCACACAAAAAUAGUCAAACCAGUACCACUGGCGAAAAAUCUUUCAAAUAUGCACAAUUUGCUACCAAAUAUCACCGGCUAACACUGAAAAAUUGAGGGCAAGUGUCAAAUACCUCCACAGGGACUACCCCAGGCGGCAGACAGAGAAGCGGCGUUGAAGCUGGUGGUCGAGCGGGGCGGCGCUCGCGUCGGCGUGCGCAGCGGCGACGGCGCGCGAGGAUGGAGUUUCGGGAGGUUGCGUGCGGGCUUGGCUGAAGACGCGGCGCGCGCUAGGGCUUCGCUGCGGCAGGCGUGCAGCAGGGGAGAAGAAAGAAAAGAGAAAGAAAGAAAGAAAAAGAAAGGAAAGAAAGAACAGAAAAGAAGGAAAAGAAAAAGGAAUUUUUCUUUUUUUUCUUUUUCUUUAGGCUACGGUUUAGAGGACAAAUUUUUCUUCUUCUUGUUUUCUACUUUUUUAUUUUUUUAUUUUUUAGUUUUUAAUUUAUUACUAUUAUUAUCAUAUUUAAUUGAGGAAAAAAAAUGUUUUUUUUUAAAUCCCUACCUUUCCCACGAACGUGACGCGGGCACGUCAAGAGGGCAAGAGAGCUCCCAGAAGUUUCAGAAUUUUCUGAUCGUAAGCGUCCUGCACAUCACCACGCGGGCACGUCAUGAGGACAGGAGAGCUCCCAGAAGUUCAGAAUUUUCUGAUCGUGAGCGCCCUGCACGUCACCACGCGGGCACGUCAUGAGGCCAGGAGAGCUCCCAGAAGUUUGAAGUUUCUGAUUCCUGCCCGUCAUCACGCGGGCGCGUCAUGACUGAAGGUCACCUACAAAUCAGCAAAAACGAAAACUAACACCCAAAAUCAGUCAAAUUCAGGGAAAGCAGAUUUAAACUAUGCUACAAAACCAACAAACAAUUAAAAGAAAUAAUUAGGUUGCCUCCCAAUGAGCGCCUUUCUUUAAUGUCUUUGGCUAGACAUGGUAAAGUGUCACUGAUUAGGACACGGUGGUGCGUCAAGCCUUAUUGUCUCCACCUCUCUACCUGAAAAUCCUUCGUAAUAAUAUUUGAGACGGUGUCCAUUCACCACAAAUUUGUUGUCUGUCUUAGCACUCUGGAUCUCAACUGCACCAUAGGGAAAAACAUGAGUAACAAUGAAAGGUCCAAUCCAACGGGAACGUAGCUUACCUGGGAAUAGCUUGAGCCUGGAUUGGUACAGGAGGACCUUCUGACCAACUUCAAAUGUUUUUCUUGAAAUUUGUUGGUCAUGAAAUGCCCGGCUUUUCUCCUUAUAUAUCAAGGCGUUUUCGUAUGCUUCGUUCCGGAUCUCCUCCAAUUCUUGCAAAUCCAACUUCCGUUGAGCACCGGCCUCCUCUAAAUUCAUAUUGCAGUGCUUUAUCGCCCAAAAAGCCUUGUGCUCGAACUCCACUGGAAGGUGACACGGCUUCCCAAAUACCAACCUGUACGGUGACAUCCCAAUAGGAGUCUUGUACGCCGUCCGAUAGGCCCAGAGUGCGUCUUCCAACCUUUGGCUCCAGUCUUUUCUAUCAGGGCGCACCAUUUUCUCUAAAAUGGACUUAAUCUCCCGAUUCGACACCUCCGCUUGACCAUUGGUCUGAGGGUGGUAUGACGUUGAGACCCUGUGGAGUACACCAUACUUGCGAAACAACGCAGCUAUGGUUUUGUUGCAAAAGUACGUUCCCCUAUCACUGACAAUAGCUCUAGGCAUUCCAAACCGCACAAAGAUAUUAGACCUGAUAAAAUCUGCAACUACUCUCGAAUCAUUAGUUCGAGUGGCCUUAGCCUCCACCCAUUUAGACACAUAAUCAACUGCCAGCAAAAUAUAUAAAAAACCAAAUGAAGUAGGAAAAGGCCCCAUGAAAUCUAUACCCCAGACAUCAAAAAUUUCAACAAAAAUCAACGGGACCUGGGGCAUUUGAUCUCUACGGGCUAUAUUACCUACCAUUUGACAGCGAUCACAUGACUUACAAAACACAUAGGCAUCUCUAAACAAUGAAGGCCAAUAAAAUCCACUUUCUAAAACCUUAUGAGCAGUUCUCUUAGGUCCAAAAUGACCUCCACAGGCAAAAGUAUGACAAAAAGCUAAAAUUGAUUGAAAUUCCAUUUCACUUACACAUCUCCUCAUCACUUGAUCGGCACACCUCUUCCAUAGGUACGGGUCAUCCCAGAUAAAAUACUUGGCAUCGCUCUUCAAUUUAUCCCUCUUCGAUUUCGGCCAACCUGCAGGAAAAUUACCAGUUACCAAAUAAUUGACCAAAUCAGCAUACCAAGGCAACUGAGAAUUUAAGAAAAAUAGGUAUUCUUCGGGGAAUGCAUCCUUCAAUGGCUCGCUAUCCUCUUCAACUAGUAUGCGACUCAAAUGGUCCGCUACUAGAUUUUCUGAGCCUUUUUUGUCCCUUAUCUCCAAGUCAAAUUCCUGUAGGAGCAGUAUCCACCGUAUGAGCCUCGGUUUUGCAUCUUUCUUGGUCAUCAGGUACCUCAAUGCUGCAUGAUCAGAAAAUACAAUCACUUUAGCACCUAACAAGUAUGACCUAAAUUUUUCCAAAGCAAAAAUAACUGCCAGAAGCUCCUUCUCAGUGGUGGAAUAAUUCAACUGGGCUCCAUUCAAGGCCCGGGAUGCGUAAUAGAUGACAUGAGCCGCCUUGCCUAUUCUUUGCCCCAGUACAGCCCCAACAGCGUGAUCACUGGCAUCGCACAUGAUCUCAAAUGGCAAAUUCCAAUCGGGGGGUUGGAUGAUUGGGGGUGAAGUCAGCAAUUCCUUCAGCUUGUUAAAGGCUCUCUCACACUUAUCAUCAAAUUCGAAGGCUACAUCUUUUUGUAGGAGUUGGAACAACGGGGCUCCAAUCUUUGAAAAAUCCUUGAUGAACCUUCGAUAAAAACCUGCAUGUCCAAGAAAAGAGCGCACCUCCCGCACACUCGCGGGGUAAGGUAAUGCAGAAAUAAUGUCUAUUUUAGCCUUGUCAACUUCUAUGCCCUUAGACGAUACAAUAUGACCCAGGACUAUUCCGUGCUCAACCAUAAAAUGACAUUUUUCCCAAUUAAGCACAAGAUUAGUCUCUAUACACCUGAUCAGGAUUAAUUUCAGGUUAUCUAGACAAGUAUCAAAACUAUCACCAUACACACUGAAAUCAUCCAUGAAAACUUCUAUUAUUUUCUCAACAUACUCGGAAAAGAUGCUUACCAUACAUCUUUGGAAAGUCGCAGGUGCAUUGCACAACCCAAAUGGCAUUCGUCUGUAGGCAAAGGUCCCGAACGGGCACGUGAAGGUUGUCUUCUCUUGAUCCUCCGGGGCAAUUGCUAUCUGAAAGUAUCCUGAAAAUCCAUCCAAAAAGCAAUAAUAAGCCCUACCAGCUAAACGUUCAACCAUUUGGUCAAUGAAAGGGAGAGGGAAAUGGUCCUUUUUGGUGACGGCGUUUAGCCUACGGUAAUCUAUACAUUGCCUCCAUCCAGUGGGUUUGCGCACUGGCACGAGCUCACCAGUUUGGUUGGCCUCUACCGUCACUCCUGCAUUCUUUGGGACUACCUGGACCGGACUCACCCAAGGGCUAUCAGAUAUUGCAAAAAUGAUGCCCACAUCUAGCAAUUUUAGAAUCUCUUUCUUUACGACUUCCAUCAUGAGGGGAUUGAGCCUUCUUUGAGCCUGCCUAACAGGUUUGGCAUCGUCUUCCAGCCUAAUCCGGUGCAUACAAAUGGCCGGGCUGAUCCCCUUAAUGUCUGCGAUUGUCCAGCCUAUUGCCUCUUUAUGCUCCCGAAGGACCCGGAUCAAUUUCUCUUCCUGGGUCUUUGACAGUGCCGAUGAGAUAAUCACUGGGAGUGUCUCAUUAUCACCUAGGUAUGCGUAUUUCAGGUGCUCUGGUAGAGGUUUCAACUCCAGUACAGGUGCCUGCACCACAGAUGGCAAUACCCUCUGGUGAGCCUUGGGAGUAAAAAUAGGUAAGACUUCAUACCUUUUCGUGGUGGUCUGCAACGAGUGUAAUGCACCUAUUGUGCAUUUUAAAUCCUCGCUCCACUCCACCUCAGGAGUUGUCUCCAACUCGAGGUGCUUGGUUAAAGCCACCUCCAGCUCAUCCCUGCCAUCAGUUUCAAACACUUCCUGCACUACAGGGUCAAUAGCACUCACAGAAAAAACUGAGCUAAAGUUGGAGUUAGAGGGGUACUUCAUAGUAUCAAAAAUAUUAAAAUGCACAAUUUACCCAUCAAACUCCAUGGACAAGGUACCCUUAUUAACAUCAAUUUUCGUCUGCGCAGUGCUCAUAAAAGGUCUACCCAAUAACAAAGGUGAGGGAUCAGGGGAGUGAUCAUCAUCCAUAUCUAGUACAUAAAAAUCAGCUGGAAACACCAAAUCAUUAACCUUUACCAACACAUCUUCAAUCAACCCAUCAGGAUAUGCAUUAGUUCGGUCAGCUAAUUGAAUAAUUAUUCCAGUUUCUUUUAAUGGACCUAGUUUCAAAGAAGCAUAGAUAGAUUUAGGCAUGACAUUAAUUGAUGCUCCCAGAUCCAGCAUGGCCCUUCUGAUCACAGUAUUACCUAUCUUACAGGGAAUAGUAAACAUACCUGGGUCCCCGCACUUUGGUGGGAGCUUUCUCUGCAGGACCGCAGACACAUUUUCUCCAACUAUGACCCGUUCAUCUCCCCUCAACCGCCUUCGGUUGACACACAAGUCCCUUAGGAACUUGGCAUAUUUUGGUACUUGUUUGAUGGCGUCUAAGAGGGGGAUAUUUAUCUCAACCUUGCGAAAAACCUCCAAGAUCUCCUUCUCCUUAUCCUGCUUCUUCGAUUUUUCCAACCUGCUAGGAAAAGGAGGCGGGUUAGUUUUAACUGUAAUUAUUGGGUCAGGAAGUACCUCUGGAUCUGCACCAUUGCUGUCCUCCCUUUCGAGCUCAUUUUCGAUCUUCUCUUCAUCCUUGUCCUUGGGAAUCACAGGUUCAGGCCCCUGAAUUUCUUUCCCACUCCUUAGGAUCAUUGCGCUCACGUUCUUCGGAUUCAACUCCGGUUGAGAUGGCAGCUUCCCUUGGUUCUGGGACUCCCAACGGUUCAUUCUGGUGGCCAAUUGACCUAUCUGAUUCCUUAUGUCCUGCAUUUCGGAGUCCGUCUUUUGCUGAUUUUGCAUAAUAGCUGCCUCCGUCCUUUGCUGAUUCUGCGCCAUGGUUGUCAUCAUUUGUUUCAGCAUCUCAUCCGUAGAUGAACCAGAUUGAGGGAGCGGAGGUGGUCGGGGUUGGUAUUGCUGCUGGUACCCUGGUGGCUUAUUUGGCACAAAGUUAGACUGCCUGUUUGGCGUGAAGUUGGAUUGCCUAUUUCCACCAUAACUGAGGUUGGGAUGAUCUCUCCACCCGGGGUUGUAGGUGCUUGAGUAAGGGUCGUACUGCUUCCUUGGCGCGGGCGCGUGGUCAGCCAUGUUCACCUGUUCCGCAGUUUCUUCCUGAAUCAUUGGGCACAUGUCUGCAGAGUGACCUAUACCAGUGCAAAUCCCGCAUACCCUGGCUUGUGAUGCAUUUCUCACAGCCUAUUGCCUAACGAACGCAGUCAACUCAUUUAGCUGCUGCUGCACAGAGGGUGUCUCUAUCUCAUUCACCCUACGUAUUGGGACAUCCUAUCUUGUACUGAAUUGCUGUGAAUUCUCUGCCAUCCCCUCUAUUAACUCCCGUGCUUCCUGAGGGGUUUUGUUCACCAGUGCCCCUCCACUUGCAGCAUCAAUGAUGCUCCUGUCUCUAAAAAUGAGCCCCUCAUAGAAAUAUUGUAUGAUCAACUGCUCACUUAUUUGGUGAUGGGGGCACCUGCGCAACAAGCUCUUAUACCGUUCCCAAUACUCGUAAAGUGACUCCUCGGGAUGCUGCUUGAUCCCACAAAUUUCUUUCCUUAGACUCGCAGCCCUGGACGCAGGAAAAUAUUUAUCCAGAAAUUUUUUCUUCAAUUGGUCCCACGUGGUGAUGCUACCUGGUGACAGGUAGUACAGCCAGUCCUUCGCAGAAUCUUUCAAGGAGAAGGGGAAUGCCCUCAUUUUUAUCUGCUCUUCUGUGAUUCCCGGGGGUUUCAUACUGUUGCAAACGACAUCAAACUCCUGCAGAUGCUUAUACGGCUCUUCACCUGGUAAACCAUGAAAAGAGAGUAAAAGCUGAAUCAGACCAGAUUUUAGUUCAAAUGGAAUGUUGUCAUUUAAAGCUGGGAAAGUAAUGCAUAACGGCUGCUGAGUUAAAUCAGGAGCAGCCAACUCCCUUAAUGUUUAUGCAUUAGCCAUGGUGCCUUCCUGCUGGUCAGAGUCACUCGAAGUGUUACCAAACGAAUCUGUUGGUUCAACUUCUGACUCGGGUCUUUGAGAUGUAGCACUAGAGUGCUCUUCUCUGAGCUGUCUGGUUUCCUUUCUCGUUCUACGCGCGGUCUUCUCUACCUCAGGAUCAAAAACCAAAUCACCUGUGCGACAAGAUCGAGGCAUACACUAGAAGAAAACCAGAAAAUUAGGACAAAAUUGAAUUUAAGAAGAAACAAAUAAUAACGCCAGUCCCCGGCAACGGCGCCAAAAAUUGACAGGUCGUCAACCUGUGCAAUAAUAAAAUUAAACCUAAUUGCCAGUUAAAAUGACCAAAACCCAAUUCCAAGUACUGGAGCAGGGACUCUAGGUGUGCAAUGGGUUACUUGAUUCACCCUGUUCCCGAAGAGUUUGCUUGAUCCGAUAUACCCGAAUGGAAUGGUUAUUCCUUUUCACAAAUGAUUAGGAAUUUGUAGACAGGGCAAGUAGGGUCGUAUCCACAGAGACUGGGUAUAUUUGUUUCUUAAGAAAUCCAAAGUAACACAGGGGGUGAUUUUGUAGGAACGACGAUAAUUAAAUAAAUUCAAAUGAGAAAGUAAAAAUAAAUAAUUAACUAGAAAUUAAACCACAAUUUACUGAACUCAGGAUAACAAUAGUUAAAGGCCUCAAUUAAUUAAAAUAAGGAAACAAUCAAAAAUAAAAUAAAGUAGGUAAUUAAAAGUCAAAUGGCAAUCCACUACAAUCAAGGAAAUAUUAACUAAAGAUCUAGCCAAGAAAUAACUUCAGCAAUGGUUCACCUAAUCGAUCAUUGAUGCAAAGCAAUCCCAAUUAUUUACUAAUAAAUAGGUUAUAACUACCAAACAAGCGAUGGCAGUCAACCCCUCCUUACUGUGUCGGUGAUCAAGGUACGCCCGUUAAUCACUGCUCUAAUUGAGAAAUAAUCCUAGGUACGCCCGUAGAAUUUAAUUCCCCAACUGCCUUACGUAUUAGAGGAGCCCUAUUCUACCCAAAUAACACACUACCAGGGUUAUUUUAGAUUAGCCCGCGUAUCCCCCUGACACGAAUCUAAUCGUGCCAGUUGUCACUAAUUUGAGGUAAUUAAACAAUUACGGAUUCAAUACCCCAAUUGACAAUAGAUUAUCAAACCAAUGAAUUAUCCGGAUCCAAGACAAUCAACUAAUUAAAUAAUCAUAAGCACUGCAACCAAGGAAUAUGCGAAUACCAAUAAAUAAAGGAAAAGAUAAAAUUAAAUCGAUCUCACAAUUUACAGGUGAUCCAAAGCAUCAGUCGUUUCUUGACUAGAACGAGGGGGUUAGCUCAUAUUGGAUGAACUAAGCCCGCGGGAAAUUCCAGCAAAAGUCACGGCCGUUGUAUGCAUUUCAAGAGCCGCAAUUCGUCAAACACUUGGAAAGCGAAUGUAAGGCACGGGUAACAAUUGAAGCUUUCUAAUUGUUCCUAGCAUUCGUAAAGCAAAUUCACUCCAGAAGUACAGUGAGGAAAAGUCAAAGAAAGUGGGCUUCAAUUCCUUGCUCCUGACAUGCGUGGAGACAAGCCAAUGCAAGACUACAAUAAACUAACAAGGAAAAGUCAAGAAUUGGAGCUAAGCUCCCCUGCCAUGCGCAGGAAUCCGAAAAGUAAAAAGUAAAGCUUCAAAGAAAAGUCAACAAUUCUUCCUAAGCUACAGACGGAAGAUCCAGCACAAAAGCCAGCUCCCUUUUUUAUCCCUUUUUCCCCCUUCUUAUUGCGGCGGCUCACCAGGAGAGGAGAGCCCUCCGUCCGUCCUUUCUUCCGAAAAUUACCAAAAUGGGCAUGACAUCUUCUCUUCCAAAAGUGCCCCUGGGACAAGCUUUCUCAUCUGAAUUCUUUUUUUUUCCAAUUUGGCACCUGUUAUCAUAUUUAUAUUCUACUCCCUGAAAUAAACGUCAAAUACUAAAAGUGAGUAGAAUCCAGCAAAUAAAUCCACAUCAAGUCAGGUAAUAGGAGGAAUUAAUAAUAAAAUAAAUGAAUAAAUUGCACCCUAUCAGAAAAAUGCAAAAAUUUGUUAUUUAUCAUUAAGGAUCAUAUCGCAUAUAACAUCAAAAAAUAGUAUAUUAUUUAUAUCUUUCACUUAAUAUAAUAUCCAAAUUACUCUUUUCAGUUACAUACCCAUUGUUAGACAAAAUCAACAACAAAUAACCAAAAAAUUUGCAACCAAAAUAUUACCAAAAAAAUAAACUUUAACAUCAUAAAUAUUUUUAUCAACAUAUUAAAGUUAGUUAUUGAAAUUUUUAUGGUGUUAAACUUCACUCUUAGCAAUAUUUUGGUUACAGAUUUUUUUGAUUAUUUAUUGUUGAUCGUGUUUGACAAUGGAUUUGUAACUGAAAAGAAUAAUUUGAAUCUUACAUUAAGUGAAAUAUAUAAAAUAUUAUACUAUUUUUUAUGGCAUAUGUGAUUCUUUUUUUUUUUUUUAUCAGAACGGCAACAUUGUAUUAAUAGUAAACCAAUUACAGUAUAGGUGGGCAACCGCCCUCACAAUCUGCCUGGACUUGUUCCAGCAGCCAAACUGGGAAGUUUUCCUUCCAUUCAGUAUUUUGUUCCAAAGUAAUAGCUACUUUAGCUAGUUUAUGGCUAACAAAGUUGUUCACCCUAUUUGCAAAGGUAAAACAACAUUCAUCAAAUUUUAUUCAUGUACAAUUGUUGCUAUCACCACGUCCUCCUCCUCCUCCUCACUGCACACUACUUGACUACCACCCUUCGCCAACCUUGCUGUUGCAUGUGCAACUAUCAUGGCCUCUCUUAGCGCCUUUGCUUCUUCGACCUUUGGACUGGCACAGCUAAAAUUUGGAACAGCCCAGGCCCACCCGCAAUCUUCCCAACCAAUCCCUGGCCACCCUUUUCCCACCCAGCUUCUAUGGCAUGUGUGAUUCAAUCCUUCUUGAUAGGAUUGGUAAUAGAGGCAGAGGGGGGAGCCGGCUGCAUCCGGUCUACUUUUCAUAGAUAGUACAAUAUUGCGAAAUCGAUCGCAUUCACACAAGAAUAUUUCGAAGUCAUUGCAUCGCUAAGUUGCAAAAAAGUACAAACACUUGUUAUUAUAUAGCUUAAGAUUCAAAACUUUAGAGCACAACCCUCCACCUAACACAAUUGAAUAAUGAAUAUUCACGAUUGUCAAAUCUGUCAAAGCACAGUUUGAGGACAACCCAUUCCAACCUGCAAAAGAUUUUUGACUUUUUUAAAGUUGUUGAGAGCUGUAAAAAGACUUACCAUGCUUACAUCUUCCGAGCCUUGGGAGUUAAAAAUGAAGGCACUGAGUGCUAUAAAAAGGGGGCUAGAGGCUGCCUAGAAGCAUAUCAGCCUAAAACAAGAAUUUGUAGUUAUGAUGGGAAGCAAAGCAAAAGCAAUGGGGUCUGGGCUGACUCCUCUUCUUACCACUGUUUUAGUGGUAUUUGUUGCUCUUGGCUUGCCCUCAGAAACUGCAGCUGAUGAUCACUACAAGUAUUCAUCUCCUCCUCCUCCUUACCACUAUCCCUCACCACCACCUCCAGUGCAUUUACCUCCACCAGUGUACAAAUACAAGUCCCCACCACCACCUCAUCAUGUUUACAAGUACAAAUCUCCACCACCCCCACCACCACACCCAGUUUACAAGUAUAAGUCGCCACCACCACCUCCUCAUCCGGUAUACAAGUACAAGUCUCCUCCGCCACCUCCUCAUCCGGUACCACACCCAGUUUACAAGUAUAAGUCACCACCACCACCUCCUCAUCCGGUACCACACCCAGUUUACAAGUAUAAGUCUCCUCCGCCACCAGUUUACAAAUAUAAGUCUCCUCCACCACCACCUCCAGUGUACAAAUACAAGUCUCCACCACCACCAGUUUACCACUACAAGUCUCCACCACCUCCUCCCCCAGUUUACAAAUACAAGUCUCCACCACCACCACCACCAGUUUACCACUACAAGUCACCACCACCUCCUCCCCCAGUUUACAAAUACAAGUCUCCACCACCUCCUCACCACUACUAAGCAAUUGCUUCUGAGGUAAUAACACUUGUUCAAUAUACCCACUUCUGCAUGAUAAAGCAUAUCUCUAUCAACACAAACUGUCAUGUCUAUCAUGCUAAGUGCCUUCACUUCAUCCACCAAAAUGACUGCUAGAAAAUUUUUUUUAUGUUACCAAAGAAAGGCAUCAUUUUUUCCCUCUGUUAUCAAGAACUUGUACAGUAUAUAGAUUAAAGAGUAUUUUUUUAACUAGCUUAUCAACUGAGAAAUGCAUAUAGCUGAUAGCCAGCUGAAUAUUUGCAGGCAAAGGAGAAGGAAACCAGUGUUUGAGACCUUCUUGAAGAUGUAGAAGCAUAAGAAUUAAAGCCCAAUGUGAAGAUGAUGAUUUCAAGUUUUUCUACGUUACCAUUUCUUUAUCUAAAUUGGUUGUAGCGCCUUAGUUCCUUUGUUUAUGGGAUUUGUAUCGUUUUACGUACCAUGCAGUACAUGUCAUGUUUGUAAGGUUUUCUAUCCUGCCGGCAAACCGCAGGUUCCAUGUAAUAAAUCAAUACUAUUUAUAUUACGACACUUUUCUCUGUUUCUCUUAUAUUUUGUCGUCUUUAAUAUUCUUAAUCAUAUUUUUAACAAAAAUAUUCAAACACUUAGGCAAUCUGGUCUAAUGCUAAUUGUAUGUUUUACUUUUCUUUUUCACCUGCUCCCCUUUUCAACUCAAAAGGAUGCAAUAGUUUGUGAUCACUGUUGAAGACGGAAGCAUGAUACUAAUGAAUAUAUCAUUGAAACUCAAGGAAACUAACAUUAUGAAAAGUGUAAAUCUUGAUUUGAUGCAACUAUUUAUUCGUGGAAUCUAUAGUUACAAAACUCAAACUCUGACUGCGCCAUUGAUAAAUUAUUAAUGACGCUAUCAUCAUUAUUUAUCCCCAACUAGUUUCGACUACAACUGAACCCAAUAUUUUCCCCAUGAUAAAAGUUUUUUACUAUUUUACUGGCCUCUCUUCAAAUUUUAAAAAUUACACUAAUCUUCAUUGAGAUUAAUUAUCUUGUAGCAUUUAAGUCCAAUUAAUAAUUAAAAAAUAAUAUUAUGAGAGAGAAAAUAAUAUAAUUUUAUCAUUGCCCCCCAUCUUGCUAUAUUAUUUAAUUAAUUUAAUAGCAACCCACACAUUAAAGAAAAAUACUAAAAUUUGCUGCUUUUCAUUAAAGAUCAAAUUGCAUAUGCCAUAAAACAUAGUAUAUCAUUCUAUAUGUUUCACUUAAUGUAAGAUCCCAAUUGUUCUUUUCAAUUACAAACCCAUUGUCAAACAUGAUCAAUAACAAAUAACCAAAAAAUUUGCAACCAAAAUAUUACAAAAAAAAACUUUAACAUCAUAAAUAUUCUUACCACCUCUAGUGCAUUCACCCUCAUAAAAUAAUUCAAGACCCUACUGUCAUAAAAUGACUGAUCAACUCCUGUAAACCUAAUUUGACAACAUUUAAAUGGAGAACUUUAGCUAAAAGAAUUAUGGUCAAGCUAAAGAAAAAACCAGUUAUUUUCCAACAUAUGCAAUCAUUGAUCAGGGAAAAAAAAAAGAAGCAAAAAGACAUCUUCAAUCAUUUAAUAGCUUACAGGGCAAAUUAACCCCUAAGCGAAAACUGGUUGCUCUAGAAUCAAAAUUUUACUUUAGUUACCCAGGCAACUUUUUUUGUUGCCUUUUCUUUUUCUUUUUUGGGUAUAUAUAUAGCUCCAGUUUUGCCCCCUCUGUCAAGCUUAUAUAAUUAUUAAGAUAAUAAAAGUGCCUUUAAUAGUAUUAAUAUAUCCAUUGACUUGAGCUGUCAUCGAUCGGUUUGGGCUACUUCGAUUCCAUGAGAACAAAUGGUAAUAAAAGUACUCAGAAAAUGGGGAGUCAUGAAACCCUUUUGUUCUAUUCAUUGCUAAGAUGCUUUUCUCUAUAAAGACACUUCCUAACGAAAAUACUUUGUAGAUUUCUUUACUCCAAGUGGUGCAUGGAAAAUUAAUAUUUUCAAUUAUCAAAUAAAAUUCCCUUUUUUCGGUGUAGAUUUCAUCCAUUCAGCUGUUAACACUCCGAAUUGACUAAUCUUUUCGUUUCCAUUUUCCAACUUGCGAAUACGGCAUCUUACAUAUUGUCUGCUGAAUAUGAAUACAUAUCCCUUUUCUGAGCAGGUGCAGAGUCAUUAUCAUUUUUAUUCCCACCUAACAAAUUAGUUAAUAAUCUUUUAAAGAACAUGUUAAAUUAAUUUAUUGGUAUGAAUAGUAGUCAAAGAAGUAUGUUAAAGUUAGUAAUCUUUAAAAUAAUAUGUUAAAAUUAUUCGUACAAAUUAGCCAGAGAAGUAGCAUAAACACCGCGAUGCAAUUAAUACUUUCAAUCUCAAGGUCUCUAUUAUGGAAAUUUGCAUCGGUCAACAUACACAAAGCAUUAUUGUAUGCACGUCUCUCUAUUAUGGAAAUUUGCAUAGGUCAAUAUACACUUGGCAUAGUUGCAUGCACGUCCAAUUUUUUUUUAUUUUUAUUUUUGGUAUUUUACUUCCUGCCUUAAGUUGCCUGCAGAUGUUUGUAUUACAAAUAUAUGGUAUACUAAAUAUAUAGUAUGCACAUUAAUUUCUUUGGGUUGCUUAAGGGUAUAUUGUUAAUAAUAGGGGGUUUAACCAUAAAUUAUAACAAUGAUGAAGUAAUAUAUAUUAGAAAAUUAACACAAUUAUGAUUUUUUUUUUUGUAAAAUUCAAAUUUUAUUAAUAAGAAAUGAAAUAGGCAGUAAGCAUUUACAAACCGAAAACAAAAUCCUACAACAACUCUAGGACUCUACACCUUAUUAAAAAAAAACAUUUUGAUAGCGUUUUUCCAAAAGCAGAAGAUGGAAAAUUGCCCAUUUGUACUGGGGAGUUCGUGAUCUUUUCCUCAUUCUAGUCUACUUACAAUUCUUGGAAAAAGGAAUACUCACAUCUCAAACAACAGCCUGUUCAUCUGCAGUGUCCUGCCGAAUUCUAGAAAGUUUGGUGGCAAUGUUAAUUACAUUUCAAAAUUGACUGCUGCGAUAACUAAUUCGAUGGCUUACUACAUGGUCAACGUUUGGAUCUCUUCCUGUCCUUUUUGGAUGCACAUUUUUUUUCUCUAGGUAAUAUAUAAUCUCCCAACUCAUUUCUUUACAAAUGCACCUUUAAUCACCACCAAAAGGUGUGGACAUGAUCUUUACCCUAGAAAACUAUUCACCGACAGGCAAAUUGACGUCAGAAAUACUAAGAGGAAUUCUAGUUUCCUUCGGGUUAAUGCCAUUUUGUACCCUUCAACUGUAACUCAAUUUCUAAGCUGUAAUUUGUGACAUUAUAGUCCUUAAACUAUGAAACCCUUUCUUAUUUAAUUACAAUGGUUAAUACAAUGCCCGUGACUAGACAAGUAUGAAGCAACCAUAACAAAAAAAAAAUCCAAAAUUAGAGAAAAGAAAGAAGUUGCGACCAAAGUAUGUAUCAAGGCAUAGUAUAGAAAUAAAAGUGUCAAAAUUAAGAGUUUAGGGAUAAAAAAGAAUCAAAAUAUAGUUUAGGAAUUGAUUUGUCUCAAUUAGAGUUUAGAUGUCAACUAAGAAGAGAGAUAUAGUUGAAGGGUAGAAUAUAGAUAUAACAGUUCAAUGAUUGAUAUCAACGAGACAAUGACAACUUUGGAUUAUUACCAACCUCUUCUUGAUGGAAAAGGAAAUAGAGAAGAAAGUCGGGCCUGGUCUAAGCCUGUUUCGGAGGCAAAACAACAUUAUGAAAUCACCGGCAUUCACACAAAUAUGUCAAAGUCACCGGCAUGCUAAGUUGCAAAAUUUAUACAAACACUGAAUAUUAUAUUCUUCUCAAAAUUUUUGUUUAAGAUUUAACAAUUAGAGCACGGUACACGAAUUAGCAAUAUUAAAUAAUGAAUGUUCACGAUUGAUAAAGUUAUCAAAGUACAGUUUGAGGACAACCCAUUCCAACGUGUACAAGAUGUUUAGCCUUUGAAAAGUUAAUUAGAGAAGGUGACGAGAUUUUACUAGGCUUACAACUUCUAGGCCUUGGGAGUAAAAAGUGAAGACACUGAGUGCUAUAAAAAGGGGGCUAGAUGUUGCCUAGAAGCAUAUCAGCCUCGGACCACAUUUUGUAGCAAUGGGGAGCAAAGCAAAAGCAAUGGGGUCUAGGCUGACUCCUCUUUUUACCACCGUUUUAGUGGUAUUUGUUGCACUUGGCUUGCCUUCAGAAACUGCAGCUGAUUACGACAAGUAUUCACCUCCUCCUCCUCCUUACCAUUAUUACUCACCACCACCUCUUGUGCAUUCACCUCCACCACCGCCAGUUUAUAAGUCACCCCCACCACCUUAUCACUACUUCUCACCACCACCUCCAGUGUAUCCAUCUCCACCACCAUCUGUUUACAAGUCACCUCCACCACCUUCGCCAGUAUACAAGUCCCCACCACCACCUUAUCAAUAUUCCUCACCACCACCUCCAGUGCAUUCACCUCCACCACCACCGAUUUAUAAGUCACCUCCACCACCUCCUCCAGUUUACAAGUCCCCGCCACCACCUUACCAUUAUUCCGCACCAUCACCUCCAGUGCAUUCACCUCCACCACCACCGAUUUACAAGUCACCUCCACCACCUCCUCCAGUUUACAAGUCUCCAUCACCACCUUACCAUUAUUCCUCACCACCACCUCCAGUGCAUUCACCCCUACCACCACCGGUUUACAAGUCUCUGCCACCACCUUACCAUUAUUCCUCACCACCACCUCCUAUGCAUGCACCUCCACCACCAAUAUACAAGUCACCUCCACCACCUCCUCCAGUUUACAAGUCUCCACCACCACCUUACCAUUAUUCCUCACCACCACCUCCAGUGCAUUCACCCCUACCACCACCAGUUUACAAGUCUCCGCCACCACCUUACCAUUAUUCCUCACCACCACCUCCUGUGCAUGCACUGCCACCACCAAUUUACAAGUCACCUCCACCACCUCCUCCAGUUUACAAGUCCCCACCACCACCUUACCAUUAUUCCUCACCACUACCUCCAGUGCAUUCACCUCCACCACCACCGAUUUACAAGUCACCUUCACCACCUCCUCCAGUUUACAAGUCUUCACCACCACCUUACCAUUAUUCCUCACCACCACCACUCUUCAAUUUGGAUGUAAUUCAAUUUUCCUUGUAAUCGGUGGCCCUCCUUCGGAAUCCAAAUAGUCAUUGAGUGCAGCCUUCUUUCUUUAUUUUUUACUCAUUUUCACCUCAUAAAUUGCUUUCAUCCCCUAAAACUUGUUCGCUGGAAUUUUGAAUUUACCCAUACAACUAAACUCAGAAAAUUCUUACACAAAGGGAUUAGUAGCAUGAAUAGCAAACACAGAAUAAGAGAUAACAGUAUGUUUUAUUGUAUUAAAAAUAUUAAAGUGGAUUAUUUCUCCAUCGAAUUCCAUUGUGAGAGUAUCGUUACUAACAUCAAUCUUAGUUUGAGCAGUACUCAAGAAUGACCUUCCUAAUAUAAUGGGUGAUGGAUUUGGGACACUUUCAUCAUCCAUAUAAAACACAUAAAAAUCAACAGAAAAAAUUAAUCCAUCUACUUGAACUAAAAACAUCCUCAACUACCCCAUUUAGAUAAGCAAAUAUACGAUCAGCCAAUUGAAUUAUUAUCCCUAUUUCUUUUAAAUGUUCUAAAUUUAGGGAAUCAUAAAUUGAUUUAGACAUCACAUUAAUAGAAAUCUUUAAAUCUAUCAUGGCAUUUUUUAUAUUAGAAUGUCCAAUCUUACAUGAGAUAGUAAACAUACCUAGAUUCUCGCAUUUAGGUGGUAGUUUCCUUUGUAAAAUUGCUGAAACGUUCUCAUCUACCACAAUAUGCUUGUCCUCCUCAAUUUCUUCUUGUUGACACACAAGUUUUUCAAGCAUUUAACGUAUUUUGGAACUUAUUUGAUUUGCGUCCAACAAAGGGAUAUUGAUUGCCACCUUGCGAAAAUCUCUAAAAUCUCCUUUUCUUUAUCUUGUUUCUUUGAUUUCUCUAACCUGCUUGGAAAAGGUGGUGAGUUAGUUCCAACUCUAAUUAUAGAAUCAACAAUUACCUUUGGAUUCACAUUUCUCAUUCCUUCCUCCUCAAGCUCUUUGUCGAUUCGAUCUUCAUUUUUAUCCUUUGGAAUCACAACUUCGGAUCCCUGAAUUUUCUUCUCGCUCCUUAAGGUCAUUACACUUACAUUCUUCAGGUUCAGUUCAGGUUGAGACGACAAUUUUUCAUAGAUUUGGGAUUCCAGGCGGUUGAUUGCUAUUACCAUCUGACUCAUCUGACUCUGCAGUGCUUGCACCUGUCCCAAUUGAUUCCUCAUACUUUGCAAGUCAAAAUCCAUCUUUUGUUGAUUAGCAAUUAAUUGCUUCAUUAUCUCUUCUAUAGAUGGACUUGAGUUUGAAAGAGGUGGUGGCGGGCGAGACUGAUACUGUUAUUGAUACCCUUGCUAUCUAUUUGGUGCAAAAUCUGGCUACCUAUUUCCUCCAUAGCUGAGGUUGGGAUGAUCUCUCCAACCAAUAUUGUACGUAUUCGUGUACGAGUCGUAUGGUUUUCUUGGCACGGCGCGUGACCAGCCAUGUUCACUUGCUCCGUACUUUUCUCUUGAAUCAUUGAGCACAUCUCUGUAGAAUGACCCAUAGCAGUGCAGAUCCCACACAUCUUGACUCGUGAUGCAUUUCCUAUAGCUAAUUGCCUAACAAAGGAUGUUAAUUCGGUCAACUGCUGUUGGAUAGAAUAUGUUUCUACCUCAUUUACUUUGCGUGUUGGGGCAUCCUCCCUCGUACCAAACUGUUGCGAAUUUUCCGCCAUUCCUUCAACUAGCUCCCACGCUUCUCGAGAAGUCUUGUUCACCAAUGCCCUUCUACUUGCAGCAUCAAUUAUACUCCUGUCUCUAAAACGCAGCCCCUCGCAAAAAUAUUGGAUGAGCAAUUGCUCACUUAUUUGGUGUUGAGGGAACUUGAUGCAUAACUUCUUGAAUCGCUCCCAAUAAUCAUAAAGCGACUCUCCUGGAUGCUACUUGAUACCGUAUAUCUCCUUCCUUAGACUUGCAGCUCGAGAUGCAAGAAAAUAUUUGUCCAAGAACUUUUUCUUCAGCUGAUCCCACGUGGUGAUGCUACCUGGUGGUAGAUAGCACAGCCAGUCUUUUGCGGAGUCCUUCAAGGAGAAGGGAAAUGCCCUCAUUUUUAUCUAUUUUUCUGUAAUUCUCGGAGGUUUUAUGCUGUUGCAAACGACAUCAAACUCUUGCAAGUGCUUAUACGGUUCCUCACCUGGUAAACCAUAGAAAGAUGGCAAGAGAUGAAUUAGACCAGAUUUUAACUCAAAUGAAGUGUUAUCAUUUAAAAAUAGAAAAGUAACUGAGAUGCAGCACUGGAAUGUUCUUCUCGAAAUUGUCUGGUCUCUUUCUUUGUUCUACGCGUAGUCUUCUCUACCUUAGGAUCAAAAAUUAAUUUACCUGUACGAGAAGAACGAGGCAUACACUAGAAAAACACUAGAAAAUUAGAACAAAAAUGAACAUAAAAAGAAACAAAUAAACCAACGUCAGUCCCCAGCAACGGCGCUAAAAAUUGACAAGUUGUCGAUGCCUGUGCAAUAAUAAAAAUAAACCUAGUUACCAAUUAAAAUAAUCAGAGCCUAAUUCUGAGUACUAGAGCAGGGACUAUAGGUGUGCAAUGGGUUACUUGAUUCACCCUAUUCCUGAAGUUUGCUUAACCCGAUAUACCAGAAUGAGAUUGCUUAUUCAAAAGGAAUUAUUGAUUUGUAAACAGGGCAAGUAGGGUCGUAUCAUCAGGGAUUGAAAAAAUUUGUUUCUUUUCAAAUCCACAGUAACAAGGGGAUGUUUUUGUAUAAAUGAUAACAAUCUAAGGAGUGCAAAUAGAAAUAAAUAGAUAACUAGAAAUUAAAUGACAAUUCACUAAAAUUAGAGUAAUAAUAAUUAAAGGUCUAGCUAAGAAAUAACUUCAGCAAUGGUUCACCUAAUUGAUCAUCGACGCAAAGGCAAUUCCAAUUAUUUACUAAUAAAUAGGUUAUAACUGCAAAACAAGCAAUGACAGUCAACCCCUCCUUACUGUCGGUCGGUGAUUAAGGUACGCCCAAUCACUGCUCUAGUUGAGAAAUAAUUUUAGGGACGCUCGUAAGAUUUAAUUUUCCAAUUGCCUUACGUAUUAGAGGAGCCAUAAUCUAACCAAAUAACGCUACCAGGAUUAUUUUAAAUUAACCCGUGUAUUCCCUUGAUACAAAUUCAAUCAUGUCAGUUGUCACUAUUUCAAGGUAAUGAAACAAUUACGGAUUUAAUAUCCUAAUUGACAAUAGGUUACUAAAUCAAUUCACUAUUUCGAUCCAAGAUAAUCAAUCAAUUUAACAACUAAUAGCACUGCAAUCGGAGAAUAUGUAAAUACCAAUAAAUAAGAGGAAAAGAUAAAAUUAAAUCGAUCUCACAAUUUUUAAACAAAUCAAAGUAUCCGUUGUUUCUUGACUAGAAAAGAAAAUUUAGUUCAUUCCUAAUGUGAAAGACCCACGUGAGAAUUCAAAAAUAAUAUUCACGGAUAUUGUCUUGAUUCAAUAGAUUCAAUUGCGUUGGAAUAAGGAUAAAAAGCCAAACUAUAGAGAGUGAUUCAAUGUUUUGUUUCGUUUGCAUUUUUUCUACACAUAUGGAAGAAGAAAAACAACUAAAGGACGAAAAAAAAAAGUCAAAGAAAGGCACCCAAAGUAGUGCUUGGUCUCUACCAUCCUAUUUCCUAUCUAAUUACUACUUCCCUUCUGCGGCUGCCUAGAGGAAGAAAGAGAAAGCAGACUUCAGGUCUUGUUCCAUCUCCUCCCUUUUCGGCAAUUCCCCAAAAGUAGAAAAGUUCCUCCGUUUACCAAAAUGCCCCUGGAAUGAGGACUGCUACUUGAACUCAUUUUCUUGAUAACUGUCAAAUUAGCACUUGUUAUGGUAUUUGCGUCUACUUCCUGUAAUAAAUGUAAAUUGCCAAAAGUGAGUAAACUGAUAAUUAAUUUACAUCAGGUCAGGUAAUAGGAAAAAUUAAUUAUAAAAUAAAUGAUAAAAUUGCAACCUAUCACUUAGAAUAACCAGAAAUAAAACAAAACAAGAAAUGAAAGAAAUAAGAGGGUAGCAUAGACAUUUUGGAUUUUUCUGUUAAUUUGGAUGAUUUCCACCUACGGUCUAAUUUAAUCCAAAACACAAAUGGAUUAUGUGGAGAUUUUUAAACAAUGAGGGAGUAUCGUGACCGAAUCCCAAACCACAAAGGGGAUUUACUAUAUUUUACUCUUAAAUUUUGGUUUCAUCUCAUAGCAUACAAGAGUACUAUUUCACUGUCUGUCGACCAGGGAGGAGGGUUGGGUUGGGUGGUACGGGGGAGGGAGUCUAAGUAAGAGGUCUCAGGUUCGAAUCCUCCUGUUUAUACUAAAAAAAAAAAUUUACUAUCUGUCGACAAAGAUUUUCUAUGGUUGAUGUACCAUAGGAAAAAUCUGCCUAUACAAUUAUUUGGAAAAAUUAUCCAUCCAAACAUAGUCACGAUAGCAUUUUUUCAAAAACACUAGAUGCAAAAUUGUCCCCUUAAACGUGGAAAUUCAUGAUCUUUCCUCGACUAGUCUACUUGUCAAUUUUUGAAAAAAGAAUACUCACGCCAAAAACACGGCCUCUUCAUCUGCAGAAUUCUAAAAAGUUACGUAAACUCUAUAAACAAGUUGAUAGGUACAAUCGUACCCAAGAUCAAGUACAGAUAGUUGUACAUUCACUGCUGCAAUAACUAAUCUGAUGACUUACAAACACAUCAUGGUCAAUCGUUGAAUGGUAAUGAGUCUUUUGUUAUGCAUUAGUAUUAGUGUGUACACUCUAAUAGAUUGAUACUUAUACUCUUUAAAUUAUCAUAAUAAUACCCUUAAUUAACUUUAACCCUUAAAAAGAAUACGUGUUAAUACACGAGAGUGUGUAACCUGAAUUGUUACUUAUACAUUAGUGUGUAAUAGAACGGCAAGCAUUAUGGUGGUCAUUGAGCAACUUAUAGGAGAAAUAGUCCUAUAAGCUGUUCAAUGACCAAUCACAACUUGCUAAUUGGAUGACUAAUAUAGCUCUAGCUGUAAUGUUUUAAUUAAAUUCCACACUAACGUUGGGAUGACUUUUUAAUCAAAAAAAAAAAAGCCUUAGUUCAAGCUUUUCCCCUUAUUGUGCAUUUUUUAAAACAUUUGAUAGGCACUGCAAAUCUGUCAUUUUGGACAUUUUAUUAUUAACUAACAAUGAAAGCCGUGGACAUCAACCCAUAUCCAACAAAAUAUUAAAUUAAUAUUAGAAAAAUUAUUAAGUAAUUGGAAAAAAAAAAGAAGAGGCUAAUUUUCAUUGAAACCCACCGACAAACUAUCCGUGUCCAUAGCUUUUGAAUAGUGCAUUCAACGUUUAAUUGUAUGGUCCAGUUCAUUGCCGAUUACAUGGAGUAAAGAUUGUGCUCUUUCCUUUUUCACCCCUUUUGGAAUCGAUACUGUGGAGAAUUGGGUUUUUCCCUCCUUUUUUUCUUUUCUUUCCUUCUGUGCUUUGCAAAACAUACGUAAAAAUAUGAAAUCCGAAGCAUUCUUUAAUUGGGAUUAAGUAUUGUUGUUGAAAUUAAAAAGAAGAAAGAAAGAACAACAAAAAUCCCAAUCUGGGUUGAUUGUUGAGCUCUAGAUUGGCUGCAUCGUGCUUCCAUAGAAGUUCUCUUAGUGUGAUACGCUGCUUUCAAUCAGUUUUAAUAUUUAAGUAGAGUGCAAAAUAACUUUACUAUUUAAUGGGUUAUAAUGCACCAUUUGGUACCUCUCACCCACCUAUGAUUUGAUUUACUACUGGCAUGGUAAUGGACAGAGUUGGGGGAGCAGGAGGAGGGAGAUGGCGGUACCAGUCCGUCAACCACAGCACACCCUCCCUCGGACUUUGCGUGGUAGCGAAGUGGAGGCAGAUCGAGCACACAUGCACUAACGCCUUAAGUAUGUACAAUAUAUGUAUGCCAAAAGCAUAGCCAAGCCUACCAGCGCAUUUCAAUAAUAUAACCCGGAAAUUAAGGGCAUUGAAUUAAGUACGAUGAAUCAUAUUGGUGCACAAUUACAGUUUGAAGCUACCGAUUCGAGUAAAUUUAAGCGUAAGCACAAUCAAUCGCCAGUCAAAUGCUGAAAUAUGCAUAUGCAUGGAUGAAUGUAUGGGUUUCUUAGUUCCAGACCAAAGGCCAACAAUAAGGGAAGGAAGGACAGUUCUCAUUUUUAGCACGGACAAGGAGAUGAAGAAAAGUGUAUGUAGCUUGAGACAGAACAAUGGCAUGUGACCGCUCCUGAGACCACAUAACGUGGGGUGGGGAUGGGACGGCCAAGAAUGAAGAUGCCUGUCGGUCUCUCCGUGCUGCUACCAUAUGAAUCCCCCGUUAACCAAUUCAAGAUAAGCCUGAAGUUCUUUUCAUCCCCAAACCCUGUCCCAUCUGUGUAAAUCCAACAUCAUCAUUUACGACCUGCAACUCAGGUUAAGCAUGUUCUAUUGAGAUUCAGACACCACCCUUCAAAAGAUAUACUACUGUGAAACCAGCAGCUUAAUAUCAUUGUAUAAAAAAAAAAAAAAAAGAAAGAAGAAAAGACAUGAAAAGCAAAUUUUGUGGGGAUAAUUUCAAAAUCUCUCCUAAAGUUUUUUACUAUUUUACUGGCCUCCUUUCAAAUUUUAAAAAUUACACCAGUCUUCCUUGAGAUUAUUUAUCUUGUAACAUUGAGGUCCAAUCAAUAAUUAAAAAAUGAUAUUAUGAGAGAGAAAAAAAAUAAACUUUAACAUCAUAAAUAUUCUUAUCAACAUAUUAAAGUUAGUUACUGAAAUUUUUAUGGUGUUAAACUUCACUCUUUGUAAUAUUUUAGUUACAGAUUUUUUGAUUACUUGUUGUUGAUUUUUUUUUUUUUAGUGUAAACAGGAGGACUCGAACCUAAGACCUCUCACUUACACUCCCUCCCCCCGUACCACCCCAACCCAACCCAACCCUCCCCUCGUUGUUGAUCAUGUUUGACAAUGGAUUUGUAAUUGAAAAGAACAAUUUGGAUCUUACAUUGAGUGAAAUAUAUAGAAUGAUAUACUAUUUUUUAUGGCAUAUGUGAUUCAAUCCUUGAUGAUAAAAGCAAAUUCAAGUGUUUUCUUUAAUGUUUGUGCUGAUAUUAGAUUAAUUAAAUAAUUUAGUAGAUGAAGGAAAAUGGUGAAAUCAUAUUAUCUUCUCUUUCCUAAUAUCACUAUUUAAUUAUUGAUUGAACUUAGAUAUUACAAAUAAUAAAUCUCAAGGGAGAUUAGUAUAAUUUUCAAAUUUUGGAGAGAAGCUAAUGAAAUAGUCAAAAACCUUAAGGGAGGUUUACAAAAUUAUCCCAAAUUUGUGGGAAUUAGAAUAAUUGUACUGGACGGCACUGCCGCAACAGAGGGAAAGAGGAGGAGGUGCAGUUAACUUUUUGUUGUUUGAAAUCCUUGGUGAAAUAUUACAGAAAGACAGAUAAAACAGUUAGUACAUAGAUGUAUAUGACAGGGAAAAUGGUACGUCUGUUAAUCACAUUUGAAACACUUUCAUUGGUGAAUGACGAAAACUAUCAGGCUUGCCCAAUAGUUGAUCAUUGACCAAGACAAAUCUUGCCAUGCUAGAGGUACCAUCUUUUCGUACCUCUUUAGUGCACAGGACAUUCCUUUGUUUCAUCUAGCUAAUAAUCUACCAACUCAUUUCUUUGCAAAUGCACCUUUUAUGGUCACGUCUACGAAAGCUUUACAGGAUCUUUACCCAAAAAAUCAAUUCACCGACUCGCAUUUGAUGUCAAAAUUUCUUUACUUUACUCCAAGAUUGACUGUUAAUAAUAAUGCCACUUUGAAUUAUCACACCAUCCUUCUUGAUAGGAUUUGUGCUAGAGGUAGGGAGGGAGUCGCUGCAGCCGGUCUUCUCUUCAUAGACAGUACAAUAUUGCGAAAUCGAUCGCAUUCACGCAAUAUUAUAUUUCCAAGUCGUUGCAUGGGUAAGCUGCCAAAAAGUACGAACACAUGUUAUUAUAUAGCUUAAGAUUCAAAACUUUCGAGCAUAACCCUCCACCUAACACAAUUGAAUAAUGGAUAUUCACGAUUGUCAAAUCUGUCAAAGUACAGUUUGAGGACAACCCAUUCCAACCUGCAAAAGGUUUUUUUACUUUUCUAAAGUUGUUGAGAGCUGUUAAAAGAUUUACCAUGCUUACAUCUUCCGAGCCUUGGGAGUUAAAAAUGAAGGCACUGAGUGCUAUAAAAAGGGAAUAGAGGCUGCCUAGAAGCAUACCAGCCUAAAACAAGGAUUUGUAGUUAUGAUGGGAAGCAAAGCAAAAGCAAUGGGGUCUGGGCUGACUCCUCUUCUUGCCACUGUUUUAGUGGUGUUUGUUGCUCUUGGCUUGCCCUCAGAAACUGCAGCUGAUGAUCACUACAAGUAUUCAUCUCCUCCUCCUCCUUACACUAUCCCUCACCACCACCUCCAGUGCAUAUACCUCCACCUCAUCCUGUUUACAAGUACAAAUCUCCACCACCCCCACCACCACACCCAGUUUACAAGUAUAAGUCACCACCACCACCUCCUCAUCCGGUACCACACCCAGUUCCUCAUCCGGUGCCACACCCAGUUCCUCAUCCGGUGCCACACCCAGUUUACAAGUAUAAGUCACCACCACCACCUCCUCAUCCGGUACCACACCCAGUUCCUCAUCCGGUACCCACACCCAGUUUACAAGUAUAAGUCACACCACCACCUCCUCAUCCGGUACCACACCCAGUUUACAAGUAUAAGUCACCACCACCACCUCCUCAUCCGGUAUACAAGUAUAAGUCUCUCCGCCACCAACACCCAGUUUACAAGUAUAAGUCACCACCACCACCUCCUCAUCCGGUGCCACACCCAGUUUACCACUACAAGUCACCACCACCACCUCCUCAUCCGGUACCACACCAGUUUACCAUACAAGUCACCACCAAUCCUCACCCAGUUUACAAAUACGAGUCUCCACCACCUCCAGUUUAUAAGUACAAGUCACCACCACCUCCUCCACCAGUUUACAAGUAUAAAUCUCCUCCACCACCACCACCAGUUUACCACUACAAGUCUCCACCACCUCCUCCCCCAGUUUACAAAUACAAGUCUCCACCACCUCCUCACCACUACUAAGCAAUUGCUUCUGAGGUAAUAACACUUGUUCAAUAUACCCACUUCUGCAUGAUAAAGCAUAUCUCUAUCAACACAAACUGUCAUGUCUAUCAUGCUAAGUGCCUUCACUUCAUCCACCAAAAUGACUGCUAGAAAAUUUUUUUUAUGUUACCAAAGAAAGGCAUCAUUUUUUCCCUCUGUUAUCAAGAACUUGUACAG